CUUGUUCAAUUAUGGUCAGCUGAAAGAUUUGUAGGAAAGAGAGAAGGAAUGACAAUGAAAGAUGUAGGCUUCAAUUACCUAAGAGAACUGGUCAAUAGGAGCCUAAUUCAAGUGACUGAAAGUUUUUACGAAGGAAUCCCCGAGACUUGUCGAAUCCAUGAUCUAGUGCGAGAAGUUAUUCUUUCCAAGUCAAGGGAACAAAAUAUGAUCACAAUUACUAAUAUGAUCACAAUUACUACUGGACAAUACACAAGGUGGUUAUCUGAGAAGGUACGCCGUUUGGUAGUCCAUAGUAGUAGCAACAACACCGAGCAGCACCAGGAAAGCCAAUAUUAUUGCUUUAACCACCUUCGAUCGUUUAUUACGAUUGGAUCCAUGAAUCCACUGAUAUCCAGAGCCUUGUUAUCUAAAGCUUUAAAGAGUAGCAGAUUGUUAAAGGUUUUGGAUUUGAGUGAUGAAGAGACAUUGGAGGAAAUCCCAAAUGAGAUUUUCAACUUGUAUCAUCUCAGGUAUCUGAACCUAUAUGGGACAGGAGUUAAAGCAGUCCCGAAAUUCAUAGGAAAGCUUCGUAAUUUGGAGUAUUUGGAUUUGGGUGAAACUCAAGUCAAGGAAUUACCCAUGGAAAUCCUGAAGCUACAAAAGCUUGAGCAUCUUAUGGUACGCACAAAAGUUGAUGUUUCUGAUGAAGCUUAUGGAUAUCAUGGGUUUAAAGCUCCAUCAAAAUUGGGAGGACUUCUUGCCCUACAAUCAUUAACAGCCAUAGAUGCAAGUAGCGGAUCCGUAAUAGUUAAAGAGAUAGGAACAUUGACUCAAUUAAGACGAUUAGUGAUUUCAAAUCUGAGAAGAGAAGAUGGAAAGGAGCUCUGCUCCUCCCUUGCCACCCUCACUAGUAUUCAGCUACUACACAUUGGUUCAAUUAGAAAUGAUGGUGGUGAUUAUGAGGUACUGGAUCUGAAUCAUCAUCAUCAACAACAACAUUCUCGUUCAUCUUCAAUGUCUUUUUCAUUUCUCCAAUCUCUUCGUAUGCUAACAUUGUGUGGCCGCUUAGAAAAGAUGCCACAAUGGAUAGCUCAUCUUCAAAGCUUGGUAAGAAUAGAUUUGAACUGGAGCAGUUUAAGGGAUGAGGAGGAUCCGCUUGAACCGCUCCACCAUUUGCCAAAUUUGGUUACUAUUCAAUUUUGUAGAUCUUACCAAGGAGAGGGGUUGUGUUUCAAGGCUGGAAGAUUCCCGAAGUUAAAGGAUUUGUACCUAGAGAAAUUACAAAAGUUGAAAUGGCUGAAAGUGGAGGAGGGUGCAUUACCCAGUCUCCACGAACUUAGUCUGGAUACACUUCCAUUGCUAGAGGAGUUACCUUUGGGAAUUCAGCACUCAAGGAAUCUUCGAAAACUGUAUUUGGUUGAGUUGAGUUCUCAACUGAUUGAGAAGCUGGAGAAUCUAAAUGAAGAUACUGAAGAUUAUAGAAAAAUUGCACACAUUUCUGAAGUUGUCAUUGAAUUGUGGACAGAUGAGGGAUGGAAACGUCGCCGGCUAUGGGGGAAGAAGAUGUAAAUAUUCCUCUUUUAGUAGCCCUGCCUUCCUAUUUCUUUUUAUUUUCUUUUUGCACUUUUGUUUGUAACUUCUAAGUUUAUAAUUUGCUUUAUCUUUUAUCUUGUUGUAUAAAUAUUGUAUUGCAUAAUCUUGUUUAUAUGCGGUAUUGCACUCUUUUUUUUUUUUUUGCUUAUUUACUUUUUCUUUAAUUGAUUUAGCAAAUAAUUUAGAGGUUGCAGGUUACAAGUCUAUUAGUAUCUUGCACACAAUUUCAAUAUACAAUCCAGAACACUAGCCUAAGAUUUUGGUACAAAAUUAAUACAUGUAGCCUAUGUUUAUACACUAGUAUGACUUAGAAAUUGAUUUCUCUAGUAAUUAAUAAUAUAGUAAUUUUUGGAAAAAUAAUGGUUGUAUCAGUUCUCUAUGCUCAUCCAUCUGUAUUUUUGUGACAAAUUUUGAAGGAACACAUUAAUAUUUUUAAGUAAAUUAUUUUCAAUCAUGCCCAACUGCUAUGUAUGAAUAAAUAUUAUGUCAACGAUAUGACAAAUCCACUUAUUACAGUCAUGAAAACAAUUUCUUUUUCUAUGAAUUCAUAAUCGAAUGUUUGCACUGUAAUGCCCAAUACACCAAGGUUCAUUUUUAAACCAACAAUAUUGAAGUUGCUAAAAUUGAGAACUUUUACAUCGCACGCUAUAAUUUCUUCUUCUUGUGAUAAAUACUGGUGUAAUACAUCACAAUCAUGGUUUAGUACUUACCACUAUUUGUUGAUGAAUGCAGUCAUAUUCAUAAUCAAUAUUUGUAAGGCAACAAAGAAGUAUAAAAACCAAAUAAUAGUGCUUUGUUUGGAAACCAAUUUUUCUCCAAAAAAAAUUUAAGUUUUUUUGUGAAUAUAGUUUUGAAUCACCUUUUUAUCUCACACGCAUUAAACCGUUACAACGCAUUUUUUAUGUAAAAAUUCUAGAAAAUAACAAUCCAAAUGAGACGUUUAGUGUCCUUAAAACACAAAUACUUCUCGACAUUAUUUGGGAUUGUCACAGACCAUGGCGUUAUAUAACAAACUAACGUGUUGGAAGUGGAAGAGUCCUUGAACAACACAGAGAAAUAGGAAAGCUCAGGUCUAGUAAUUAUGGCCUCGGAUUAAUAAUUUUGAAGUUUCAGGAAAGAAUUCAGAGUACUCUAGAAACAUACAGGCUCAAAUUUUGUGCGGCUAUUCUUUGCUUAGUCCUAAAUCAAUUCAUUCCAUAGAUGCAAUUCGUGCCAGUGAUUAUUGGUGCAACUGAUGGACAAGAAAUCUAUGAUCUAAUAGAGCUCAAAUUACUUCAAUUACUGAAGACCUGUUUAAACUUUCAUGCAGCUUUUGAUGAAAAGCCAUAAAAUAGUCUAUUUCCACGCUGCAAAAGACAUACACCUAAAGGAAAAGAUUACAAGACAAGACAAACAUAUCAAAUGAUGCUUUAAAGAAAAAAGCAUAUCAAAUGAUGCUAAUAGAAGAUUUAGACUAUGUUUUCAGACUCGGACCGGCAAUCGACUCGGCCGAACUCAGGGGUCAGGGGUCAAUGUGUUCGAUUCGAUAAGGGGUCAAACCAGAUAACGUCAUAAAUACGUCAUAUAUAUAUAUAUAUAUUCUGCAAAUCAAAUUUACAAAAUAUAACCAACAACCCAAUCAUCCAAAUUUAUAUCCAUUUCACCGAACAAUUCACCAAAUUCAUCCAAAUUCACAAAAUUUACAAAAUAGGAAUCCCAUACAUGUUCAAUCCUUGACAAAUAGCAAUCCAAAUAAGGCAACAAGUUCAUGUUCAAUCCUUGAUAAACAUCAAUACAACACUAAAAAACUGGCACAAUCAGAGGAUUCUUACAUCUUCCCGCUUGUUCAAUACUGAAGGACCUGAAGUGAGGAUUAUACUACUAAUUGAGAAAUUCACUAAUGGACCAAACCAGCAAAACUUUUAUAUUUUACAUCCCAUGUUCCAGCCACGGUCAGAAAAGAAUAUAGUUAAUAUAUCUAAAAGAUGCAAUUGCAAUUCUUUGCACUUAAGAAUGGCGUCAACAUGUUGACUUAACCUUCUACUCAAAGUGCAUAUUGUAUGUCAUAUAGGCCACACUUUUUUUCAAACUCACAUAAAAGAAAAGCAUAUCUGAAGCAUCUUGAGACCAUCAAAAGAUUCACAAGAAUUUUCAAGUCAUAUCAACUUUAGGAACUACAAGAGUAUAUGAACCCAGAUUUUUUAUAAGUUACCACACUAUCAAGAAUGUAGCACUCGAUUAGAAACAAAGAGACUGCCAAAUCUAACUAUAAAGAACAUACAAGAUCAAUACAAACUGGACCAGCAUGCAAGAACUUAACCUUUUUGUAAUCUAAUGCAUCCUAUAAGUUACAAGAAUUUUCAAGUCAAAUCAAAAGAUUCACAAGAAUUUUCAAGUCAUAUCAACUUUAGGAACUACAAGAGUAUAUGAACCCAGAUUUUUUAUAAGUUACCACACUAUCAAGAAUGUAGCACUCGAUUAGAAACAAAGAGACUGCCAAAUCUAACUAUAAAGAACAUACAAGAUCAAUACAAACUGGACCAGCAUGCAAGAACUUAACCUUUUUGUAAUCUAAUGCAUCCUAUAUUUGUCAAUUAUCACAAAAUUGAAAGUCUAGAAUUUAAUAAGCAGGUUAAAGCUCUCAGCUAAUACCCUGCCAUCAAGUUUACAUGAAACUUAUAACUUUCUGUUAUAUAGAAGUAACUGAAACCAUCUGCCUAAGGGCAUCUUUUACAAUGUCCCCACUCAAUUUUCGUCAUUAUAGUCAGAAUACUGCCAAUGAAGUGGUACGAAAAAACACUUGAGGAAAACAAACCAAUCAAUAAGGAGGUAAGACUGACGAACCAAGCAAGAAAGAAAGGUUCAAAAGGGUUUUUCGUUUCCUUUUCAUAAGAAACCAGAAACGCCUAAAAAAUGUUCAAGUCCUUGAGGCCUAAUUCCUCCGAAUCAAAGAAAUGGCCCAAUAAAAAAUGUCCAGAGAAAAGGGCAGAAAUAUUCUUCUAUUCCAUCUAUUUUUUCCCCCACAAUAACAUCCAGAGCAUAACGAUUUUCUUUCCAUCAUCAAGCAAAAGUGAAGAAUAUAAUUAGUCUCAGAUUCUAAAAAUUACCAGAUUGAGCUCUGACCUCGCGCGUUGCUUGAGCCUUGAACUCUGAAGAAACUAGCGAUGCUGCAACGGUGGAGGCUAGAGGUUGAACGACACAUGAUCGGCGGCAAUCGCGAUUAGGAAACGAUCAGUGAUUAUGAAGAGACGGCGGUGGAGGUUUUCAGGGUUAAUCUCAGAUUCUCAGGAACGAACGAAAGAGAGAAGCAGAGAGUUGCGUUUGUCUAAUUUCGUUCCAUUUUUUCCUUUUCUUUUUGUUUUUUCAGUCAAUCAAGUAUUGAGUCCAAUUUUUUAAUAAAAAAAAGGCAAAAAAAAGAAAAAAAGAAAAAACCGGGGUUAAUUUGAUUCUCCGGUUCACCGGUCAAACCCAAGUUCUGACCGGGUUUGGCCGAUUUUUUAAUCCCAAGUUUUUUACCUAGCUCGGAGCGGAUGCCUGGCCGAUUUCCGGUUUGACCGGCCAGUCCAGUCUGAGUCUGAAAACACAGGAUUUAGAUGUACAAUCUGCCCCUCCCCGCAAGCUACGCACAAUGCUACCACAUAAAUCUCAGUAUGUACCAAAUAGAAAGCAAAUGAUUGCUGGUAUCAAUUACCAAAAGUAAGCUAAAUGCUGACGUGCCAUUUGAAGCUGCAUCUGUGUGAGUGUGCGCAGAACCCUAGAGAGAAAGUGUCUGAGAUUUAUAUUUUACAAGUCAUGUAACUUGUAAUGAUGCCCACAACUAUCAAAAUUACGUAUUUAUAUCAUAUCUAACCAAAUUCCUUGCAUCCUAUGCAUCAUAAGAUGCUUUGCCCUGCAAAUUCCUAGAAAGUUCUAUGCAAAGGGAGGAUGCUUUUCCAUGCAACACUUUCCGAGAAAAAUUCUAUGCAAAGAACUCAAAGGGAAGAAGGUCAACCCAAUACCAGGAAGGAUUCACACGAUUCAGAUAUUGCCGCAUCAUGGGUCUGAUUCAUGUGUCUCUAUCCUUCAAGUUGACUAAACCAGUCUGUAUUUGUUCUUGUGAGGACUCUAGUGUCAUUCAAAGAAAGUGUCUUAAGACCUUGAGCAACGGCAUCUACAGGCGUGUAUAUAUCUCUCACUUGCCAUCUAGGUUCCUGAUCGUCCAACAAAACAAAUUUCAGCAUAAAUGGAGAAUAAAAAGAAGAAAUUUUGUUAGAGAACAAUCGUUGACCAUGUCAUUGUUCUCAUUACCGUGCUACUUUCCAAUUUUUUAUCAAAAGUAACUUAAAGAUCAUGCUAAAUAAUACAUACACAGUUAGCAUAACAUACAAGGCGCAGCGCAACAUGUCAGCAUAAAUUCCCAGAAAGCGAAGGUCUAGAGAUUAUGAUACAAAAGGAGCACAAAGUUACUGCAGCAUACCUGUAUGCAAGGUGUAAUAUGAGUUCCAUUCAAUAUUAUUUUCUGUAGUUUUCCACCAAUAGAUUCCACUCAAGGCUUCAGUGUCUCUUCAAGAAUGUCAGUCUCAUCAAUUGCAUCAACAUUGAACUUGACCUGAAAAAAGAAUCAGAUAGACUAAAAAGUGAACAUCGAAGUUGGAGCAAUUCAAUCAAUUCUUGUACUUGAAUAACAUGCUCAAACCAGUAAUGUACACUGAACACUGUAUGACUUCUGGAAACAGUCGAGAUUCUUAGAGGGUGCUGGCCUCAACUCUGAAAUUCCUUCAGCAAGCUGAAGUAACAUCCAUUUGAGGCAGAUUGAGGAUUAGAGAAUGACCAGAAGACAGAAAGAGCAACUGAGGAUGCUCACCUCGGCCGCCCCGCAUGCCCGAGGUGAACUCACCUCGUCCGUCAUCAGAGCUCAUCCGUGUCUCGGGCAUAUCCCUUAAGCUCGGCCGGAUCCCCAGUCUACCGUGUAGGUGACCUCGGCACCUCCACCUCAGCUGCACGCGGAUGAUGCCAAGACACCUGACAUCAUCCCGGAUCAGUGCUUUAUCUGAAAAGCACUGUCGCACUUAAUGACUACUGCGAAGGACUCCUCGUCACCCUGUCCAGGCGGCUACAGUGUCAGAGUCAGGCCCCCCGACAGGGAGCAGACCCGUAAUGGCAGGACAUGGGUCCCACCGGCAUAAGACCUCCGUCCUGCCCUUCACUCUCACUCUAUAAAUACCCCACACACUCCCAACAAGUAAACACACUGUUCAUUCUCAUAUACUAUUAUCUUUCUCAUUCUCAUACUAACUUAAUCGUCGGAGUGAUACCAGGGGAGAAGCCCCGCCAUCCACUUCAGACGUGAGGAUACACCUCACUUCAUCUCAGAGGGGCUUGAUUCGGGUCGGUUCAACUACCCACCGAAAAUCACCUCUUCAAUUGGCGCCGUCUGUGGGAACGAGAUCACUGUUAAAAUGAGAUCCACGCGCUCCAGAAGCGGAAGAGUUCCCUCAAUUGGGGUUGGGCAGACCUCGGGAGCCCAGCAAGAUCGUAUUUCUGAAGAACAAGGGUCUCCAAGAACCCAGCCCAAUAACGAAGACGCCAUCGCCAAGAUGGCCGAGUUCGUGGCUGAUAACCCAAACAUCUUUGAAGAACUGGGGAGGUACUUCAAAAGGCAGGGGAAGGAAAAGGCCGAGUCUUCAAAGCGAAGGCCGACGAAGUCUCCUGAAGUGCCCUCAGGGGAGGACUCCGAUGAGGGGCGUCCCUCUCGGAGCACCUCUAGGCGCGCCUCCUCCAAGGCGACCUCUAAAAUGGCCUCCAUCUCCAGGGCAUUUUCCCGGGGACUGCUAGGGAAACGCGCCGAGAACCCACCUCGGCGCCCCGGGGGCCUAGCUACUGACUACAUGAGGGCUCCGCCCUUCACUGAUGACAUCAAUGGGGAGAUGGUGCCCCCAAACUUUAAGCUUCCAAAUUUGCACACCUAUGACGGCCGAGAUGACACCGAGGAUCACCUCCGCGCCUUCAUCUCCGCAUUCUGACUCUACUGCGUCCCCGACGCCGUGAUCUGUCGGGCUUUCCCCAUCUUCCUACACGGGACCGCCCGAAAGUGGUUCUGGAGUUUAGAACCGGGGAGCAUCUACUCCCUGGAUGAGCUGAUAGACCGGUUCAUCCACCGCUUCGUGUCGUCUCGACCAAUAACAAAGACUUCAGCUUACCUCUUGAACCUGCAACAGGGUCAGGGCGAGUCACUUCGCUCAUACGCCCAAAGGUUCAAUGAGGAGAAUGUACAGAUACCUGACCAGAACGAGCAGGUAACUAUCGCUGCCUUCACCAACGGGUUAGUGGCAGGGAUCUUUAACACCGAAAUCCAUCGGCAGUACCCCCAUACACUUCGGGAGCUCUGGGAAAGAGUGGACCAGGGAAUCCGAAGUGAAGAUGUAAAUCGCAUGAAGCGAGAAUCCCAAGCAUCUCGUACCGGGCAAGAUCCCCGGAGGAGGAAAGACACAGGCCGAAGUGAACAAGGCCGAGGUGAACAAGGCCCAAGUGGCACUUCAAACCAACUCCGAGACCGCCGAAGUGUCUUCGACCGGAUCGUGAAAGGCAGAUCAUCCAUCUCGGACGCCGAGCUGACCCCCCUCAAUUCGAGUUGGACCCACGUCCUGGCUGUGAUGAGGCAGAAUCACCUCGGCCGCAAUCCUCCCGAAAUUCCGGGGAGGAGAGAUAAAAGGAACUCGAACCUCUACUGUGCCUACCACCGUGAUGUAGGGCACGAGACUGAAGACUGCAAUGACCUGAAGCGGGAAAUCGAGAAUUUGAUCCGGCAAGGAUACCUGAAGCAAUUUGUCCGCAAGGAUGGAGGCUUCAACCGAAGCGUCUCCCACCGGGAGAACCGGGGCCCCCGCCGAGACGACCGACAAGACACGAACAUGCAUUGCCGAGGUCCCGAGGACCGUAGGGAGGACAAGCAGCCCCCACGCGAUGGCUCACCGGGCUACGGCCCCAACAUCGCCAGGGUGAUCAACACCAUCGCGGGAGGACCAACGGGAGGAGACAGCCAGAACUCCCAGAAGCGGACCUACCGCCAGGCCGAGAUGGAGGUGACCGAGCCGAGCUCUCGGCUGUCCGAGGUCAUCACCUACGGUCCCGCUGACCCCGUUCCUACGGCCUCCAGCAAUCAUGAAGCUCUUGUGAUUGAAGUCCUCACCAACAACUACGUAGUCAAAAAGGUCUACGUAGACCCCGGAAGCUCGGUAGACGUCCUGUACUACCGAACUUUCGAAAGUUUGAAACUGACCAGGGAGCAACUCACUCCUGUCAGAACUCCCCUCGUGGGAUUCGGGGGACACGUCGUCCACCCGGAGGGCAUGUUGACCCUGAUGGUAACAAUCGGGCGUCAUCCACGCUGCCGAACUGUGCCUGUCAGUUUUGCGGUGGUCAAAGCAGACUCCCCCUACAAUAUGCUGAUAGGCCGGCCCACGCUCAAUGCCUUGAGAGCCGUAUACUCCACCUACCACCUGAGCUUUAAAUUUCCAACAUCUGCGGGGGUGGCCGAGGUGAGCAGCGAUGUGGGCGCCGCCCGGGAGUGCUACCUCGCCACCAUUCAAGCAGCAGUCACCCCCCGGCCCUCACCGAGGUCAGAAGAAAAGAGACCAGCGGUCCUCUCCAUAGACUGCAUCAACCCUCAGAAGGCAGAAGAGCCCAACAGGCUGGAGCCCGGGGAUGAGGUGGAACUGGUGGUAGUGGAUGAAGCGAAACCUGACCAAGUGCUCCAAGUAGGGGCUGGACUACCCUCACCCCUGAAAGAAGAAAUGAUCUCCCUGAUCAAAGACCACCGAGACGUCUUCGCGUGGUCCGCGGAUGAAGUGGUCGGAGUGCCACCCGAGCUCUUGAUUCACCAACUCAACGUUGACCCACAGGCCCGACCUGUGCGACAGAAACGAAGGCACUUCGGCCCCGAACGUAGUCAGGCCAUAUCGGAUGAGGUCGACAAGCUCUUGCCGGCCAAAAUGAUCUACGAAGUCCAAUAUCCCACCUGGCUGUCCAAUCCAGUCAUGGUCAAAAAGGACACCGGUGGAUGGAGAAUGUGUGUCGACUUCACCGACCUCAACAAGGCCUGCCCCAAAGAUUGCUAUCCUCUGCCGAGGAUAGACGCCCUCGUCGACGCGGCGAUGGGGUAUGAAAUCCUCUGCUUCCUAGAUGCCUUCAAAGGGUAUCAUCAAAUAGGAAUGAGUGAGGAGGACCAAGAGAAAACGGCGUUCUACACCGACCGAGGUACUUAUUGUUACACUACCAUGCCCUUCGGGCUAAAGAACGCCGGGGCGACCUACCAAAGGCUGAUCAACCGACUCUUCCAGAAUCAGAUCGGCCGCAAUGUGGAGUCCUAUGUGGAUGACAUCCUCGUUAAAAGCCUCGCCACUUCAUCCUUUCUGUUAGACGUGAGGGAAGUCUUUGGAGUCCUACGAGACUCGAGGAUGAAGCUGAAUCCCAAGAAGUGCGUCUUCGGCGUCACCUCGGGAAAAUUCUUGGGGUAUCUGGUUUCCCACCGGGGAAUCGAGGCCAACCCCGACAAGGUGAAGGCCAUUCAGGACAUGUCCCCACCUCGGAACAUCCGAGAAGUCCAACGGCUAAAUGGACGCCUGGCCGCGCUGAAUCGCUUCCUGUCCCAAUCAGCUGAGAAAGCUCUGCCCUUCUUUAAGGUGCUCAAGAAGGCUGAUCAGUUUGCCCGGACGGAAGAGUGCCAGGCCGCUUUCGACAAGCUGAAGCAAUACCUCUAUCACCUACCAACUCUCGCUUCAUCUCGGCCCGAGGAGAAGCUCUACCUCUACCUCUCCGCAGCCGACGAGGCUGUCAGCGCUGUUCUUAUCCGGGAUGAGGGCACCCAAGUGCCAGUCUACUAUGUCAGCCGGGCUCUCCGCGGACCAGAGACUCGAUACACUCAGGUGAAAAAACUGGUGCUGGGGCUAGUCCACGCCGCUCGGCGGCUGUAGCCCUAUUUCUUGGCUCAUCCCAUAUCCGACAGGACCGACCAGCCUCUCCGACAGAUACUGGUUCGACCCGAGGCCUCCGGGCGUCUCACCAAAUGGGCUGUGGAAUUGGGAGAAUAUGACUUGUCAUACGAGCCCCGCACCGCCAUAAAAGCACAGGCCCUAGCCGAUUUUCUGGCCGAGUUGACCUUCACGGAAGGCCCAGAGUCCACCUCCGCCAGUGCCGAGGUGUCCACCUCAUCCCUGUGGAUAUUGUAUGUAGAUGGAUCCUCUAAUGGGGAUGGCAGCGGAGCUGGGCUACUCCUAGAAGGACCUCAGGGAGAAGUGUGCUCUUAUGCCCUCCGCUUUGGCUUCCCAGCCACCAAUAAUGAAGCCGAGUACGAGGCCUUAAUCGCUGGACUCCAACUGGCCCGAAGGCUCGGCGCACAACAAAUCCACGUCCGCAGUGACUCCCAACUCGUCGUACGCCAAGUCCUUGGUGAGUAUGAGGCCAAGGAUGAGACCAUGCAACGGUACCUCUUCAAAGUACACCAACUCACCGCGUACUUCGAGUCCUUCGAAAUCCAAAGAAUACCCUGUUCCCAGAAUAAGCGAGCCGACGCCUUAUCCCGGCUGGCUUCUACGUCAUUCUCUGAGCUCAACAAAACUGUUUUAGUGGAAGUCCUGAGUGAACCAGGAUAUGUGGAAGAGGUGGCCUGCCCCGUGCACUCUGAAGAAACAUGGAUGACCCCAUUCAUCCUUUUCUUGGGUCAGGGAGCCCUCCCUGAAGACCGAGCCGAGGCGAGAAAAAUACAACGCAAGGCGGCUCGGUACGCUCUCCGCGAUAGAGAGCUGUACAAACGUUCCUACCUCGGUCCAUGGCUGAGGUGUGUCACUCCCGAGACAGGACGCCACGUCCUCCAAGAGAUCCACGAGGGCUUGUGUGGAGCUCACGUCGGCCACAGAAUGCUAGCCAAGAAGGCUCUGCUUCUUGGAUAUUUCUGGCCCUCAGUUCGGCAAGACGCCCAAGACCUCGUCCUCGGCUGCCCUUCCUGCCAAGUCCACGCGCCCGAGUAUCACCAGCCCGCCAACUUCAUGGUUCCCAUCACUUCACCCUGGCCAUUCGAGCAAUGGGGGACAGACAUCAUAGGUCCUUUCCCCAGAGCCGUCGGGGGUCAUACCUUCCUGGUAACCGCUGUGGAUUACUUCACCAAAUGGGUUGAAGCCGAGCCUCUGAGGACCAUCACCGGGCUGGCAAUUCAAAAAUUCUUUUGGAAAUGCAUCGUCUACCGCUUCGGCAUACCUCAGGUCAUCAUCUCGGAUAAUGGGAGGCAAUUCGCCGAGAACCCCUUUAAAAGUUGGUGCACAAACCUUGGCAUCAAACAACAUUUCACUUCGGUAGGCCAUCCCCGGGCCAACGGCCAAGCAGAAAACUUCAACCGAACUCUCUUGCACGGCCUUAAGACCCGACUACACCGAGCUGGAACAUCCUGGGUCGAAGAACUCCCCAGUGUCCUGUGGUCUUAUCGGACCACGCCGAGGUCAGCCACGCAAGAGACCCCAUUCUCCUUGACCUACGGAGCUGAGGCUGUCAUCCCCGCCGAGAUCCUCACCCCUAGCCCCCGACUGGCAGCCUAUGCCGCCGAGGUGAACGACGAAGAGAGACAGAUGGAUCUCGACCUCGCCGAUGAACGAAGGGACCUCGCCUCAGCCCGGAUAGCCUCCUACAAGAACACACUGGCACACUAUUACAAUGCCCGUGUCAGACACCGUAGAUUCCAGCCUGGAGACUUGGUUCUGAGAAAAAACUCAGUCAGCCGAGCUGAACCGCAAGGGAAACUAUUCCCAAAGUGGGAAGGCCCUUACCGAGUUGUGGAGUCUGACCUUAAGGGAUAUUGUAAACUAAGCUACCGAGAUGGCUCACUAGUGCCGAGGUCUUGGCACUCCGAGAACCUCAAAAUGUAUUAUACUUGAAUUUUUAAUCAAGUUAUGACUUCGGAUCUUAUGUUAUUUUUCAACAUCGGUUCUACGUUAUUAAAAAAUAAAGGGGGACAAGCAAGGGACGAAGUCAAAGCAGACGAAGUCAAAGUAAGAAAUUAAAGUGCUGAGGUGAAAAGAAAUAAACUUUCAUUCAAAAAAGAAGAGCGUUACAAAAAAUACAAGGCCGAGGUCGGAGUGCUACUAAGCACUCUCCACCUCGGCCACCCCUUUAAGACCCACGAGCCUAGACCCCUGUCUCGGCUCCAUUCCCCUUCUCGGCUCCCUCCUGGGCAGCCUUUUCUCCGGCCUCCUCUCCACCGGGGUGAAGCUCUUCUCCAUGCUCUUCGCCGAUGUUCCCUCCAGACACUUCACCCGUCCCUUCGCCGAGGCCUACCUCGGCUUCUUCUCCUUGGCCCUCCUCGAACACUUCGUCGAGUUCAGACAGCCAUUUGUUGAACUCGUCUUGGAUCUCGGCCAGGUUCCUUCCAUUUUGGAUGCCCUCGGCCAUCCGGUCACACAAUUCCUUGGAAUCUUCAUUGUAGUGAGCAUUGUCUUUCAGUGACUCCAAGGCUUCAGAUGAGAGGUGGGCUGCGGCCGCGUCCACACCCGACGUGAAGCCAAACAUGAAGCUCGGCGUAAGCAGUUGGCCGAGAUCCUUGGUAAAGGACUCAGACCUCCGAAAUGCGUCCACUGCCGAGGCCCCAACACUGUUGAGGGCUUGCUCAUGAGACUUCUUCACCUCCUCCCCCCUCUUCUGUUCUUCUUCGAGGGCCGAUCUGAGACUGUUCAUAGUAACCUCGGCCUCCUCACCCUUAGCUUCGGCCUCCUUGAGCUGCCUUUGAAGCUCGGCCUUCUCAGACUCGGACACCGCCAAUUUCUUCUCCAACUUGGAGAUCUGAUUUUGCAGCUUGCCUGUGUCCUGCUCCUCGACCAUAGCACAGUACCGGUGUGCCAUCUCGGCAACAAAGGCUGAGUUGGAGGCCGUGGUCACCAUGAGACUCUGAACCAUCUCGGCCGGGGUCAGCUUCUUCAUGAACUCCAAGUCCCUUGACAGGGUGGAGUGCAUCACUAGCUCUUGGGCAACCCGAGGAUGGCUGCACCUGUCGUUGACCGAAAGCUUCCAGUUCGGACACCAGUGCUCGCCAGAGUGUGUCUUCUCCUCCCCGGGAAACACCGGGGGGCUAUGGAAACGGUUCCAUAGCGAGGUCCCCGACACUGCAUUGACUGGGGGCUUCAGCUGCUUGCCUCGGCCAUGAGGUGGGAGUGCCGUGGUGACUCCAAGAGGCACUCCCUCGGGCACGGACGAGGUGGACCCCGUAGCCGCGGUGGCCGAGCUGCUUUGACCAACCGGGGUGGGAGUGCUUUUAGCCGCCGAGGUCUUGGCAGCUGGUCCUUGUGAUUUCUUCUUUGGCGGAGGUGCCGAUGUCUCGCCAGAGCUUUUCCUCUUCUGCCUUUUGGCCACCUCGGACGAGCCCGAUACGACGAUGUCGGACAGUUUAGUCACUGCACAAGAAACAAAUAUUAUCAUAUGCCUUAGCCGAAGUGAAAGCAAAGUUAUGAAAGAAAAUUACAAGGAAUCUUAAGUUUGGUGGAAGUGAAGGGAGUUUUGUCAGGACUGAGCAAAGCUCGGCUGACUCCUCCAUCAACCAGCACGGCUUCGGGGUAGUCUAGGCUAUAUAUCCGAAAUCCUGACCCCAUCAGCUUCUGGAAGUCCUCCUCCUUGGCAUCCCCAGCGGAGGGAUCGGCUUUCGCUUUGAUUGGCCUCCACCAGAAACCUCUGGGAAAGUCCACUUCGGACACAAAGAAGAAGUCGCGUUUCCAAUUCUUGAUUGAGCUGGGAGAACCGACCACCAACUUCGGAAUGGCAUUGUUCCGAUUGCUAACAAAAAACCAUCCCUUGUCUGUCCCGUGCGCCUUGAGGGUAUAACAUCGGCAGAAGAGGUCGACAGAGGGAGCCACCUCCUGAUGUCGGCACAGCAUCUCGAACCCUAUAAUGAUGCGGAUCGCGUUCGGGGUGAGUUGGGUAAUCCUCACGCCGAAGUGACGAAGCAAGUCCCUGAAGAAUCUCGACGUGGGCAUCCUCAGCCCGGCCUCUAACUGUUGGACAUAGAUGGCCACUGUGCCCAAGGGGGGCUUUUCGGCUGAGUCAUCUGCCCCGGCCGGUAUGAUCUCGUACCCCGACCGGAAAGGGUACUUGUUCAUCACCUUCACGGCCCUAUCUCUUCCGAUGCGACUUCUAAACUUCGGCAUCUUGCCGAAGUCGAUGUUGGCUAGGUCCUUGGGAGCGACAGGCUCCAGGGCGUCCUCGUCGUGUGGUGUCUCGACGCCGAGCUCCUCAUUGUAGUCCACCCCGGAACCACCCUCGCUCAUCUCGGAUGACUCCAACUCCGAGGCUGCCCCACUGGCUCCCGCCUCGGUUGAUCCCUUCUCAGAACUCGGGGUCGACCCUUCCGAGCUAGACGUCGUCGCUUCUUCCCGAGGAUCCGGCCUCACCUCGGUCAGGUAGCUCGGAGUUAUGGUCUCUCUGUGGGUCUUAGCCGUUUUGGCCAUGGGUGAAAGAUGAAAUAAGAAAGAAAAAGGGUACUUACUAUUGCCUACGGAACUGGACGAAGUGGAUGACCUCGGAUCUGAUCUCGGCUACUAUAUUGACCUCGGCUACGCUCGCGAACUUUGCAGGUCUCGGAUGAAAAUGAAAGGUGUGGGAAGUGCGGUGAGGGGGACCCCCCUAUUUAUAAGGGUUUGGGGAGAAUCCGAAGAGGCGGCAAGAAUGUGAAAGGACGGCCACGUUCGAAUUCAAAGCGUCGUGCCUCCCUCUCUCCUCAUUAAUGCCCCGUCCUUUCAGCUGACACCCUCUGCACGAAACGUCCCACUACUUCACGACGCGACGGUUACCAGUGACCACGUCCUGUCAACUGACACGCCCACGUGUCGCGUCCCCGCAUCUUCCGGGGCAGUUUCAGGACUCCGACUCUCUACAACUUCGGCCCAAGGAAGCCUCGGUACCUCCCUGGCCCGGAGCUUCCGAGGCUUGGGGGGCUUAUUGAGGAUGCUCACCUCGGCCGCCCCGCAUGCCCGAGGUGAACUCACCUCGUCCGUCAUCAGAGCUCAUCCGUGUCUCGGGCAUAUCCCUUAAACUCGGCCGGAUCCCCAGUCUACCGUGUAGGUGACCUCGGCACCUCCACCUCAGCUGCACGCGGAUGAUGCCAAGACACCUGACAUCAUCCGGGAUCAGUGCUUUAUCUGAAAAGCACUGUCGCACUUAAUGACUACUGCGAAGGACUCCUCGUCACCCUGUCCAGGCGGCUACAGUGUCAGAGUCAGGCCCCCCGACAGGGAGCAGAGCCGUAAUGGCAGGACAUGGUUCCCACCGGCAUAAGACCUCCGUCCUGCCCUUCACUCUCACUCUAUAAAUACCCCACACACUCCCAACAAGUAAACACACUGUUCAUUCUCAUAUACUAUUAUCUUUCUCGUUCUCAUACUAACUUAAUCGUCGGAGUGAUACCAGGGGAGAAGCCCCGCCAUCCACUUCAGACGUGAGGAUACACCUCACUUCAUCUCAGAGGGGCUUGAUUCGGGUCGGUUCAACUACCCACCGAAAAUCACCUCUUCAGCAACAAAGCCAUUUCACCAUUUGACAGAUAAAUGAUGGAGAUAUAGACAUGUUCAGCCACAAAGGUGGCAGGAUUUGUUUUCCAGGUUGGAUAGGCAUCAUGAUGUAAGUGGGAUGUCACCUGAUUAAAAACAGCUGGCAACUGAUCAACAAACUUGUUGACUGAAACUGCCACUUCUGGAUCGUAAUUUGGAAUCAUGGUUCCAGGAGUAUCAAGUAGUCCUUUCCAUGCAUCUGCUGUAUAUUAGUAUCAAUGAAAGGAGAAGGCAUUAGAAUUAGAAAGACAACAUAAGCAAUUAUUCAACCUCAUCAGCUAUAUAUCUUCAAUCAAAUGAAGCAUUGUAUCAUACCUAUGAAAAAAAUCCAAAUUUGAUUUUAAAACCAUUACUAGGAUAUUUUCAUUACUACUUGAAGGCUUGCCUUGGUUUACAGAGAUACCUUAUAUUUGGUAAUUGUGAUACUUGGGGAGUGUCUCGCCCCAUUUUUUGCGAUGAAAAUAAGUAUUUAUAAAAGAUGUGAUUUUAUUUAAAAAUAAGUAAAAAAGGACUUAGAAUGAGACUUGAAAGAAUGCGAUAGUUUGGAUCCAAAAUUUAGUCUAAAAGAGUUUUUUAAAAAAAUAGGAGUCGCCACUUGGUAUUGAGUUUGGGUGUACCAAGUCACCCAAAAAUAUUUUUGACAAAAAUAUUUUAAAAUAAAACCCUUUUCGACAACUCCAGAUCUUUAAAAAAACAAAGGAAAAUGAUUUCGAAAGUCACGGUUGAAGAAAGGAAAGGCAAAGGUUGGAUUAAGUCACACUUAAGGCACCCUUUCAACCUAGUCUAAGCUAGUUGCGAGAUUUAGUCAAAGUUUUCCUAAUCUAACUCUUAAUUUUAUCACGCUUGGAUGUUUCUUACAUGGUUGCAAAUCUAAAUUUAGAAAAUAUCAAAAAGGACAAAAUGUUCAUUCAACGGUUUAAUUGAUACCAAUCGCAUUAAUUGCGAAGACCAAAAUAAUUCCUUGAAAGUGUCGCGAGUAUACAAAUGAUGAAAUUAAAAGAAAAGAAAAGAAAAUUAAAUUACAUACAUAGGUAUAAAUGAUCAAAGGAAAAGGAAAUGUAGCAUAAUAGGUAUGGAAGGCAAAAACUCGUGACAUAAUUUUCUUAUACAGGGAUUAAUAGGAUAUUUAAACUAAAGAGUUAUAAUCAUCCAUUUCCCAUGUUCAAAGAAUAAUUUUCCUAAUCUAGACAAGCAAAUGAACUAACUUAUUUUUGUAAUUUUUUAAAUGAGAUGCAAUUCUAAAUGAUAUGAUUAACACAUUUAGAGGGUAGGGGGUGAAGAAUAAUAUAAUAGGAAAUAUCAUGCAAAUGAGAAAAAAUCCUAAAAAAUGUGCAUGAAAAUGUAAUGAAUGUCACACAAGAGAUGAAUCUAACGCACGAACGAUCUAAGAGUUUUGCAUUGAACUAGCCCAUUUCUAAAGAACCUUACUAGCGUUGGACUAGCAAGCAAGCGGAAAAGAAAGUCACAACUAGCGUUAAAUUAGUGUGGUGACACCAUGCAUUAAUAAUACAUAGUAAAACAAAUAAGGUAUAAAUUAAAACAAAUAAACACAUAAAAGCACGUAGCACAUAACAUAUAAAUAUAAUAUCUAUAUGCAAAAAUUUUAAAAAAAGCGGAUAAAGCACAUAACACAUAAGCUACAUAAAUACACAAAAACUUAUCUAUUACAGUGGGGAAUCUAACUACAAUCUAAAAUGGGGAAAUAAAAAAAAAUCCUAUCUACCCUAUAUAUUAUAAUAGGGGACCUAAUUACAAUCUAAGAUGGAAAAAAUAUGAUAAAAUAAACCUAGUUAUCCUAUCUAUUACAUUAAGCUAUCUAAUUACAAUUUUUGUAAAGAAUAUUACCUAUCUAUUACAUUUUGAGGUAUUUAAAUACCUCCCAAAUAAUUAUAAAAUUAACUAAACAAACAUAAGAAAAUUUGAAUGAACAUUUGAAUCAAAUAAAUAAAGCAUAUAAAAAUAUAUAAACACAUAAGAACAUGUAAGAGCAUAUAAGAGCACGUAAUCGACAUUUAAAUAAUAUUAGGGGUACCUCCAUUUUUGAAGUGGUAAUUCAAUAGAGUCAAAUUGUCCUAGUUAUAUCCAAAAUGAACAAAAGAAUCAUGGUACCAAUUUAAUUGAAAAUAAUAAUAAUGAUAAAAUACUAAAUUCACAUUAACAUGUCAAACAUAAAGGAAUUUAAGAACAUCUAAAAAUCACAAGUUAAAUAUGUUCAAAAGUAACAUAAUUAGCUAUUAAAGAAAAUAAACAAUUAUAAUAGACUGUCAAAAUUCACUAGGGACCGAAUUGCAAAAAUUAAAAAUUGUUGGGGUAAAAAAUAAUUUUUCCAAAAUUUAGGGGUCAAAAUUAAAUAAAAGAUAAAGUUUAGGGACAAAAUUGAAAUUAAAUUAAGGACCUAAUUAAAAAUUUUAAAAUUCUGGACCACAAUAAAAUUACUCCAAAGAUUAGUGGCUAAAGUGCAAAUUUCAGUUUCUGGUUUGGGCAAGAAAAGGCCAUCGGGCCUUUUUUUUUGCUUGGGCCGAAAAUUCCUAAACCCAGUCGAAACCCAAAACAAAUAAGCGGUCCAGCCUAUCCUUUUAUCACUCAAGCCCGACCAAAAAUGCAUGGGGUCUGACCUCCUAGCACAAGCCGAAACCCAAAAGAAACAAACCAAAACCCAUUCCCAUAACUUAACCAAAAUAACCAUAAGCCCACCACACAAAAAAAAACAUUAGCCCAACACUUUUUUUUUUCUUUCUUUUCCUUCUUUUCUUUUUCUUCUUCUUCUUCUUCAGUUUUCUUCUUCUUCCACCCGAGAAGCUGAAUCUUCUCCUUGCUGGCGGCUAUGGCCACCUCCGGCGGAGCCAGCGCCGGACCGCCACCGGACGCAAAAUUUUCGGUUACCAAAUUUUCUCAAAAUACACCCCCUCACUCGAUUUUUUGCGUAGAUUCCAUUUUUGGGCUUAGUUUUUACAAAAAAGGAACCAAAAGUGGCGAAAAUAGCAAAAGUCAGUCCAGUUUUAUUUUUUUUUCAACACUCAAAUCUUCACCAAAAACCAUAAAAUUUAGAGUGAAUGGCCCAAAAGGUCAUUAAACUAUUAAAAAUGGCACCCUUUCGUCAUCAAACUUUUUUUGUGGUCCAAAAAGUCACUAAACUCACAAAAACGCACUAGCGAGGUCAUUUUACUGAUUUUUAGCAGUUUCUCAUCCGGUGGCACCGGCAAGGUGGAGUGGAGGAAUAUUUUUUAAGGGGCAAAAAUGUCCAAUAAAAUAUGACAGACCUGUUUUGUCCCCGCAAGCCGUGCCCUUGGAUCUAAAACUUCAUUGAGCCCUUCUUUCAUCUAUUAGACAAAUCUUCUUUCAUCUUCCCCAUUCUUGCGGCUCACCACUUCAAAAUCUACUCUUGUGGCUCUCGGAAUGCCAUGACUAUAAUAGACUCCGACAAGACUCUUAUUUGCCUCCGCAACGCCUGCAAUUUCGUCGGCAACCUCGUCAGGUUAAAAGGGCAGUUUCUUUUCGUCAACACCAACACCCUUUUCGACGAAAUCAUCGAGGAAAUGACGAAAGCUAUUGGGAUUAAGAAUGACAAGUCGUGGCGUCUUGAAGGCUUUUUAACAAACAGUUCGAGUCCCAAAAAGUUUCGCGGCCGGAAUAAGAAGUUGAACUUGGGAGCCAUUCACGCUCCUGAUUGUGUGGUGAUUUUCGAUACGGAGAGGAAGUCUUCGGUUAUUUUGGAGGCUGAAUGGUUGCAAGUUCCGAUUGUGGGGCAUGUUGAUUCGAGUAUGCCGUGGGAAACUUAUAAGAAGAUUACUUAUCUGGUGCGUGCCAAUGAUUCAGUUCAAUUUGUUUACUUAUUUUGUAAUUUGAUCACUAAAAUUUUUUUGUAUGAGCAAAGAAAAAUGAAGACUGCACAAGGGGCAGAUGAUUUAACCGCUGGGACUCGGUAUGAACUCUACUAAUUUUACUUUUUGUGUUCAUUUUUGAAGAAAGAAGAUUUCUCUCUGAAUAGAUGAAAGAGAGACUCAAUGAACUUUUAGAUCUAAGGGCACGGCUUGCGGGGACAAAACAGGUCUGUCAUAUUUUAUUGGACAUUUUUGCCCCUUAAAAAAUAUUCCUCCACUCCACAUUGCCAGUGCCACCGGAUGAGAAACCGCUAAAAAUCGGUAAAAUGACUCCUCUAGUGCGUUUUUGUGAGUUUAGUGACCUUUUAAGCCACAAAAAAAGUUUGAUGGCCAAAGGGUGCCAUUUUCAAUAGUUUAGUGACCUUUUGGGCCAUUCACUCUAAAAUUUAUACUACAACACUCCUUGUGAUUUUUACAACAUAACUAUGAACGGAAAUUAAUAAAAGCAACAACAAAUAUGACAAAAUUAAAUCAAAACAGUCCUAAAAAUAAAAAAAAAAUCCUUCAAUACUUUUGAGACUCAAAACUCCAAAAACUUGGAUAACCAAACAUUUUCCGGGCCUUGUGCUAGUUAGGACCAUCUAUCUUGACAAAAUAAGCACAAAAGAUUCACUAAAUUGAUUCAUUUUUCGGUUUGACAUUUUUACAAACACUUAAUAUGCAUUCACAGAAAUCCUCUUUUCCUCUUAAUAUUAUUCGUGACUUACCCCAAAAAAUUCAACAAACACCAGCAGCCAAUUUCUUUCACAAAACCCACAAAAUUAUUGAUCAUCAAGGCCGAAGAAAAGAAGAGAAAAAAAAACCGAACCAGUUUGCAUUAAAAAAAGAAUCAAAUAAAUCUUUGCCAAUUUUCCAGGAGCUAUCUCGUUGGAGUCAAAAUAAAAAUAAAAGGAGAGACUUACAAUAGUUUUACAAUGGCGAUUAUUAUGGCAGUGGUGGUGGUAAUGGCACUAGCAGCAAGCUCCCAACUUCACCCUUGAUCUUGCCUUUCACCUUCUUUUGCCCCCCUUUUUUUUUCGGUUUGUGAGAGAAAAUGGCUGCAGAAGGAAGGAGCUGAGAGAGGGAAGUGAUUUUGUAUUGGUGCGUGAUGGUGUAUGAGAUUGAGAGGGAGGGAAAAAGAGGGGAGCCGAGAGGGAGUAUUGGAGUUUUUUUUUUUAGCUGUCUGAUGGUGUGUUUGUCUGUCUGGGAGCAAAAGAAAAGGCCGAGAGGGAGUAUUAACAGAGUGGAGUUUGUGGCUUGUGUUGGUCAAAGAAAUGAUGGACUUCCAAAUGACAAGAAAAGUGCAUGGAAAUAACAUGAUGAACUUUUUGACGAAAAUGAUGAGAAAUGUUAAUGAGGAUGGAGUGUAAAAAUAGAUUAAUAGUGGUUUUGAUAAAACAAAAUGAUUAGGAUGAUUUUUGAUUCCUUGAUUUCUUGAUUUUGUUCUUUUUUUUCUUUUUUUUUUAAACCAACCUAAAAAUAAAUAAAAUAAAGAUGAAAUAAAUAAAAAAAUAUGCACAUUAAAAUACAAGAAAAUAAAUAACUCAUUAAAUAGAUAAAAUUCAAGAAAAUAUUAAAAUUGAUAAAAUUUUGAUAUCUACAGGGGCUAAUUACUCAGAAUAUAGGUAAGAAAAAAAAAUCGGAGACUUAUUAGUCUGACACAUGCUGGGUAUAAAUCUAUUGUUGCAGCCCGGCACCUGACACCAAAUUUUUUUUUAAAAAAAAUAUGUCAGGUGCCAGGCUGACACAACUCGUCACCUGACCCAAUUUUUUUUUUAAAACAUGGCAAGUGCUGGGCUGGGCUGACACAGCCCGGCACCUGGCAUCAAAUUUUUUUUUAAAAAAAGAUGUCAGCUGCCAGGCUGACACAACCCGUUACCUGACCGAAUUUUUUUUUUUCUAAAACAUGGCAGGUGCCGCAUCCAGUCAAAAGUUUUGCUUUGGGACUUAUUAGGGACUUACCCGGAAGUCUUGGGACUUAUUAGGGACUUACGACGAAUUGUGUCAUCUGGGAUUUGAAGCAGUUGCAUUAAUCCAUCUAAUUGUGAUUGCUUGCUUCCUCUUGCACCAAACUUCCCAAAGUUCCUUUGAACUCGUCGUGAACGUCCCAUGGUACAGUAGGGUUUGGGACAGGAAUCUCAUGCGGCCAUAUGUAACUGUUUUGUUAACUGGAACCAUGUGGCUAUAUACAACUCUUUUCCUUUUAAAUGGGUAUUAUUGGGUAUAUUUUGAAUUAGGUCUAAUUCUAUAUUUUACAUACCCAUUCCACCCAAAUUAAACUUGGGUAUGGGAGCCCAUUGGAUCUUAGAACUUUUUGCCAGUCUAAUAACAUUGCACAGCAGAAACUUUAUUAAUAUUUCUUUCAAGUGUAGGUGGGAUUACACUCCAUCCCCUGUAUCACUCAAUUUAUUCCUUUCUUUAAAAACUUUAUUAAUAUCUUAAACACCAAUAAAGCUCAAGAAAAAAUUCAUACAUAUCCUCCACCAACGAUUUAGACGUUUCAAGAAGAAACCUAUAAUUGAUUGACCCUAAUAAAACACCAAUUAUACAUACUUGGUAAACAAGAAAUUAGCUAAUAAAACACCACUUACCAAUAAGAAAACUAUUAGAAAUUUUGACUUCAAUAUAACCCUUGGAAAUUAAAUAAGAAUCUGCUUUAUUUGUCCACUCAAAGAUGUGAUACUUCAUUUUGCUACCCUUAAUGUCCUUUGCGUCUAAUUUAUCCAAAUUACAUCAUCUCCAAACCCUUGAUCCUAAUUUUUAAACCACUCGUAAUGAGUGGGGGAAGAAAAACUUUCAACAAAAAAAAAAAUGAACUAGGGAUAGGUAUGGUUAGAAAUUUCAUAUCAUUAUUGUACUUUCUAUAUUAUAUGGUUAGAAAUUUCAUAUGAUUAUUGUACUUUCUAUAUUAUAGUAUGAGAAUGGCUGGAAAGAAGAAAUCAAAUCCUGCAUGUAGAUCUAACAAUUAAUCUAAUUAAAUAUUAGUUAAGAUAUAUUUCAGGUAUCAUAUUUUUUAAAUUAUAAGAUUAAUUAGAAAAGGUAAAUAAAUAUAAGAGAAAGUAUGUAAGAUUAAAUAGAAAAAAUAUAUAAAUGCAAGAGAAGCUAAUAAUUAUUAGUAUGUAUAUAUAUACAUGGCAAAUGUGUAACAUUGAAUUCAUCCCUCUCCCGCGGUAUCUUUCUUAGUAUUUAAGUACACUCAAAACAUCUUUGGGGAAUCUACACAUUGUUCGGCACAUGCAUUGCAAAAGUGGUCUUUCCUUAAUAUUUGGUCCAAAUAAUACAUCAAUUAUAAAAUACUUGGUAAACAAGAAAUUAGCUAAUAAAGCAACACUAACCAAAUAAGAGAACAAUCCCAAAUUUGACUCCAAUAAAACACCUAGAAAUUAAAUAGGAAUGUGCUUUAAAGUUGAGAUACUGCAUUUAGCCACCACUAAUGUUCUUCAAUUACAUCUCCCCCAAUUCUUGAUGCUGAUUUUCAAACCAUUGGGGAAAGCACACGUAAGUGAACUCAGCGGCAGCUUCCACUUUCCAAGACGUGCCAUGUAAUGGUUUGUAAAGAUCAAAGGGUAAUUAAACUAUCUGGACGAGAUGCCUUAUAUUCUUUGCAAUUUUUUACCGCUGACUAAUCAGAACAUUUCUCCAUUACUUCGCCAGAUCCUAGUUUUUUUCUAAUUAGCAAAAAAAAAAUAAAAAUUCCAUAAUAGUUGUAACGAGAUCUAACACAGGCAGGAAUUCUUAGCUUUAGGAAUUCUAUAGCUCUGCCAGCUUUUUUAAAAAGCUUAAAAAUUUGGUGUCAGGUGCCGGGCUGUGUUAGCCCGGCAACAAUAGAUUUAUACUCAGCAUGUAUCAGACCAAUAAGUGUCUGACUUUUUUUUUUUUUUUUUUACCUAUAUUCUAAGUAAUUAGCUAAGUAAUUAGCCAUCUACAGGGAGGUUUUAAUAAAAGUUUCAAAAAUAAUAAUUUCAAGGUCUUGAAUUGAUUUCUGUUUCUUGUAAAUCAUAAAAAAAAAAUGAGAAGACAAGUUAAUUAUAUGUCACUCUUGUGCUAUAUUGCUUGUUCUGGAAUAAUAAAGUACAUGAAAUAUAGCCUGCCAUAGUUUGCCGGUAAAUACCUCUGUAUUCCCUAAGACCCUAAAAACAAUAUUCUACUCCCUCAACACAAAAUAGAAGAACGAUGUUUUAGAUGAUCUAAAGCCUGACAUCAAAACACUUCAUGCAUUAAGUUUCUCUUCUUGAUAAAGCCCAGUUUUCAAGCAUCAAUCUGCAUCGCAGUGUUAUAAAAGCUUUACGCACGAUUAGCUUGAUGAAGGAUUAAAUCCAUCACACUCAUAUCUUCAGGAAUAAAUGAGAAACAACAUUAUGUGGGUUAUGUGAAGGAAGGACUUAGGAGGACUCGUAGAUUACAGCCUAGCAUAUGCAGACUCCCCGUCCCCACAACCCCCCCUCCACCCUCGGCCCAACACAAUAAGAGAGAGGGGGUGUGGGAAGCUUCUAUGGUUCAGGAAAAUAAUUGGAUUGCGAUUUUCUGUAAAAAAAAAAAUUUACGUUUUCCGUGAACACAUUCCCAAUCACCUUUUCACCUCACAGUACAUUUUCCUUCAAAAAUUCUUAAAAAUAGCAAUCCAAACAAGGCCACACAAUGAAUUAAUUGUUAGUAAACUUUUGCAAAAUUAAGAAAAAGAAACCAAAUGCAAGAGUACAAAUUAUUUAGUUUUAUACAAACCAAUAAAAAUUACUUUUUUUUGUUACUGCUACACUUGCUAUCCACAAUGAAAAUGCACAUAUUAACAUUUGAAAGGCGUAGAAAAGUUGGCAUAAACGUGCCCCAAAUUUCUCCUCCCACUUCAAUGUUGGCAUUUUUAUCUCUCAAUUAUGUUUUGCAAAUAUCCGUAGAGGUAGCAAGGCUUAUUUUGUUGUACAAAAGAAUGAAUCCAUAUACUUUCUCGGCUUUUCCUUCCAUUUUACGCAGUUGAUUUAAAAUUUUCAGUUGAUAUUUGAAUUUUGAAUCAGUUCAUUUGCCCCAAACGAACCACGUUAGGAUUUCAAUACAUUUUUUACUUUUUUAUUCUGCCCACUUAUUAUAACGAUGUUGUUUUUGGUCUAGCAACGGGACCAGUAGAGAUAGUUUCGCAUCUCGUCGCAUUUUGUGAGAGGAUUGUUCAGGAACGGUCAGCCUAGUGACCGAUCCUACCCGAAAUAUACCUAAAAGCACAAAACAUGGCUCUUACAUUAUCUCUCUCAUAAUAAAUGAUGGUGGGCCAUUGUACUUUUGCUUCACAAGUUUGUCCCCCAUUCUUUUUUUUGGAGGGGGGUGGCAAAUAGUGUAAUUUAUACGAAAUUUUACACUAUAUCAAGGGCAUUUUUUGAAAGUUGAGGAGGGAGGGCAAUUGUCCACCCUCAACUAUUAAUAGCUCCACUCUUCCAAACAAGCUGAACUAGCUCUUGCACAAAAUAUAAAAGUUAUAACCUUUUGAAUUAGCUUUCCAAUGCAUCAAAAAUCAUAUCAUUUGGGACUCUGUAGGCUAAGAAAUGAUAGAUUUCUCCCUGACUAGUCAACAGCCAUUUUUAGAUUUUGGUUUUUUAAAAAAAUGCAUCUCUGUAUUUUAAAUUUUUGGCCCUCGCAAUAUGCAAAUUGGACUUCGAUGUCUUCAUAAGAAAUGUAGCCUAUCUAAUACAUGUAGUUCAAGUUAUAGUUGAAAAACUCCGAUGUGUCAAGGUAGCCAAUCUUCGUUGCCACUUAGAGGCUUUGUUAGCCUGGAUAGGAUGAAUUUCCCUUACCUCAGAGUUUAAUUGCUAUGUACUCCUGCACUUUCUCGUGAAAAAAAAAAUGUACUUAAUGUCACUUGAAAUCACUUCAAAUAAUCAAAAAUCAUGCAAAUAUAUUCUCGCUUUACUCCAUUUGAUGAUUGAAUAAUCAAAACCUACAAAAAAUAUGAAGUUUUAAUCGCUUAAAUACAUAGAAAUGCAAUUUUUCUUACUUAAUCAUAAAAUACAAACUUCACUAGAGAGCUAGUUAAAUUAGCUCUUAAAAUGACUAAAAAAUGCCAAAAACUACAUAAUAAAACACACUAAAAAUAUGCAAAUAAAUAGUUAUGAAAAUUUCUUUGUGCAAUUGAUCAAGUAUAUAAAAAUUUAAAAAAAAAUCAAUAGUUGAAUGAGGUAUGGUUAGAAAAUUGAAAUGAAAAAAAAAAUCAACAGUUGUCAAGAAAAGAAGUUAACGGUAAUUUUUGUUUGGUGGGUGGAGAGCCAAGGGAUGUGAGUAGAUGUAGUUUGGAAAAUCAAAGCAUUGUGACUAAAAACGUUUUAAUUAGUCAUUCAAUGGAAUAAAAGAGAGUAGUGCGUGUAGAUACCAUGGAUGAAUGAUAACUAUGCAAAAUUUGAAUUCGAAAUUUAAUUUUUGCAUGUGUCAUGGAUCCAACGGUGAUAGUGUAUACACUGUCAGUGUAUAUAAGUUUUACUCUUUAAUUAUAUGCUGUUAUCACUAACCUAUGGUAGUGCUGAGACCUCAAGAAAACCAUCUUGCUUCUUUUUCCUUUUUUUUUUAGCUCAUUGGAAACUAUAGCUUAACUAAAAUGGUAGUGUUUGAGGUUCGAACCAGGGACCUCACCAUCUCUGGUUAAUGCUAUUCCAGUUGAGUUAGUUUUGUAAGGUAAAUUUUCUUGAUCAUCACUCAAAAAACUUGGGGGCCUCCCCAUUUCACACGUGAGGCUAUAGCAAUACAACGUCUUGUGUAAAUAUUGCUGUACCCAAAAUGUUCCAAGAACACUAACAUUUUUUAGAAUUUCCACAAUAUAAGGAUCCUUGGCAUGAAAAUGGCAUUAUACAAUUACACUUCUACUGGACGUUACUACAACUUCAACAGCAAGAAAAGUUCAAAGUUCCCUUGUUUACCAAAAAAAUAAAAAAUUUUGUUUGAAUAGUCAGAGUCACAUUUAAAUCCCAAAAAAUUAGUAUUGAAUAGGAUACAUUUCCGGGCCAGCCUAACAACUCUCCUUAAAUUCUUUGCGUCGUCUCAAAAUUCAACUAGUAGAGAUAUCUAUUAUCUAGAGGUAAGUCAUAUGCCUGCCUUUACGUGGGUAUUGCACUUAAUCGGGUACAAUCCUUAACCCCUCCAGUACCUUGCUCAUUCAUAACCCAAUACGACAAAGCCAAUCUCGUAGAAAGCAUACAAGUUUUGCUCUAAUAGUAACUGUGAUGCUUUCCAUUUUGGGUUCACCAAAUAACUUUUGAGCAUAAUUCACAUAACCAAAAUGCUUAAACUAAAACCCAUGAGAAUUGGUCUAUUAUCUAUCAAUCAAUACUUUUAUCUUUUUCUACGGGAGAAGUGGCAUGAGAAUUGGUCUUUCAAUUAAAGAACCCAAUGUUUGCAUAGGUCAGUUGAUUCGAGUUGGGCUGGAUCAACAUUUUUAUACAAACUUUGAAGUCAAUAAUUUUAAAAUUUUGUCCAAAUUGAAGGUAGAUAUACUCGUCAUUUGGGUGUAGGUUUCUUUUCCAAAUAGAAGACAAAGAAAAACGUAAAACAACUGGUAGAUGACCAAGUGAAUAAUAUUGCGUACAGGUCAUAGUUAUUAAACCCAGUCCGGCCCGGCGAUUCAACCGGUCAACCCGGUGAACUGGCCAUGAAACCAGACUGGGUUGGUAAUUAGAUCGUUUGUACAACAAACCCGUUGACUUGUCAACGAUUCGACAACUUGGUUGAACCGGACGGUUUUAUAAGGAACCGGUUGUAUGUUAAAAUAUUUAGAAAAUGUUGCUAGGAAAAAUCAAACUCCGGACCUGACGCAGAAGAGCCAAGCGCGCGCACCACUGGACCAACAACCCCUUUGGAGCUUAUUCAGCCCUUCUAUAUUAUAUAUUAGAUCUUUGUUCUUAUUUUAUUUCAUCAAAACAAAAUUGUUUGGAAUCUUAUAAUAAAAUUCUAUUAUUCCACAAAAUCUAUAAGUUAUGAAUAGAUUUAAAAAAUAGCAUAUUACACAAUUCAUUUUAAAGACAAACAUUAUUCUUAAUAACUUUUUACACUUAAAAUUCGUAAAUAAAUUAGACAAUUACACUUAGAUAUUUGGUUGAUUACUAAUUAAAUUUAGAUUUUGUUAAUUCUUAUAAGAAUUAAUGAUUUUAGAAUAAAUUGCACUAAUUGAGUAUUUACUAUGGUAUAGUUUAUUAUAGUUUCAACUAUAUCAAAAAUUAUGAAAUAUAAUAUUUAAAUAUAUUUAGUGACCCACCGGUUGGACCACUCACUUACUGGUUGAACCAGUAAUCCGUUGACCCACUUCUUUCACCGGGCUCCUCUCCGGGCCGGGUUUAAUAACUAUGGUACAGGUCAUCAAGACAUUAUAAAAAUCUAAUGAUAUCAUUGUCGGUUUUCAUUUCAAUAUAAAAUAUAAAUGAUUCCUAAUCAAUUAAGUUUUGUAAUUUGUUUAAUCUUCCACUUGCAUAUCUCCAUAUUCGUUUUCCAGUGCAUAUUUGUACUUGAUCGGCUUCUAGUGUAAAUGAUUGUAAGUUCAGGGCAGCUUCCUCAAGAAUUUCGAAAUCAGUUUGAUGUGAUUUCUGUACCAUUAGUAACCUUAUACUGUUAAUCAAUUUAAUCUUCGUCCUCGGAUUUCCAGCUUCGUUCCAAGGAUGAUGCAGCUAUCUUACCUACCACUGACUUUUACUCUUCAUUCUGUACUUUAAUGAUGCAGCCUCUCAGCAGAUCCCAUUUAUUUACCCCUGUUUCCUACUUUGGUUCAGGGUUCAAUUUUCACAAGUUUUCAAUAAAAUUUUUUAGGGGUUAAUCUCAUUUUAUCCCCUUAAAGAAUACCCCAUUUCUCAGUUUACCCCCUAACCUUUAAUUUUGCUCACUUAACCCCCUUUAGGACAAAAUUGCCCUUGCAUUAUUUUGACUUUUCAUUUACCUUAUUUUCCUUGGGUAAAAUACACGGAACUCCCUUAUGGUUUCGCGAAAAGAUACAUUACCCCCCUAUCGUUUAGAAACAUACACAUAAACACCCUAAACUUCAUAACUAAAGUGGAGAUUGACUUCUUAACCGGCUGAGUUACCAGCUGCAGGUCGAAUACCCAAAAUACCCUCAUUUAUAAUAGAGAGGGAGAGAGAAUCAAGAACUGACUCUCUCUCGUUCAUCCUGUGUAAGAAAAAAAAACCCUAAAACAAGGGAUUUGUAUACUAAAUUGUUGCUGAAAUAUCAUGAAUCUGAGUUGAAAACAGCGUGGCUGCCUUUCGGACAUGAAUUGGUUGAUCCUAAAGGGUUCCUGAGAAGCUGGAACAACAGUGGUAUUGGAGCUUGUUCGGGUGGCUUGGCCGGGAUUAAAUGUGCUCGGCGACUAGUAAUUGUAAUCCAGCUUCCCUGGAAAGGUCUAGGUGGUCGAGUAACUGAAAAAAUUGGGCAGCUGCAAGCUCUCAGAAAGCUUAGCCUCCACGAUAAUGCAAUUGGUGGUGCAAUUCCUUCCUCGUUGGGGCUUUUGCCUAACCUCAGAGGUGUUCAAUUAUUCAAUAAUCGAUUUUCUGGUUCAAUCCCACCUACACUUGGUUUGAGUCCCCUUCUUCAAUCACUAGAUUUCUGUAACAACUCCCUCUCUGGAACUAUUCCAGCUACUCUUGCCAUUUCAACCAGGCUCUUUAGGCUUAAUUUUAGCUACAACUCUUUGUCUGGUUCAAUUCCCACCAGCCUUACUCAAUCGCAAUCGCUGAUUUUUCUUGCUCUAGAGCACAACAAUCUCUCUGGUUCCAUUCCUGACUCUUGGGGUGGAAAUGUGAAGGCCCUCUAUCAACUUCAGUCCCUAACACUUGGUCACAAUUCAUUUUCUGGGACAAUUCCAGCUUCUCUUGGCAACUUAAGUGAGCUCCAAGAGAUUUCACUCAGUCAUAACAACAUGGCUGGAUUGAUACCCAAUGAAAUUGGAAGACUAUCUAGGCUUAGAACACUUGAUUUCUCAUAUAAUGCACUCAAUGGGAGCUUACCUGCCGCUCUUUCCAAUUUAUCAAACCUUGUAGUUUUGAACUUGGAAAGCUACCAUCUUGACCACCAAAUUCCUGCAGCUGUAAACAAACUACAGAAACUAUCUGUUCUCAACUUGAGAAAUAACCAAUUUGCUGGUCCUAUUCCAGCAACAGUUGGGAACAUUUCUUUCCUGACACAAGUUGAUUUAUCUCAAAACAAGUUUAGUGGAGAGAUUCCAGCAUCUAUAGGUGAUUUACCUAAUCUUAGUUCCUUUAAUGUGUCUUACAACAAUCUGUCCGGUCCUGUUCCAACUAAGCUUGCUCAAAAGUUCAAUGCAAGCGCCUUCGUGGGCAAUCUUGAGCUAUGCGGAUACAGUGCAUUAACCCAAUGUCCAAUACCACCCUCUCCGGGCCCAUCAACUCCACCAGAAUCUCCAGCAAAGAAACAUCAUAAACUGAGCACUAAAGACAUUAUUCUCAUCGCAGCUGGGGCUCUCCUCAUCUCCGGAGAAAAAGGCACUCCUCCAACUGCAGGUGAAGUUGAAGCAGCUGGAGAAGCAGGAGGAAAGAUUGUCCACUUUGAUGGACCCAUGGUUUUUACAGCAGACGAUCUGUUGUGUGCCACAGCAGAGAUCAUGGGUAAGAGCACUUAUGGAACAGUAUAUAAGGCAACAUUGGAGGAUGGCAGUGUUGCUGCAGUGAAGAGAUUGAGAGAGAAGAUUACAAAAGGACAAAGGGAAUUUGAAACUGAGGUUAAUAUACUGGGGAAGAUCAGGCAUCCAAACCUUUUAGCGAUGAGGGCUUAUUAUUUAGGUCCGAAAGGUGAAAACUUCUCCGUAGAUCUUCUCCCUUUUUCCUUUCACUCUUUGAUAGGUUGAAAUCUCUUCUCCCCUGAUAUGUCACUUCAAUAUAGCAACUGAAGGGUAACUUGGGAAUGAAACUCAAGAUCUUUUCAAAAGAAUCUCGCAUACCCAUCAUCAGUAGGUCGUUCAGCCGGUUAUAGGUCUAUUUCCACUUUAGUUAUGAAGUUUAGGGUGUUUAUGUAUAUGUUUUUAAACGAUAAGGGGGUAAUGUGUCUUUUCGCGAAACCAUAGGGGGGUUCCGUGUAUUUUACCCUAUUUUCCUUUCUUUUAUUUCUUUUUCUCUUUCUUCUUUAUUUAAUUCUUCCUCUUUCCCACAAAAAUCUUCACCUUAAUGAUUGAAAUUAAAAAAAGAGGAAUUGCAGAGAUCUAUCCUCUCCUUAAAUGAUUAAAAAAUAUUCAAAUCACUUUCCUAAAAUACAAUUUUUUUAGCCUUUCAAUUCUUUUAACUUUGGGUUUUCCUCUUUCCUUUCUAGUUUCUCAUUUUAUUCCCAAGAAAAUAUCUUAAGAUGAAAUUGUGACCUGAUUAAUAAUCAUCAAUUGAAAUUUGUGACACGUGGCAUCAUACAAAAAAUCAAAAUUAGUUUUUGAUACCCUUUCAAUUCUUUUAACUUUGGGUUUUCCUCUUUCCUUUCUAGUUUCUCAUUUUAUUCCCAAGAAAAUAUCUUAAGAUGAAAUUGUGACCUGAUUAAUAAUCAUCAAUUGAAAUUUGUGACACGUGGCAUCAUACAAAAAAUCAAAAUUAGUUUUUGAUACCUUUUAAACCUUCACCCAGAAAUAUGCAAUUACAAACUCAAAACAAAAAUUUUCAUUGAAAUGGAAUUUCUAUUGGGAAGGAUGAAAGAGAGAAGAAAGAGAAAAAGAAAUAAAAGAAAGGAAAACAAUUUCAUCUUAUGAUAUUUUCUUGAGAAUAAAAUGAGAAACUAGAAAGGAAAGAGGAAAACCCAAAAUUAAAAGAAUUGAAAGGCUAAAAAAAUUGUAUUUUAGGAAAGUGAUUUGAAUAUUUUUUUAAUCAUUUAAGGAGAAGAUAGAUCUCUGCAAUUCCUCUUUUUUAAUUUCAAUCAUUAAGGUGAAAAUUUUUGUGGGAAAGAGAAAGAAUUAAAUAAAGAAGAAAGAGAAAAAGAAAUAAAAGAAAGGAAAACAAGGUAAAUGAAAAUUCAAAAUAAUGCAAGGGCAAUUUUGUCCUAAAGGGGGUUAAGUGAGCAAAAUUAAAGGUUAGGGGGUAAACUGAGAAAUGGGAUAUUCUUUAAGGGGAUAAAAUGUGAUCAACCCAAUUUUUUAGCAUUAAAUGAUAUCUACACAUUUUCACUUCUCACGUCGUUUGUCGUUUGGUUGCAACUUCUUUACUUUUUCACAAAAGCAUUGAUAAAAAAAAAACCGUUUUUUUCUUAACAACACUUAUUAUCAUUAUCAUUUUUAAAAGAUACAACAAAUCUCGGUACUUUAGAAUGUAAGUGCAAGUUAUCUUAGUUUUUGUUAUUUCAAUUAUGUCCUUAUUAAUUGAUGAUUGAAGUUUCAUAUUAUACUCUUUUUAAUUUUUUAUGACUAUUGAAAUUCAUUUUGUCACACCUUCAUCUUUUAAAAUCAAGUCGCUGUCUGGCUUCUUCUUUUUAAUUUCCAUCCUUUUGCUUUCUGGUGUUCUUUCCUUCUUGACAAUUAAUUCUUCAUUUUCCGGCAGUUUCUUUCUUCUGAGGAUCCACUAUCGUGGGUCAUGAGUGAAAAAGGAAUCGCGAUAAGCAAAAGAGUACAAAAGAGAGAGAGCACAAAACCCUAUAAAAUAAUUCCAAAGUCCAAAUGUAUCUAAAACUAAAAACACUUGAGAUAUUUUUUUUUUUUUGGGAAGCAUAACACUCGAGAUUUUAAAGAACACACAAAUGUCUUGUAAAAUCAAAAUUCCUAAAGUUUAGGAUUAUGAUAAAAUGAUAAUGUUAGAAUACUUCAUACUUUAGUAUAUUAAUUGAACCAUUCCAUCUAAUUAGUGGUUAAAAAAUAGGGAACUUAUAAAACACGAGCAGCACAUUGCAAUUAGUGGGGAACUUUUGUCACUUUGUUAAUGAAAAAUAGCAUGGCAGACUAAAUAGGACUUUAGGAAAAUUAAGUGAAUUUGAUGCUAUUUGUUGGCAAACUUCUUGGAAACUGAAGAAGAAUGGAAAAAAGAAAUGUCUUAAAAAAAGUUAAACACAACUAAUGCUCACAUUCUUAAAUCUUUUGGGCUAGUAUUAAAAAUACUUUAGUAGGUGACCAUGAGAUUUUUCCUGUUUUUCGUACUAACUUUAAUCACAUGCCAAAUAAAAUGUUGCUUUUUAAAGAACAUACCAUUGCAGGUGAAAAAUACUGCCACAAACUCGAUUUGUCAAGUGACAAGAUCAUUACUUCAGAAAAGGGUAUGCUGAUUUUUGCCUCUAUCUUCCGCACUUUUCAGAAAGAAAAAAAAAAGCAUAAUCAUUUAUAUGAGCUGCCAUUGACAGAAAAAAAAAAAAAGAGUAUAUCCCUGUAACAGGAUAAACCAAAAAAAGAGUAUAAUCACUUAUUUGUGCUUUAUGAUUAUCCUAUUUGUACUAGUGCUCUAUUUUUUUUUUUUUUUUACACUUUUCCUGUUUUUUCUUUUGACAAUGCCAUUCUUGAUAAUCCCCAAAAAUACUAUCCUCUUCCAGUUUGUCUUAUUUUUCUCACAUUGUAUUUUUUUUUUCUAGUUUCUGGUUGCUUUUAAGAAAUAAAGAUAUUGAUUAGAAUUUUAUUAAGGUCCUUGAAAUCACAAAUGCACUCAAAAAUUUGUGGAGCUUAUCAACUUACAAAUAUUGGUAAGACUAAAAACUGCUUAGACUCUAUAUACUUAGAAAAUAAUGGCCAACAAUAUUAAAUUAUUAAUGUGUACCCCUAAAAUACAAAGUAAAAAAAUGACAAGAUAUCGUAGGUAACUUUUGACUCUCUUUAGUUGGCCUGAUUUAUCAUUGCAAACCCUCAUGGCAAAUAUUAACCCAAAAUUACAGUAGUUUAAAAAAAUGCUCAUUCACACACACAGAGACACAUACACAAAAGGCGUAUAAAUAUAAACAAUCUUCCCUUCUUUGUUUAUUUACUUUUGCACCGUGCAAUGGCUGCUCCUUCAGUCCUUUAUCCGUUCGAAGAACCCACAAUCAAUUGAAUAACCCUGAAGCGUGAAGACCCCCACUGACUAAAAAAGUCUUCCUGAUAACUUCUACAUUUUUGCAUUUUGGCUUCUUUUGUAAGGCAGCUUCGUCUUUCAAACUCAAGUCGCUGUUUGGCUUCUUUUUUAAAUUUCCAUCCUUUUGCUUUAGUUUUUUCUUCCCUUUUGGACGAUUAUGGCUUCAUUUUCCCUCCAAUUUCUUUCUCCUGAAUUAGUGAUUACAAUUAUAUUUUCUAGCAUUUCAUCCUUAACUUUUUCACACGUCUUUGACAAUUCUUUUGUAGCAAUGGUAUCAAGAUGACAAACACUUACAGAAAAAUUAAAGAAUAUGGUAUUAGUUGUCGUAGGAUUCCAGUAACAUGAGUAAUUGACUUUCAAGUUAUGACUAGCAACAAAUUUCACCGGUGAAUUUUAAAUAUUUAACUAAGGUAACUAUUUUGAUAUAGAAAUCUGAAAAAAUAAGGUAAUAACUCAAUCAAUUGAACUACUACUUUUUAGCCUAUCACUCCAAAAUAUAUUUAGGAAAAGCCAAUAAAAAAAUUCCUUUUAUUUUUUUAGUUGGGAUUGCAUGGAUAGAAUAUUACUUAGAAAAAAUUUUGUAUAAUUCACUGUAGCAUGUUUUGUAGUGUAAUGUAUUUAAGUAAUUCUAAAAUAUGUUUAAGAGCAAUUAAAAAAAUAAAUAUUCUUUUAGAGUCAUCACAAUGAUAUGUAACACAAGUGUCCCACAAAUUAGCUAUCAUUGCAUAAGUAAAUCAGUAAAGAACAGAUUCACAUGUGAAUAUGUCUGGAAACAGUGUUUUGAAAACCAGACUGGACCGGCCGGUUCGACCGAUUGGACCGCAAAUCGGUCAUGGUUUCGAUCCGAUUCUAUGCUAUAGUUGAUCAGGUUAGAAAACCGGUCAAAAACUGGUUAAACCGUGAAAACCGCCGGACCGGAUUGAACUGGCGGUUUCCGGUUUUCGAGAUUUUCCCUUUUUUUUUUUUUUUUUUUUUUUACAUUUUGCAAAAUGCAGCUAUCAAGAUUCGAACUCAAGACCUUUGUAAUAAAAGACCAAUGUAGUAACCAUUGCACCAUCACAUCUUAUUAGUUUUUUUUUAUAACUUAUUUAUAUAAAACAAAAACUCAUAUUUCUUUUUUUCAUUUUUUUUACAAAAUCUAAUCAUCUCAUGGUUCUUUCUUUUUAAUCUUCAACACACACACACACACACACACACUCUCUCUCUCUCUCUCUCUCUCUCCUCUUUUUUUUGUCACUCACUUUUUAAUCAAACCACUUUAUUUUUAAUUUAUUGAUGUUUUCUUCUAUCUUUUAAUUUUAUUUUUGUCCAUUAAAUUGAAAAAGGUUAAAAAAGAAUUAUUUUUCUUUAACCCAAAUUAUUUAAUGCCACAACCACUCACUUUUAUCUCAUUUUUUAUUUCUUAUCAAGUUUGCAUUUCUAUUUUCGAUUCUCCUGACUUCUUUCGAACUCCAAAAUUCCUUUUUUAAAUUGCAAUCUCUAAAUCCCAAAACGUAAAUUAAAAUUUAAGUUCACAAAAUCUAAAUUCUCAUAGACAUGAAUUUUGUAUAAUUUUAAAAUAUUAUGAUAUUUUUGGGUUAGAUCUAAGAUUUUUUUGGUAGAUAUAAUUGAAAUUGAAAUGAAAUUUAUUUGUUUUAACUUAUAAUUUAAAAUUUUUAUUUUUAAAAAAUCAAGUUAUUCAAAAAUAAUAAACUUUUCAUCAUAUAAUGUAUUAAAUUAGUCCAUUACAUGUCUUAUUUUAUGCAUAAAUAUUUAUAUAAAUAUUUUUUUUUUAAAUUCAUUGAACCGAGGUUAAAUCGGUCCGAUCGAUUGAACCUCGACUCUUUCACGUCACCGGUUUAAUUAACGGUCCGAUUUUUAAAACAUUGUCCGGAAGUCUUUGCAGAAUCAAAGCCUUGUAAGUUCUGCCCCACACCUUUCAUAUUCAUACAUCUGAACGCGGUUUUGAUUUGUUGACCAAUGGUUCUGAACCACAGAUUAUUAAAGUUCAUAGUAUACUACGAACCCAGGACCGACUCUAAUUUCUUCCUUCUCUGUACAAGGUCAAGGACCCUCUCUUCCUUUCCUGACAUUCUCAAGUUAAAGAAAAAGACUGAAAAUGGCAGAAACAGUUCUCUCUUUUGUGUUAGAUCAGCUGUCAAUUUUUCUGCGUGAAGAGGGCAGAUUAUUGGGAGGGCUUCGCCACGAGGUUCAACUCAUCAGCGAUGAGUUGGGGCACAUGAGAGCAUUCCUGAGAGUGGCAGAAACAAAGGAAGAAGAUGCAGAUCCCAGGCUGCAAGAAUGGAUCAAGCAAGUACGAGAAGCCGCUUAUGACACUGAAGAUGUUCUUGAUGAAUUCGUAGCUCGCUUUGCUCACCAUCAUGCAACAGGGUUCUAUGGCUCUGUUAGGAAAAUUUUCAACUCCGUGAAGACUUUGCGAGCUCGUCGUAAGGUUGCUGAGCAAAUACAGAGCAUCAAGGCCAGAGUAAAGAAUAUAUCUGAAGGGCAUCAGAGAUACCAAUCAGAAUUCGGCGGUGCUACCCAAGCGGCGGAGUCUCUUGCUACUGUUAACAACACAACAUGGCGCUAUAGCAGGGAUGAUGCACUUCUCGUGGAAGAAGCUGAACUAGUUGGCAUUGACCACCCCAAACAACAGCUAAUUUCUCAACUACUCGAGAGGGAUGAUUCCCAGCUCAAAGUUGUCUCUGUGGUUGGCAUGGGAGGACUCGGUAAAACUACCUUAGUCAAAAAAGUCCACGAAGAUUUAGGUAUUAGAAGGCAUUUCCCGGUUCGUGCCUUUGUAACUGUCUCUCAACCAUGCAACUUCCAGGAGCUCCUGAAAGACUUGACUCGGCAGUUACACAAUGAUUUGAAGAAACCAGUUCCAGAAUCGAUUGAGACAAUGACUGCAAUUCAGCUGAAACAAUGUGUUAAAGAUUUUCUUCAACAAGCUGGAAGGUAUGCAAUUGUGUUUGAUGAUGUAUGGGAUGUGGAAUUCUGGAAUGCGAUUAGAUUUGCACUGCCCGAAAAUGGCUAUGGCAAUCGCGUCAUGCUAACAACACGAAAAGCCGAUGUAGCCUCUGCAUCUUGCAACAAAUCUCAAGAUUAUGUCUACAAAAUGGUGCCCCUCUCUUUCGAGGAUUCAUGGACCCUAUUUUGCAACAAGAUCUUCAAAGGAAAUGGUUGUCCUGCCCAUCUAACAGAUGUUGCAAAAGGUAUAUUGGGGAAAUGUCAGGGAUUGCCCCUUGCGAUUCUUGCAAUCAGUGGGCUUUUGGCUUUGAAAGACUUGAAUAUUGCAGAGGAAUGGGAGAUAGUUCGACGCAGCCUAGUGGGUGAAUUAGAAGGCUCUGGUAUGCUGGACAGGGUCAAAAAGAUACUUUCUCUCAGUUACAAUGAUCUACCCUCCCAUCUUAAGUCCUGUUUGUUGUAUUUAAGCAUUUAUCCAGAGGAUUUUGAAAUACCUUGUGGUAGACUUGUUCAAUUAUGGUCAGCUGAAAGAUUUGUGGGUAAGAGAGAAGGAAUGACUGUGGAAGAUGUAGGCUACAAUUACCUCAGAGAACUGGUCAAUAGGAGCCUAAUUCAAGUGACCCAAAUUUUUUAUGAAGGAAUCCCCUACGCUUGUCGAAUCCAUGAUCUAGUGCGAGAAAUUGUUCUUUCCAAGGCAAGGGAACAAAAUAUGAUCGCAAUUACUACUGGACAAUACACAAAGUGGUGGUCUGAGAAGGUACGCCGUUUGGUAGUCCAUAGUAGCAGCAACAACACCGAGCAGCACCAAGAAAGCCAAUGUUAUAGCUUUAACCACCUUCGAUCCUUUAUUACGAUUGAAUCCAUGAAUCCACUAAUAUCCAGAACCUUGUUAUCUGAAGUUUUGAAGAGUAGCAGAUUGUUAAAGGUUUUGGAUUUGAGUGAUGAAGAGACAUUGGAGAAAAUCCCAAAUGAGGUUUUCAACUUGUAUCAUCUCAGGCAUCUGAACCUAUGUAGGACAGGGGUUAAAGCAGUCCCGAAUUUCAUAGGAAAGCUACGAAAUUUGGAGAAUUUGGAUUUGCGUGAAACUCAAGUCAAGGAAUUACCCGUUGAAAUCCUGAAGCUACAAAAGCUUGAGCAUCUUGUGGUAUACCAAAAAGUUGAUGUUUCUGAUACAACUUAUGGAUAUCAUGGAUUUAAAGCUCCAUCAAAAUUGGGAGGGCUUCUUGCCCUUCAAUCAUUAACAACCAUAGAUGCGAGUAGCGGAUCCGUAGUAGUUAAAGAGAUAGGAGCAUUGACUCAAUUAAGACGAUUAGGGAUUUCAAAUCUGAGAAGAGAGGAUGGAAAGGUGCUCUGCUCCUCCCUUGCCACCCUCACGAGUCUUCGGCAACUAAACAUUGCUUCAAUUAGAAAUGAUGGUGGUGAUUAUGAGGUAAUGGAUCUGAAUCAUUCUCUUUCAUCUUCAAUGCGUUCUUCAUUUCUCCAAUCUCUUCGUAUGCUAGUAUUGCGUGGCCGCUUAGAAAUGAUGCCGCAAUGGAUAGCUCAUCUUCAAAGUUUGGCAAGAAUAGAUUUGUAUUGGAGCGGUUUAAGGGAUGAGGAGGAUCCGCUUGCACCCCUCCACCAUUUGCCAAAUUUGGUUACUAUUCAAUUUUGUGGAUCUUACCAAGGAGAGGGGUUGUGUUUCAAGGCUGGAGGAUUCCUAAAGCUGAAGGAUUUGUACCUAAAGAAAUUAGAAAAGUUGAGAUGGAUGGAAGUGGAGAAGGGUGCAUUGCCCAGUCUCCAAGAACUUAGUCUGGAUACACUUCCAUUGCUGGAGGAGUUACCUUUGGAUAUUCAACACUUAAGCUGUCUCCGAAAGCUGGGUUUGUAUGAGUUGGGUUCUCAACUGAUGGAGAAGCUAGAGAAUCUAAAUGAAGAGACUGAAGAUUAUAGAAAAAUUGCACACAUUUCUGAAGUUGUCAUUGAAUUGUGGACCGAUGAGGGAUGGAAACGUUGCCGGCUAUGGGGGAAGAAGAUGUAAAUAUUCCUCUCUUAGUAGCCCUGCCUUCCUAUUUCUUUUUAUUUACUUUUUGCACUUUUGUUUGUAACUUCUAAGUUUAUAAUUUGCGUUAUCUUUUAUCUUAUUGUAUAAAUAUUGUAUUGCAUAAUCUUGUUUAUAUGCGGUAUUACAAACACAAAUACUUCUCGACAUUCUUUGGGAUUGUCAAAGACCAAGGCGUAGGAUAAGUUGUUUUUAUAACAAACUAACGUGUCGGAAGUGGAAGAGUCCUUGAACAACACAGAGAAAAAGGAAAGCUCAGGUCUAGUAAUUAUGGCCUCGGAUUAAUAAUUUUCAAGUUUCAGGAAAGAAUUGUGAGUACUCUAGAAACAUAUAGGCUAAAAUUUUGUGCGGCUAUUCUUUGCUUAGUCCUAAAUCAAUUCAUUCCAUAGAUGCAAUUCGUGCCAGUGAUUAUUGGUGCAACUGGUGGACAAGAAAUCUUUGAUCCGAUAGAGCUCAAAUUACUUCAAUUACUGAAGGAAUCUUUGAUCCGAUAGAGCUUAAACUUUCAUGCAGCUUUUGAUGAAAAGCCAUAAAACAGUCUUUUUCCACGCUGCAAAAGACAUACACCUAAAGGAAAAGAUUACAAGACAUGACAAAGCAUAUCAGAUGAUGCUAAUAGGAGAUUUAGAUGUACAGUCUGCCCCUCCCCGCAAACUAUGCACAAGGCCACCACUUAAAUCACAGUAUCACCAAGUAGAAAGCAAAUGAUUGCUGGUAUCAAUUACCAAAACUAAGCUAAAUGUUGACGUGCCAUUUGAAGCUGCAUCUGUGUGUGUGUGUGCAGAACUAUCAAAAUGACGUAUUUACAAGUCAUGUAACUUGUAAUGAUGCCUACAACUAUCAAAAUUACGUAUUUAUAUCAUAUCUAAUAAGUUUGUUUGGACAACAUAUUAUUUGACCAAAUAUAUUUACUUACGUCAUCAUCACAAUUUCCAAUACACCUUUUUAUCUUUUCAAUUAUCUUUUUAUCUCACAUACAUUACAUCACAAAAAGUGCUACAGUAAAAAUAUCUCAAAUAAUUUACAAUCCAAACAAAUUUCCUGCAUCCUCUGCAUCAUAGGAUGCUUUUCCCUGCAAAUUCCUAGAAAGUUCUAUGCAAACAUAGGAUGCUUUUCCAGGAACACUUUCCGAGAAAAAUUCUAUGCAAACAACUCAAAGGGAAGAAGGUCAACCUAAUACCAGGAAGGAUUCACACGAUUCAGAUACUGCCGCAUCAUGGUUCUGAUUCAUGUGUCUCUAUCCUUCAAGUUGACUAAACCAGUAUGUAAUUGUUCUUGUGAGGACUCGAGUGUCGUUCAAAGAAAUUGUCUCAAGACCUUGAGCAACAGCAUCUACAGGCCUGAACUCCAAAAUUCCUUCAGCAAGCUGAAGUAACAUCCAUUUGAGACAGUUUGAGGAUUAGAGAACGACCAGAAGACAGAAAGAGCAACAAAGCCAUUUCACCAGUUGACAGAUAAAUGUCGGAGAUAUAGACAUGUUCAGCCACAAAGGUGGCAGGAUUUGUUUUCCAGGUUGGAUAGGCAUCAUCAUGUAAGAGGCUUGUCACCUGAUUAAAAACAGCUGGCAACCGAUCAACAAACAUGUUGACUGAAACUGCCACUUCCAGAUCGUAAUUUGGAAUCAUGGUUCCAGCAGUAUCAAGUAGUACUUUCCAUACAUCUGCUGUGUAUUAGUAUCAAUGAAAGGAGAAGGCAUUAGAAUUAGAAAGAUAACAUAAGCAAUUAUUCAACCUCAUCAGCUAUAUGUCUUCAAUAAAAUGAAGCAUAGUAUCAUACCUAUGAAAAAAAUCCAAAAUUGAUUUUAAAACCAUUACUAGGAUAUUUUCAUUACUACUUGAAGGCUUGCCUUGGUUUACAGAGAUACCUUACAUUUGGUAAUUGUGAAACUUGGGGAGGAUUUAAUAAAAGUUUCAAAAAUAAUAAUUUCAAGGUCUUGAAUUGAUUUCUGUUUCUUGUAAAUCAUAAAAAAUGAAAGGACAAGUUAAUUAUAUGUCACUCUUGUGCUCGGCCUUGUUUGGAUUGUUGUUUUCCGUUGAAAAAUUACGUCGUUUUCCGUGAUCACAUUUCCCUAUUACCUUUUUUCCUCACAUACAUCAAAUCGUUACAGUAUUUUUUCCAUGAAAAAUCAUGGAAAAUGCAAUCCAAACAUGAAAUAUAGCCUGCCAUAGUUUGCAGGAAAAUAUCUCUGUAUUCCCUAAGACCCUAAAAACAAUAUUCUACUCCCUCAACACAAAAUAGAAGAACGAUGUUUUACAUGAUCUAAAGCCUGACAUCAAAACACUUCAUGCAUUAAGUUUCUCUUCUUGAUAAAGCCCAGUUUUCAAGCACCAAUCUGCAUCACAGUGUUAUAAAAGCUUUAUGCACGAUUAGCUUGAUCAAGGAUUAAAUGAAUACACUACUUGCUUCAGUGUCCAUCACACUCAUAUCUUCAGGAAUAAAUGAGAAACAACAUUAUGUGGGUUAUGCGAGGAGGACUCGUAGAUUACAGCCUAGCAUGUGCAGACUCCCAAUCUUCCCCCCUCCCCCCCCCCCCCCCCCAACACAGUCGGGGUGGUGUGGGAAGCUUCUAUGGUUCAGGAAAAUAAUUGGAUUGCAAUUUUGUGCAAAAAAUUUUUUUUUACAUUUUCCAUGAACACAUUCCCAAUCACCUUUUUACCUCACAUACAUCAAAUCGCUACAGUACAUUUUCCUACAAAAAUUUCUAAAAUUAGCAAUCCAAACAGGGUAACACAAGGAAUUAACUGUUAAUAAACAUUUGCAAAAUUAAGAAAAAGAAACCAAAUGCAAGAGUACAAAUCCGAAUAUAGCUAAUGAUUCUUUUUCUUUUUCUUUUAUUUAGUUUUGUACAAGCCAAAAAAAUUACUUUUUGUUGUUACUGCUACACUUGCUAUCUACAUUGAAAAUGCACGUAUUAACAUUUGAAAGUUGCAAUGAAGUACACUCUCUGCAAAUGUCAAAUAACGUCUCUUUUUUUUUUAGUGUAAGUGGAAGGGUUCGAAUCCAGAAUUUCUCACUUACUCUCCCUCUUCUUGAACCACCCAACCCAUCCCUCCACCUCCCCCUCCCCCUCCCCCUCCCCCGUCCCUCCAAAAAUCAAAUAAUGUCUCAUUUUCCGUUUAAUGCAGAUAUUGUUGUGGCCUCUUUCAAAGCAUUAAAAUGGAAUCAAGACUAAAGAGCACUUGUAUGCCUGGGUAAUCUUGCGUAUGUUUCAAGGCCACAGAAAAUAACAUUUGCAAGAAGAUUCUCUUUUAGCAUAUCUAUAAGGAAAUCAAGGGUAGAGACACUUCACCAAACUAUAGUUCCAAAUAAUUGGUCUUCAGGAACCCAAAGAGUUGCACAGGACAGGGAAUUAGUAUAAGAUUAAAUCAAACUGGUGGUACCUAUUCAAAUUUUGUCCAAUACGGUAGAGGUACUCAUCCUCCAUUACAUUAACAGAAGGUUUGUUUUCCCAAUAGAAGAGAAAAUGAAAAAGGCAAAUAAACAUUGUCAAGAAUGUCACAACAUUCACAUGAAUUACUCAAUUAAGUGCAGAUAGAAAACUACACAACCAUGUUGACUGCGGAUUGUCGAUUUGUGGAUAACAAAGUUGGUACCUACAACUAGAAGCUUUGAUUUGGCUACAAAUUCAUGACAUCCACACAUUAGUAGCUCCACAAGUAUUUGUGUCCACACAAUUUGUAGGAUACAAUUUCUACAGCAUGCCUUGCUAGUUUCCGAAAAGCCCAAGACUUACCCCUCAUUCUAGUGCUAUCUAUGACCGUCACUAGAGCGUUUCUAUAUAAACCACCUUAUAGGUAACCAGUUGUCCGCUCUGUUGUUUAACACCCUUAUACAGAACUUAGCCCUAAAAAGUUAGACUAACUCAGAAAAUAGUACUAAACUAUUACUGCAAUUUACAAUAGAGAAAUAAAACAGAAACAGGAACAUUCCCUACCACCCCAUCCCUUCUCGCAGUCCACCAAUACUCAUUAGUCUACAACACAAAUUCCUCCACCUAACCCAAACUACAAGUUAGAUCAUGGGAAGGUGAGAGCAAAAAUGACCUUCAAGAGUCCAAACAAAGCCAUGCUGUUUCUCAUCAAAGCUAAUGUCAACGGUGAUUAUAUUAACAACAGAGGAAUUGAUUUGGCAAUUUCUCAGUAGCCCGCUUUUGUAAAGAGCAUACAACUAAUCAUGGGAUUCAAAAGAUUUCUAUUAGACUAACGCAGCAUUGAUGUAUAAGUAGCUAAAGCAACAUAACUAAUGAUGUUUAAUUUUAAAGAAGUAUUAAGAAAAUUAAGAAACCUUUUGCUGUGAUCAACCUGAGGCAUUUUGAGUGAAUGAAUAUACUGGAGAUGCUUUCAUUAUUGGAAGUACUUGACUGACAAGAGGUCCUAACUGCAUCAAAGCAUAAUACAACUUCAAAAAUGAGGAAUGUUACAAAAGCAAUACUAGUUCUUUGAGAGGCAGUAGACAAAAAAUUUGUCACGGAUUCUAAAGCAAGGGCUGAGAAAACUACAGCCCUACCAAUUGAACGAGUAUAGAAACAACUCAUCACAUAAGCAUAUUUACAAUCAACUCCACCUUGGUAUAUAAGAUUUCAAAUGAAAUUAAGGUUCAAAAACAAAUGACAAAAUUGAUCCACCAAAGCUCAAGGUAUAAUAUUUAUGCAAUAUCAAAAUAUAAAUUCAACAGACUAAAGAAAUGUUUAGAUCCAACUUUCCAUAUAAUCCUCAAUGUUGAUUGGCUCCAGUUAAGCCAUCACCAAGAUCAAGGAUAUGUUAACUAUAAUGUUGUUUAUGUGGAUUCCCUUAUACUGAACUAAUUUGUAUUCUUGAAUGAACAGAAGACUGAUAUGACUUCACCCUUUGGAUGAAUAAUAAUUGGUGAACAGUUCAGUAUAAGGACAAAAUUACAACAAUCACAAACGAACAAAAGUGCGUUAGUUGCUCUAAAAGCCAUCAGCAAGCAGAAGCAUAGGUGCUAAAACUCGAAGCAGAAAGAUCUAGAAAUGAUGUACAGACAUACCAUUUCCACAAAUAUAUGCAAUCACUGUGGACACUCUUUUAAUUAUAAACUGCAUAUUACACUUUCUACUUCACAUUUUUUUUCCUUUUCACUUUAUUUUCUGAGUUGCUACCUUCAGCUAUCAUUUGUCCUGUUUCAAUUAUAAGUUUACCCGUUUUCUUGCUCCCUGUAAUGUUACCAAUUAUUUCCUUUCCAAAAAAAAUCUUCACUUUACGUCAACUUCAUGGCAUAGCUGAAGCAAUAUAUAUUAUAAAAAAUUUUCUUUGUUAGCUGACAAUCAUAAUACGGCAUUGAUGCGAUGGCACCUUUACAUUGCUUUAUGCAUUAGCUUUUUCAUGUUUGUGUUUAACAUUUUACAUCUUAUACAUAUUCCAAUGUAAAGGGAAUAGCAUGACAAUUACGGAGAUUUUGAGGAUGAUAGGAUCCGACACAACAGGUCAUGCAUACAUCUUUCGACAACUAAGAUGAUAUUAUCCAUAGGAUUAUUGGAGGAUUAGUAGAAAUUCCGCUUGAAAAAGGUAAUAAACUCAUGCCAUGGCAUGAUAAUGAAAGCAAUCUUAGUAACUAAAGAGACUUUCAUCCACCAAGUGCGCUCUCAAAAAUGGCAUCAGCUGGAUACAUGUCAAAUAUCUACAGGACAUGACUUUUACAUCACUGAUGGGGUAGGUCUUAGAGUGCUAACACUCACAAAUCGUGGAGUUCCCUGUUCAUGAACUCAGACAAACUACAUCAGUCAGUUGCAUCACAUGAUAGAUCCUCAAUAGAAACCACGAUUCUUAUAAAUUUACCCUAUAUGUCGGUUUGAAAAUUCAGAGAGGCAAUGAAAGAAUAGGCUGUUUGCCUGGUGAAAUUUGAGCACAGAUUAGAUUUAAGAAGUAGAGGUUAGAUAGAGAUUAGGAGAGGUACAGGGCUAAAGAAAGGAAGGAAGGAAACAUGACUACUCAGACUUCACAGGUAAGAGCCUAAGAGGGGUUUCAUUCUGAAACUUUCUUGAUUCAAACUCACUCUCAAUUACAAAAACUAAUGCAAGCUAUUCAAAGAGUCUAACACAGCAACCUAAAAGCUUUCUCUUCUGAAAAAAAAAAACAGCCAUUCAAGAGUAGAGUCGAUAACAAUUGUUGUCCACAACAAUAGUAGCUAUGUUGGAUGACCAUUGAACUCCCAACCAUGGGUGUUAUUUGAAAGUCCACCCAUGCCCAUUGGACUUCCAAUCAUGCUUUACCCUUAGACUUCUACUACUAGUUUCAAGUACAGCAUCAUUAUCAGGCAGCCAACUACUUACCAACAAAUGUUGCAGCAACAAGCUCAACAGUUGCACACUGAAAAUUAGCAAAUGAACCACAAUCUGAAUCUCAAAUCAAUUCCAGAGCUAAAAGAUUGUGAAACUGAAGUUUUUUUUUUCCUUCGAUAUACUGAUGUCUUUCAUAUCCGGCAUCACACUAGCUAAGCCAUGGCUACAAUUAUUUGAUCUACCCUAGAGCACCAUUACCUGCUUGGCAUAGUAUGCAGCAGUUCUUAUGUCACAUGGUCGGAACUAAGAUGGAAACAAAAUACCCUAUAUACAAAUUGAAAAGGAUGAUUCUAAAAACUACUCUUGUUAUCCAUGGUAAAAAUGAUAUAUAUGAAAGAAAACCCAAAUCUACAGACUAUUUCACGAGUUGCAGCCAUCCUGUGCAAGAACACCCAAAUCACAAGGUGCAACAGCAACUUCUACACUCACGAGUUGCUACCAUCCUGUGCAUGAACUCAUACAGACUAUUUCAGCAAGUGGCAUAACACAGAUGCAUCCUGACUCACUAAACAUUGUUUUGAACUACUCAAUCUCCCCAUAGAAGUCCAUUCCCAGCUUCACAUAUUAUAUAACUGCUCUUAAGUCAUUAUGAGCCAGCCAGGAAGAAUCGUAAUCCCCAAAGGUUUUUGGGCUCUUGAAGGGUGGCCUCCAAGAUUUCAUGGCCACAACUGUAUAAGAAAAGGAAAUCCCCAUCCAAGUUCCUUGGAAGCCAGUAAAAGCCAGAACUAGGAAAAUGAAAGAAACUAAAGCAUAAACUGCAAAUUUUUCCUUCCCCAAGAGCAUUGCAUGAAUAGCCCAAGUUAUGGCAGUUAGAGAUGAAGGGGGUAAGAAGGGUAAUUUUCUUUCUUGUUUUUUUUAGGCGAAGGAAUAAGGGUAAGUACUGUAAAUACUUAAAUAAAGAAAGAUCUUUAGCAUUGAAAUAAAUAAAAAAUAGCAAACAUCCAAUUUAAUAAAGAUUUAUUGCUCAACUUCAACAGCCAAAAAGGUUAAAAACCAACUUUUUGCUAUUUUUUGGAUAGUCAGGAUAAUAGCUAAGCCCCUUAAAUUAGUAUUGGAAUAGAAUUACCUGCUCAAAGUAUGGUACUGCCUCCGACGCUGGCCUGUUGUUGUAUGAUAUUAUUGCAUUUGCCUUCAUUGAGAGACAAGAAUAACCGUCAUUAAGUCAAAAAGUACUAAACACUGAACUAAGGUGCAUGUUCACACAUUAAAGCUGCAAAAGCAUAACUUUUUAGUUAUAUUUUUCUUAUCUUAAUUAAGUUCAAUGUUGGUUAAGCAGUUAUGAAACUUUGGAAGAAAGAAGCAACCUUGGGUAUCUUCUCACAAAAAUAACUUCCAUUAAGCACUUGUAGAAGUGCACCAUUGCUGCAAUUAUAGUUAAACCAAAUAACGUCAAAGAUAGUAUCGUGAUAAGAAUGAAAUAAAAGUUAGAUGAAUUAGAUAGCAUUUUAGGCAUGGUUAUCUAUAACGAAGUCUCAUCGGAAUGAAACUUAAGAGUACUAGCGAGGUUUUUAACCUUGAAGUAUUCUUCAUCAUCCUCACCAUUUCAAAGUAAACAUUCCCAGCAUUUUGUUAAUCCAAUCCAAUCAGUCAUAAGUUCCUCCAAUGUAUCCAAGCUUAACUCGAUCAUCUUACAUUCAAAAAACAAUUCAUUGGACAACUAUCCCAUGUUCAGCUCCAAAACAGCUUUACUGAACCUCUACUAUGAUAAAAUGAAUGUUGAUAUGAAGGUUAGCUGCUCCAAUACACAUUGAUGUAAAGAUUCCUCAAGAAAAAAAGAGGACAGGCCUAACAUCCUCGGGACAAAGUAUAUCAUUGAGCAUACAAACUAACAUUAGACAACACAAUUAAGGCUUUAUGAAGUUUAAUUUGUGAUCAUUAAUGCUCAAUUAACCUCCACUCACCUAUGGCCAACCGAGUAAAGUGGAAGAUCAACAAUAUCAUCAGGUGAAAGGCCAUAUUCUGGCAAUUCAGACCCCAAAAUCAAAUCAAAGCCAGCAUGAAGCCUCUCAUAAAUCUCCCUAGUAACUUUUUCAUGAUCAAACGUCACGUUAUAUGGCACCGAGAUAAUGAAAUAGCCUUCAUUUGCCAGUUGCUCAAGCAAAUAGCUGCCACCACAACAAAAACAACUAAUCAAACAAAACGGAUUAUAAGACUCUAUUACCAUUUUAGUUUACAGUAGAAAAAAUUGAAUUAACAACCCUCUGUUCUGUAGUAAACAUCACAGUUUGAAUUUCAAUCAAGUAGACCUUGCUUUUCCAGAGCAAUGUUUCCUUCUUCUUUUCCCAAGUUAAAAAAAAAAAUUACUUCAACCACAGGAAAAAUCUUCCAAAAAAAAUUAACACUACCAGCAAAUUUAUUUCAGUUUCUGUGUUUCAAGAAUUAAUUCAAGGAUUAAUCUAAUAUAGUGUGUUAAAACUAUAGUUGGACAAGCAAAUAGCCACAUAUAUUAAUCCAGAAAUUAAAUUAAAAUGUUCCAUCCCAGAAAUCUAACAGCACUUCAUCAAAAUAGGAAAAAAAAAAAAAGACAUGAAAAUUAUCAACUAUAAUAGUGAAGUUUGAAACCAUAGUUAUUAAACCCGAUCCGGCUCGACGGUUCGACUAGUCAACCCAGUGAACCGGCCAUGGAACUAGGCCGGGUUCUUAACAAGAUCGUUUCUGCAUUAAAUCCGUAGACUUUUCAACGGACCGACGGUUCAACCGGUUAACUCGAUUGAACCGGCCGAUUUUCUGAGAAACCCGGACUAUGGAAAAAUUUUGUAAACAUUGCUGGAAUGGAGAUUCGAACGUGUGACCUCAUGCAAAGAAGAAGACAACCAUUACCGCUGGACCAACCAACCAUUUAUUACUUACUUUGCUCUUAUAUUAUAUAUUAGAGUCUUAUUCUUAUUUUAUUUCCCCAAAACAAAAUUUAUUUGAAAUCUUUUAAUAACAUUUUUAUUAUUCCCUGAACUCUAUAAAUUGUGAAAUUGACUUAAAAAUAACAUAUUACAAAAAUCAUUUUAAUGGCAAAUAUUAUUCUUAAUAAACUUUUGCACUUAAAAUUCAUAAAUAAACUAGAUAAUUACACUUAGAUAAAAUUUUAUACUUGAAAUUUGGUGGAUUACUAAUUAAACUUAGGUUGUUAAUUCUUAUAAAAAUUAAUGAAUCUAUAAUAAAUUAAACUAACUGAAUAUUUAUUAUGGCAUAAAAAAUUAUAAAACAUAAUAUUUAAAUAUUUGUAGUGACCCACCGAUUGGACCACUUACUCACCGGUUGAACCAGUAACCCGUUGACCCACCUCUUUCACUGAAUUCUUCCUCGGGCCGGGUUUAAUAACUAUGUUUGAAACAGAGAUAUUAACGACAGGCGAAUAUACAUAAGUAAAUUGGUGAUUGACCUGUAAGCAACUUCAGGGACAGCUCCAACAAAAGCACCUCCCAAAAAUUUAAUAAUAGCUUUAGGUUUUCUCCCUCUUGGAGGAGGAAUGACCAAACAAGACUCAAGCCUAUGGUAAAUUCGACCAUUGUGAUUCACAAAAGAAGUGUUCUUGAAGCUAUUGGGUUUAACCAUUUCCAUUUGGAUCCUGCAAGUUGUCAUUUUUUAGGGUCUUUUGCAAUUCUCAGUGGGAAAACCCCUCUGGAGAUAUAAUUGAGAAAAGGGCUUUCUUUAAAUUUGUUGAAUCUUGGAAAGUUGUUGAGAAUAGACGUGGUGCUAGCCACGGCAGCCAUGGCCAGCCUUCUUCACUCGGAGGUUCUAGUUGGGAGUUGGGAGGCGAAAUUGGAGCUAAAAAUGUGAAGCGCGGGAGGCAGUACGUGGCAUUAUAAUUGCUCUCCUUUUGUUCCAACUAGAUUUGGGGCUGAGUAACAAGUUCAGUCGAAUUCAAGUAAUACUAUGCUCGAACUCGAAUUCAGUGCCAUACAGACCUAUUCGAGCUGGAACUCGAGUCACGCGAGCAGGUAACUCAAUUUGAUUCGAUAAUAUGUAUUCUAAACUCGAGCUCGACUCAUUAAGAUUCCAAGUUAGUCUCGAAUAUGUCGCGCCCCAUUUUUGAAAAUAAAUUUUAGUGUUUUAACGCAUUUUUUAUUUUAGAAAAUAAAUAAAGAAAAAGGACCUAAAAUGGAACUUAAAAUAUGCGACGUUUUGAAUCCAAAAUAAUAGUUUAAAAAGGAUUUUAGAAAAAAUUAGAGUCGCCACUUGAUAUUGAAUUUAGGUGUACCAAAUCACCUAAAAUAUAUUUCAAAUAAAAAAAAUAAAUAAAACCCUUUUUAGACGACUUCGGGUCUUUGAAGCACAAGAUAAAAGAGUUCGAGAGUCACGGUUGAAGAAAGGGAAGACAAAGAUUUGAUAGGUUCAAACCUAAAGCACCCUUUCAAUCUAACCAAGGUUAGUUGCAAGAUUUAGUCAAAAAUUUUCAUAAUCUAACCUAUAAAACUUAUCACAUUUGGAUGUUUUUACAUAGAUGCAAAUCGAGACUUAAAGGAUAUUAGGAGGGUCGAAAUGUCUCUUCAAAAUUUAAUUGAUGCAAAAUACAUUAAUUGUGAUAUCCAAGAAUGAUUCUUAGAAGAGGUCACGGAAAAUACAAAAGAUAAGAGUCAAAAGGGAAAUUAUAGUAUAUAGAUAAAUAUACAUGAUCUAAAAAAGGGGAAUGUAACAUAACGGGUAUGGGAUGUUAAAAUUCAUGACUCAAAUUUUCCUUCUUAUAGAAGAGAUAAUAGCGUGCUAAGAUUAAGAAAUCACACUAGUUCAUUUCCCAUAUUUGAAAAGUGAUUCUUCUAAUCUAAUUAAACAAAUGGACUAGCCUACUUCUAAUUUCAUAGAAUGAGACGCAAUUCUAAAUGAUAUGAUCCAAAUAUAUAAAGGGUAAGGCAAUAAUAGUAGGAAAAAUAACAUGCAAAUCAAAAUAAUCCAAAAAUAGGAAAAAUGCAUGAAAUGCAACAAAUGUCACACAAGGUAUGAAUCUAGCACGAAAACAGUCUAAAAGGUCUAGCACUGGACUAAUCCAUUUCUAUAAGUCCUCACUAGCGUUAGACUAGCAAAAAAUUGGGGAGAAAGGUCACAAUUAGCAUUGGACUAGUAUGGUGACAUCAUACAUUUAUUAUAAAUAAAUAAAUCAUAUAAAACAUAAUUAAAGCAAAUAAACAUAUAAAGCAGAUAAAGCACGUAACACAUAAGCAUAAUAUCUCGAUGUAAAGAAUCUAAAGAAAGCGAAUAAACACAUAAGCACAUAAGGAAAUAAAUGCACAUAAAGACUUAACUAUUACAUUGGGGCUCUAACUAUAACCUAAAAGGGAAAUUUGAAAAACAAUAACCUAACUACUAUAUCCAUCUAAUUAACUACAUUUUUUGGCAAAAAUAAAAUUUAUCUAUUACAUUACCUAACUAAAUACAUUUCUUGAGCAUCUAUCUAUUACAAUUAGGCAUUUAAAUGCCUUUCAAAUAAUUAUGAAAAAUUAAAUAUAAUAAAUAAAAUUUUAAAAUGAAUAAAUACAAGAAAAAGCACUCAAAAUAUGCAAUCACACAAAAAAAAAUAUAGAAGCACAUAAAAGGAUUUAAAAUAAUAAUAGAAGAUACCUCCCUUGAAAUAGUGAUUAAAUGAGGUAGAAGUUGCCCUAUUUAUACUCCAAAAUCAACAAAAUAGUCAAGACACUAAUUUAAUUAAUAAUUAAAAAUAAAAUGUAAGCAUAUAGCAAAUUGACUUGAUUAUAAAGAAAUAUAAAUGGACAUAAAAUUCCUGAAAUUUACUAAGUAAAUGCAUUUAAAUGAGGUAUAAUUAAUUAUUUAAAGAAGAUAGAUAAAUUAUACUUAAGAAAUCAAAACUGUCACGGAUCCAAUUGCAAAAAUUGAAAAGUUUUUUGGGGUCAAAAUAAUAAUUUUUGGAAAAAGUCGAUGGUCAAAAUUGAACAAGAGAUAAAGUUCAUGGAUCAAAUUUUAAUUAAAUUAAGGACCUAAUUGAAAGAAAUCUGAAGUUUUUAGGGCCAUAAUGAAAUUAAUCAAAACAUUAGGAACUAAACUACAAAUAUGCUUUCUAAUUUCUUAGGGCUGGAAGGCCUUUGGAACUUCUCAUUUAUUUUCUUGGGUCGAAAACCUCUUGGCCAAAAGGGAAAACACAGAGAAAAUUUUGGCUAAGCAAACCCAAAUAAAAAAUGUUGGGUUUUACCUACAAACUCACAUCAUAAACCAAAGAAAAUAUACCAUAAACCUAUCCACCAAAACCCGUUAAAUAACCCUAACCCAUUUCUUAAAUUAUUUUCCUAAACCCAAAUAUUUAAUUGAAUAAAUAAAAGCCAACAAAAAUGUUUAGACCCAAAUUAUAUCCUAAAAUUUAGAAAUAAUUCACUCAAAAGCAUACAUAAAACAUGUAAAGAGGAUCAAGGCUUGCAAAGAGAAGAUUUGAUUCAUUUUUUCACAACUUUUGGGCCUUAGUGUAAUUGUUCAAAAGUCAAGGGGCCAAAUUGCAAUUUUUCUAAAUUUCUAUGCAAGCCGUCAAUAGGUGAUUGCUCGAAAAAUUCAAGUACCACAGAUUCCGACUAGUCCAGGAUGAAAGGAUUUCCACUUGUUUCGAAGAGUUCAUUUUCAAGUAUAAAUGGCUUCUCAAUUUUUUUCAAUUACUUCAUUCUCGUCUACAAUAUAUUGGGUAGGCUCUUCAAACUACUCAUCAGUGGUAAUAGCUCCCACAGUGCUCUUAUAUUCAGGAAGAGGAUUCUUACUGACAUUCAACCUUUGUUCACCUCUCCUCCUCAAAAUUAUCUCUCUGGCGUCAAUCAUGUCUUGAAUUUUGUGUUUCAAUGCCCAGCAACUGGCAAUAAAGUGACCAGGACUCUCAGAAUGAUAGGCGCAAAUGACUUGAGGAUUAUAACCAAUAGGAAUACCCCUAGGGUAGGUUUUAGGAGGUACAAUGCCAAUUUUGCUAACAGUUUUAAGCUGCUCAUACAAUUGAUCGAGGAGUCAGGCUAGAUUAGUGAAGAUUCGGAACUGGUUUUGGGUUUGGGAUCCACUAGCUUGAGCAUGGUUAUGGGCUUGGUUAUUGGUAGGGUGGGAUCCCCUUAGAUUAUAAAGGGGUUGGGGUUGAGUUUGCAAAUUUGUGUGAGAAAUUUAAAAAGGCGAUGCCGGUAUGCUUGUAUAGUUUGGUUGGGAGCAAGGAUGAUUGUUGGUGGUGCGAUAAACGGGUCGGGGGUUUGGAUAGUAUGGAUAAGGAGAUGAGUAGGUGGAGUGGUUUUGAAAUUUGGUCUAGUUGAGGGGCUUUGAUCCCAUACAGAGGCAGUCUCUCCUCUUUUUUUUUUUUUUUUGAAUUGAGGCUUCUUUUCAGAAUUAUUUUGGCUCUAUAGGGCUUCCAAUUGCAUUUUUAAAGUUGACACGUUAACUAUUUUUCCUGCCUUGACAAACCCAUCAAAUUCUUCAAAUUUGUUGACAAUAGCAGCAAAUAAACACUCAGUUAUACGAAAAAUCUCUUCAAAGUAUAGUGGGUCAUGUGCUUUAAUGAAUAUGCGGACAGUGUCCUCCUUGGUCAUAGGGGUUUCUACCUUGGCGGCCAACUUCCUCUAAUGUUUAGCAUAUAUCUUAUGAUCUUCUAAUGGUUUCCUCUUGGUUCCUUUGAGCGUCGUUCUUGUCUGUGCAAGCUCACAAUUGUACUCAUAUCACAAAAGUUGUAGACAAAUCCAACCAAGUUUUCAUCUCUUUAGGCUUCACAUUGGAAUACCAGUCCAGAGCGUCGCCUUCCUAGCUUUCAGGAAAUAAAUGCAUUGGUAGGUUCUCAUCAUCCAUUGAUUUCCUUAACUUGUUUGCAAACAUUUGGAGAUGCAUCUUGGGAUUUUCGGUUCCAUCAUACUUACUAAAUUUAGGAACUUUAAAACCCAGAGGCAACUGCAUAUCCGGAAAGAGACACAGUUCAUCAUAGUCCAAAUCUCCAUGCUUGUUCAAUCCCUGGCUUUUUUUUCAUGAACUUAUCAAAUCGAUCCAAUCUUUUUAGCAAAUUUUUAUCAAUUGAAGCAGAGGGUUCGUCAAUUUCUGCCUUUGUUUGAACGACAAUGUCCAACAUGAACGACUCUAUGGUAGGGUGAUGGGAUCCUUAAGAGUUAGAUGGGAUAUUCAAGUUGAUUUGUAGGUAACUUUGGAGAAUUUGGUUGCUAGUUGGAUUGACGAAAAUAUUGUUUGGAUAUGUAUGCGGUAAACUAGGGAUGGGGUAAGUAAAGGCGUCCCCAGGUGGACUUGUAAAAAGUGGGAUAAAAGUGGUUUGACUAUGUGAUAUGUGAGGUGAGGGGUGAAUAAAUUUGAUACGUACCAAAUUCAUACCCGAAUUCAAAUUUAAUUUGGUACUUUGAAAUCGGGUAUUUGGUAAUUUGGUACAAAAGCUGUAUUUACCGAAUUCACCGAAUUCUAAUAUGAUAUGAAAUAGGUAAUGAGAUUAUGAAUUUGGUAAUAACCGAUUUCACAUUUAAAUUUAGUAAAAUGAAAUAGGGCACCGUAUUACCGCAUUCGAAUACCAAAUUAGUUUAUAAAAUUAUAUAAUAUAUAGAUAAAUGCUAUUUAGUAUUAGUAUAUACUACUAAUAUAUUAUUAUAUUAUAUAGGUAAAUGCUAUUAAUAAUAGUUAGUAUAUGGUAUUGCCAUGUACUUAUGAUAAUAAUAAUAUAUAAUGAUGUACAAUAUACUAUUUUAGUAUUUGUUAAUUGUUAUAUGACUAUAAUAAUACAAAUAUAUAAUAAUACAUAGCAUAACUAUAAUACUUAUUAUUUUAUACAAGACUAGAAUUAGAUGAUAAUUAAUAAGUAUAUGUAUAAUACUAAAUAUUAAACAAUAAACAUAAUUAAUGAUUAGAAUUUAGAUAUUGGUAAUUUGAUACAUCAUUCAUGUUUGAAUUAUUGAAUAUUUGAAUGCGUAACUUAUAACUUGCAAAUAUUAGUGUACUCUAAAAUUACAAAACAUAUUUAACAUAAAAAUCCAUAUUCUCUAUUCACUAAUCUUAAGGAUUUGUGCAUAGACAAGACAACUAAGCAGUUUAAAUGAAUGCAUAUGAAUUGCAAAUCAAUGUAUUAGUGUAUUGGCUUUUACUAUUAAAACCAAUUAAGUGAUUUGCAAAUUUUUCCAAAAAAGCUAUAUAAGAAUGGAAACUACAAUUAAAGGAUUCAGCAGACUUGUUUUCUUUUAAUGAAUUCGGUUAACCCUAAUUCAUUACCAUUUUCAAAUUCAAAUAUGGAAGUGAAAUGAAUUCGGGUAUCUCUAAUUCAAAUUUGAAAGCGGUUUAAAUUUUUAUAAGUCCAAUAACCGAAUUUACUGAAUUACUGAUUUUGCACCGUUUGCUCACCCCUAUAUGAGGUGAUAGGUUUCUAACUCAUAUUGAUUAUCGUCAACGGGAUAUGAUCAUUUUGGACACUGCCAGUGUUGUUUGAGAUCAGUUAAUUGAUCAUGCGCCUUUGUGCCACCAUCUCUGCACUUAACUCAUUGAAUCUGUUCAGCAUCUCUCUCAAUUGGGCCCCCAAAUUUGCAGUAUUUAAGAUGGAAUUAUGGUAGAUCUUUCUGUCGGUUCCGGAUGGAAAUUCAUAUUUUCACGGUUCUCAAGAUUCUGCUGCGGGACCGCGUAAUGAUGAGAUUUCUAUGAGUAGUUAUGUUUGAAAGUACCUAAGAAUGCUCGUGCAGUCAAACGAACAUAAGGUUUCCCCGAAAAUGCAUGUUGGUUUCUGAAACGAAGUCAGGAAAACUUCAUCACAGGGUGCGCAGUCCUAAUGAACCCGCUACUUUGAGUUUCGAUUUGACUGGCUUGGAGGCGUUUUCCCUAAAUUCUUUCAAAACAAAAAUUGCUCUACUGCAUUCAGGGAUAGUGCAGAAAUCAAUAGUUUGCUCAAAAAGUUAAGAUCGACAAUGGAAUUUGACAAGGAACUAGGCUGGUCCGUCAGCCUAGUCGCAAUUUUUCAGAAAACUUCGUUUUUUUCUUUUUUUGUUUUGUUCUCUCUGUCUCUCUCUUUUGUUCGCUUUCCUGACUCUUUUUUGCUCUCUCCCUUCUCUGCCACCUCCCUAGACUCUUCUUCCUAUUUUUAAAUGCAAAAAAAAAAAAAAAACCCCUCAAACCCUAGGAACAAUAAUAGAUAUGAAACCAAGUUUGAUGGCCAUUUUUUAUCCAAUUGAUCAAUUUUUCGAGUGUCUCAAGAUAAGAGUAGGAGGGAUUAGUUGUGUUGUACUUAUUUAGACUUGGAAGGCCAAGAAAUCAGGAGCCAAAACGAAUUAGAAUUCCUCCAAAAUAAUGCAACAUCGCCAGCUUUCUGUACUAUCGUCUAGGGAAGAAGGUAUUGCGUGCAUGCAAGGGUUUUUUUUUUUAAACAAACAUCUAUUUUUUUUUGUUUUCUUUCUUUUCUUUUUCUUUCUAGUUUUUCUGCAAAAACAAUCAAAUAAAAAUCUAAUGAGAUGAAAUGAUUUUUCUUUAGAAAAAAUAAAAAAAUAAUAAUAGAGAUACAAUCACAUUGGUUUUAAUCCAUAAUCAUCUAUCAUGCAUUCAUAUAAUACUUUAUUAAAUGAAAGUAUAAAAUUUAUUUAGUUCUAAUCAUAUAUCAGUAUAUGCUCAAGCCUUUAAUCUCAAAAGACUUCAAUUUAAGAGGUUUAAAAUUAAUUGAAUCAAAUUCAAGUGAUAAUUAUUUUUAAAAAUCUAGAAAAUUCCUUUAACUAGAGAAUCACAGUCGCAAAGUGAUAAGUGACUAAUUUGAGCUAUAUUUGAAUGACAUUUUAUAUUAUUUUUAGUCACUUUUGCAAUGCUAUAAGAAGAAAAUAGAUUAUUUUGACUAUUAUUAGUUUAAAAUGCUCUUAAUUGAUUAAAUGAGAUUUAUGUUCCUUUUUACUUGUAUUUUGUCCAUAAUUUUUAUAGGAGUUGGAAUGGACGUCAUUUGGAUGAAAAAGGAAAGUUGACAGCUUUGAUACAUUUUCGUAUUUCGGCUAUAACUUGAGUUAUAAUGAUUGGAUGGAGAUAAUUCUUGAACCAUUUUGAAGAUAAGAGAUGGCUCUACAAUUCUUAUGAAGACAUCGAAAUUUAGUUUAAAGGUUUUCCAGGUCAAAAAGCCAAAUUAUAGUAGCCAAUUUUGUAUGAUCGAAACUGAAACAAGGCAUUGAGUAAUCAAGGGUAAUUCAGUCAUUUCGUAGCCUACACAAAUCCAAAAGAGGUGAUUCUUGAUGCAUUGGAAAUCUAAUUCAAAGGGCUACAAGUUUUAUGUUUUAGUCAAGAGUUAAUUCAGCUUCUAUCAUUGAGAAAAUUUCAGUUGAAUUUGAUACGAAAUUGGAACGACCUUGAAAACUGAACAGAAAUUCAGAAGCAAAGUAGGGGAGAAAUCCGGUCGACAAUCCGACCGGGUUCUAACAGGAUUCUUGGCUAGAUUCUGGUCAAAAAUGCUGCUCUCUAUUUGCACAACUUGUUUUCUUCUCCAAUAAUUCACAGCUAUUGAUGGACGUGUGACAACCAUUUUGCAGCUGUAAAAGUGAUGUUUGAAGCCUCAUUUCUUGACUAAUUUUAUCUAUAAAUAGCCAUGGAGUUGCAAGAAUCAAAAGAGCUUGAAGAGUGUAAAAAAUACUACAAAAAUGUAGUUCUUACAUUUUCUUGAUGUUAGGUUAGUGUAGUAUAGGAGAGUUUAACUAGUUAGUUCAUCCUUCUUAUUUAUUAGCUAGGAAAAAAUGAAGAAGGAGAUGAAGAUGGAGGAGAUGAACUCAUGUGACAAGGGUUACAUUUCAUUCCAAACUCUUUAUCUUUUAUACUUGAUUCUAUUGUUUAGUUAAUAUACAAGUUUAGAUUCUAUGUUUAUUAUGUGUUUCUAAAGUUUAUACUUUGGGUUUAGUUGAACUUUCUAUGAUUGUUAGAGUUUAUUAUUUGGCUAUUUGAUGCUAUUAUUUUGAACAAGUUAUUUAGUAUUUUUGCUCUUUAAAUCAUGAUUACUUGGUACCAUUAAUUGUGAUUAUCUUAAGGUAUUGUUUCUUUAAUGAAAAUUGAAAUUUAAUAUUAGUUCAAGAAGUGCUAAACCUAGAGACUACAUUCAUGAGAGUAGAGGUACACCUUUGUGGUUUUAAUAAUUCAUUUCAUGUAAUUUCAUUGAAAAAAUGAACUUGUAGUUAAUUUCAUAACCACGAGAGUAGGUAUCGAUUAGUUAUAAGUAUAGUUGAUUCACUACGAGAGUAGGUUUCACAUGCAUACGAAAAUUACGCCAUAACUACCAAUAUAGUAGCACUCAAUGAUCCAAAAAUAGCACUUGCAUGAGUAGUUAGGGAUACCAUAACCUAAGGAGUUUUCAUUUGUUAUUUUCUUGCAUAAGUUUAGUCUAGUUUUAUAUCUUUUAAUUCAUUGAUUAUCUAAAUAAUAGAGAAAUUUUAGUAGUGCCGGUAAUUGUCCAAUCUUCCUCGUGGAAUCGACCGAUAUAUGCCCUAAACUACUAAUUUGAUCUGUAUACUUGCAGUCAAAACGGGUGUAAAUUGGAUUUAAACUUGUACACAUAUCAAAAAUUCGUCAAGUUUUUGGCGCCAUUGCCAGGGAAGAUUUGUGGCAAUAUAGGCGUGAAGAGCAACUUUAUUAGUUUAAACAUUUUAAUAGUUUUUCAGUAUAUUAAUUGAGUCUAGUUUGUUUUGUGUUUAUCGAGUUAGUUUUGAAUUUUAUUUAUUCAUUUUUUUUGCUUAACGUGUGUAUGUGCUUUAUCACCUAUUCUUCUUACUAAUCUUGUUCUUAAGUUGUUUAAAAGCAAUAUUAGAUAAUGAGGAGGGUAGAUCAAUUUGGAAAACAAUGCAUGAGAAGUGGAAGUUUGGCAAUGAAUGGUUACUACGUGCAAAGUUCCAUAGAUAGAAGUAACCAAGAAUUUAACGAAAAUAUGUCGUUUGAAGAUGGUUUAAGGAGUUUAAAGGUUAAACUUGAUGUUAUAGCGUUAAAUGUUCAAAUAGACACCAUUACGAAUAUGUUUGAACAAAAAAGGAAUGUUAAUACUUUUAAUUGUUAUCAUGUGAUUUGUGACUUGUGUGGAGAUUAUCAUGCUACUCAUACAUGUAUGCAAGUACAAAAUGUGGAUUGCUAUGAUGAAUUUGGGCACUAUAAUUCUUGUUUUGAUCAAGACAACUCUAAUUGGGGUAAUUCUUAUGCUUACGGUUGGGAUAAUCAAUGUGCAUAUAGUGCUUCUCCAUGUUCUUUUGAUUACUAAUCCGAAUGUUUCCAAUAUGAAUAUAAACCAUCUUAGAAAUUAGCAAUAGAAAGAUUAGCUAAUGAUUCUAAACCAUCUUAGGAGUUAGCUAUAGAAAAACUAGCUAAUGCGACCGCCGACCGUUUUGUUAGGAUUGAGGAAAAAUUAGAUAAAUUAACUUCUCACUUUGGUAGAAUACAAGGCCAAUUGCAUGAGUUAUAUGAAAUUAUUUCUUCUAAUGAUAUGUACUAUGACCCUAGCAUAAAUGGUGAGCAUAUUGCAAGUGAAAGUGGAUUAAUUUUGAUGAAAAUGAUGCAUAUAAUGUGCAUUUGAAUGAGAAAAUGUUCAUUUCAUAAGAUAGUAUUUUUGGAACUAACCUUGAACAUCAAGAAGUGAGUCUUAACUACUCAUUGUUAACCCUUCUUGAGGAGCGUGUUGAAAGUAUAGGUUCUAAAGGUAUUAUUGUCCAAGAAACCCUCAUGGCAUCUCCUUUGGUGAGUACUCAAGUGAUGCACAUCCAAGGUAAUAUCUAUGAGUCACUUGAGAUUGGUAAGCCACUUCCAUCUCUCAUAUCAUUAGAUUAUGUGUCUUUUGCCAUUGAACCACCAUUUGUUAAUCCACCACAUCUUCUAAUAGUGAAUUAUUCUUUAACAAAACCUCCUUGAAAAAUGAGGUGAUAUAGUCAAGCUAAUGACUAUAAAGAAGUACUUGUUAGGAGGCAACCCAAUAAUUUCUUGUUUUUAGUAGGUGUUAGUGGUUUGAUAAGUAUUUUUGUGUGUUUUAUAGGUAGCAAUGGCAAGGAUUUAUGCAAAUGAUCUCAAUUGCAAAAGCGUCUAUAUUGAAGCAAAAAGGAAAUUUUCAUGUUCAUUUGAUGCAUUUCAUGCAUUUAAAAUACUUUAUGUUAAAGUUAUAUUAAUUCAUGGUUAUGUAUUUUCAAGUGUAUUUGGUUGAGAAAAGCAUAUUUUUAUGGUUUUAAGUGAACUUUUCUUGAAGAACAUGAAAACAAUUGAAAUUCGAGUGAGUGCGGAAACUUGGUCAGGCAGUUUACUGGAGGAAAAACUGCAGAUUGACAGGGUGAUGCGGAUACGGGUGUGCAAUAAAUAACUUCAACCUUGGGUCAAGGAUCCUUUGGUCAACAUUGGUGGUCCGAUGACAAGAUCAAGAUCCAAGAAGGUGAAGGAAGCUUUACAAGUCUUGAUCAUUCACCAUACAAGCAAGGAGCAAGCAAAGUUUGAAGAUUUGAUGGACCAUGAAGUUACCUUGUUCACUUGUACGUUUGAAGUGAAGGAAUGAUCUCAUACUUGUUAGCUUAGUUGAUAGUUGUUUUAAGACUGCCUAGUUUAGUAGUUGUUAGUCGUUGAGUAUUUUAUUACUUAUUGGGCCUUAUCGGGAAACCUUAAAGAGCUGGCUCUUUAGGCGACCGAAUUCCUAUUCCAGGUUUAUUUGGGCCAGAUUUGCCCUAGUUUUAGCCUAUAAAAGGCAUCUAUUGUAUGCGUGGAAAGGGGGAGAUGAUUACAACCAGAAAUCGUGAGGAAUUUUCCUUCAAGUUCUUAAUCGAACUUACUCUUGAAUUCUUGAGUUCAUAACUUAGAAUUCAAAUCAGACUUUAUCGAUUAGUUUGUUCCCUAAUCGUGGUGUCUAUUCAUCCAUCUUUAUUUGCUUAAGGCUGCUGACUACCUUCGUGUGUCAGAGGUCUUGACUUCAUGAGAACAAUUGAGGUCUUGAGGUCUUGAGUUCUGAUAAUUACAAGGUUGGGAGGGUCUUCCCCUAGGGUUGCCUUAUCAGUUGGUAAUCAGAGCAUCAGAUUAAUUCUCUUUUAAUUGAAAUUGUUCAUAUCUUGUUAGUUUGUGUCUUUUGUCAAAAAAAAAAAAAAUACUGUAGCGAUUACUGUUCAUUGUUACUGUAGCGAUUACUGUUCGUCGUACUGUAGCGUACUGUUCACGUUACUGUUCAUCCGAGUCAAAAAAAAAAUCUGUUUGGGUAUUGUCUUUUUGUGUUUUCUGUCCAGGUUCUUGGGUCUGUUAUACUUGUGUUUGGAUUGUUAGGGUUUAAAGACAAAAAAAAAAAAAAGAGUCACGUACCUUAUAUUGUUUUAGUGUCCAAGUUGCUAGAGUAUUGCUGGAAUUUUCUUUUGAGUAUUGCUGAAAUUUUAUUGUGCCUAUUUCUUGAGUAUUGGUUGUUGUUCUUGCAAACCCUAAACACCACAACGCAAUUUGGGGAAGUUCUUGAGCUUCUUGAACAAAUUCUUGAAGUUCUUGAACCAUAAAGUCUUGUUUUGAAAAUUCUUGAACAAUAAAUCAAGAACCAGAGCCUUCUUGAAAUUUGCAUAACCUUUCAUCCGUUUUUUUUGAACUUGUUGGUGUGACCUGAAUUUGUGUUCCUUGAAGAGCCGAAGCAAAAAAAAAAAAAAAAAAGAGAGAACAAAAAAAAAAAAACAAAGAAGAGAAGGAAUCGGCUCUCACACAAAGGAAAUCAAGUAUCUCAAAUCUUGAGUUUCCAAUUCUUGAUUGGUUUUCAAUUCUUGAAUAGUUUCCAAAUAUUGAUUGGUUUCCCAAAACUUGAGUCUCCAACCUUAAUUGAAUUGCAACAACCCCAAACGACCUAACCAGCCCCAAACACCCCCAAAUCAGUUUCCAAAACCAAACCUAAACCACCACAAACACCAUUUACCAUCCAAAUACUGGCCAGAAACUCAGCAAAAAACAGCAGCUCAAAAAAAAAAAGUUCUAGCUUCGGGUAGAGUUUUUCUAAGAUUUGCAAAAUUCUGCUUUGUGUCUUGUUACUUGCUUAUAGGGUAAUUAAUUCUGGAAUUUUUGAGAGUUUGAGUUAUUUUAAAAACUUUGAGAAGGAAAAUUGAGAGUGAGAGUGUUUUCCUUGAGUGAUACACGAGUGCUUUGCAAGGUAGACUAGGAUACACUUGUUUUGCAGGUUUGACAAUAUGUCUCAAGAGGGGAACAUGCCUGAGCUGUCUGAGAUCGACAUGUCACUCAAACUGGUGCUCCAAACUCUUCGAAAACAAGCGGAGAGACAUGAAGUUGUAAUGACACAAUUAUUAGACAGAUUGGCUGCUAUUGAGAUGCGAGGUACCGAAAAUACACACAAUAGGGUUUCGAGUGUUCAGAAUGCUGAUCAUGAUGUGGAUGAUGAGAGAUAUCAUUCUAACACCUCAUUUGGAUCAAGGAAAGGUCAAAGGGGAGUGAUGGAACACAAACAUAAACCCCAGCGAGAAAACGAAUCUCUUAAGAGGAAGGGUUCCAUGCAAUCUACCUUUUUAAAGCCGGUUUAUACAAGAGAUGAUAAGAAAGUUCAUUCAACAUUUUCUAGGCCUAAACCUAGAGUUGAAUCACCUCAUGAGGAGUCAUUUUGGGAGACAUAUCAACGUCUUCUACACCAAAAAUAAAUGGAGUCAAAUGGAUGCUAUCAAAGCGAGUUUUCUAAGAAGGAGGUAGCUGACCCUAUUCCCAACAAAGGAGUAUCUCAUCCUAUUGAACCAUUUGUUGAGGAGGUUGAUAAUGAGAAAACAAUCGAGGGCGUUAAGCUAGAUAAAGAGAUGGAAAAAUCUGAUGAGAUGAGUGGUAAAAAGGAAGAAAAAAGAGAAAGUGAGCUGAUUUUGAGCAAAAAUGUGAGGGCUUAUUGUUUUUCUAACGAACUUACCUAUGCUGUAUUUAGUGUUUCUUCAUUUGUGCAGAUUAAGCAAAGUCAAGUGAAGUUAGUCAUGCCAUGCUCCAUUCCAAAGUCACUUGUACAAUUCACUAGUUUCCAUGGAGUUUGUCUUCUAGGAAUUAAAUCUAUUUGGGAUCACCUCAUGGAACAAUUUCAAUUCAAAUCUGUCCAUACCAAAGGGGAAUCAAUUCAAACCAACCAUGAAGGGAGAAUUCCAAAUUUUGACUCUCAUUUGCUACCUAUGGUUCAUUCAUCAUUUUUACCUUCUUUUGAGUAUAAUUUCCAUCCUAACACUUGUAUUUCUUAUGCAGAUUUUGAAGGAAAGUGUAAAAGGCUAGCAAUGCCUUCUCAAGUUGAAUCAAUUGGUGAAAGGAAUGAUGAAGUGUCAAAGGGAGUUUUCACACUUAAAACUUGUUCUAUACCUUCUUACCAUUCAGUUGAUGAUGUACCAUUACUUCUUUACCCAAUUUCUAAUUUGUUUCAAGUUGAAGGUUAUUUUGUUUUUGUAGGUUGUAAAGCUGUCCAAAAUUUUCCAGUUUUGAUUAAAGACUUACAACCUGAUUUCGUGCUUAUUCCAACUAAAGGUGGUGAUCUUUCAUGCUUAUUCACACAGCCAAAAGCUGGUGGCCAAGUGCUCAAUUUGUCAACUUCAACUUGUGCUAGUUCGAGUAACCCUCAUGAAGUGGACUUCAAUUGUUUGCUACCUUAUAUGUUGGAAGAUGAGAAAUUGUGUGUCACACAAGAUCCCAAACCUUUGCACAAUCAAGGUGUCAAUGUGAAGAUUCAUGACCAAAGGCUAAUUAGAGAGUUUUGGAUUGCCACUUGGGAUUUUCACACGCCUUACACAAGCUCUUUCCUACCUUGGCGCAUGUCCUUGUUUGAGAGCUUCCCAAAACUGACCAAACGACAUGCAACAUAGCUCGUAGUCAUUCAUCUAUUUCCAACAUUGCUGUCCUUUUAGCGCACCAUCGAUUUAUGGACAAAUCACUUUCAAGAGGAGACUUUGAAGAUUCGAGGACGAAUCUUUUCGAGGAAAGAGAGAAUGAUGCGGAUACGGGUGUGCAAUAAAUAACUUCAACCUUGGGUUAAGGAUCCUUUGAUCAACAUUGGUGGUCCGAUGACAAGAUCAAGAUCCAAGAAGGUGAAGGAAGCUUUACAAGCCUUGAUCAUUCACCAUACAUGCAAGGAGCAAGCUAAGUUUGAAGAUUUGAUGGACCAUGAAGUUACCUUGUUCACUUGUACGUUUGAAGUGAAGGAAUGAUCUCAUACUUGUUAGCUUAGUUGAUAGUUGUUUUAAGACUGCCUAGUUUAGUAGUUGUUAGUCGUUGAGUAUUUUAUUACUUAUUGGGCCUUAUCGGGAAGCCUUAAAGAGCUGGCUCUUUAUGUGACCGAAUUCCUAUUCCAGGUUUAUUUGGGCCAGAUUUACCCUAGUUUUAGCCUAUAAAAGGCACCUAUUGUAUGCGUGGAAAGGGGGAGAUUAUUACAACUAGAAAUCGUGAGAAAUUUUCCUUCAAGUUUUUAAUCGAACUUACUCUUGAAUUCUUGAGUUCAUAGCUUAGGAUUCAAAUCAGACUUUAUCGAUUAGUUUGUUCCCUAAUCGUGGUGUCUAUUCAUCCAUCUUUAUUUGCUUAAGGUUGCUGACUACCUUCGUGUGUCAGAGGUCUUGAAUUCAUGAGAACAAUCGAGUUCAAUUUCCAUUGGGAAAAAAGAUCCAACUCUGAUAAUUAUAAGGUUGGAAGGGUCUAGGAGGGUUUUCCCCUAGGGUUGCCUUAUCACAGGGGAGGCAAAAAAAAUUUUUUUUGCUCACUCCUAGAAUCCGGCCAACAAUCUGGGCGGAUUUUGGCAGGUUUUGUGACCAAAAGAGGAAUCCGUGAACGGAUUCACGGAUUCCUCAAUCUUUCCUUCUCUUCUUCUUCAACCCACACACACAAACACCUAAAAUACACACUACUCACUAAAAUCUCUCUUUUCACUAUCAAAUCUUUCAACUAACUUCACCAAAACAUCCCCUUAACCUCUAGAGAUGAUUUCAUAGUUUAAACUUUUUCAAAAAAUAAGCUUUAAUUCAGAUUUGAGUUUGGUAAGAAUAAGGGUUUCAAAUUUUUGAACUCCAUUUGAGGCCGAAUUAGAGUGAGAUUUUAGGGGCUUUCUUCACUAUUUGCAUCCAUAAUCGUCAACCAAUAAGUUUGAGGUAAUAAAUAUUCACCAAAUUUUGUCAUUUAAAUUUUGCUAUUUUCACUUUUUUUCAAAUUUUUGGCCAAUUUUGAAUUUCUUUAUUUUGUGAAAUUUGGUACUUUCCAUUAUACUUAUUGAGGUUAUUGAUGAUUAUUGUUAACGGUUAACUUAUGGGCUUAUGACUAUUUGGUGAAUUUAGCAAUUUUUAACUACUUUUGAGGAUUAAUGUGACUAAAUAAUUAUUAGCUACUUUCUUUAGCUAAUUGGAUUGAAGAAAAUUUUAUGAGAUAGAUGGGUUGCUCUAGAAUAUUUACAUGCUAAGUUUAGGCUUAAUUUGCUUACCUCUUAAUUUUUGACAUGUUUAUUCUAGAAUUUUUGAUAAAUAGUAAAUUAGUGACCUUUUUAAACCUAAAACUCAUGGUCAAAGUACUAUUUAGAAUUUAAUUAUGCUUAUUUAAGUCAUUAAGAUGUGAGUGAGUUGUGUGUUUGUUUAGUUGUUUUCUUUAAUUACUUGGACAUUAUUGUUUAUUGCACUCAUAUGUGUCAUUUGGAAAAAUUAUAAGAGCACUUGUUGAUAGUAAAUUUUGGUACUUACUUAUGGUGUUGAUUGAUACUCAUUAUGUCAGUAAGUUAAUGAGUGUGCCUCUUUAAAGAUAAGGGUAAAUGCGAACAAGUAUUCGUUAUCCUUUAUUUAACAAUGUACCUAUUGAAUGACAUUAAUGUUUAAUAAUUUUAUUUAGAUACAAUGGCUCGCAUUAAGAAAGUUAGGGUGAAAUCUUUACCUCCCAAAAGAAAAGGAGAAGCUUCUAUGUUUACUUCUAGACCACAACAUAAAAAAAGAAAAGCAAGUAGACGACUUAUACUUAAAGAUGAACCAUCAUCAAAAGAGGAGAUUCAAUAAGAAGUAGAGCAAGAAGAGGAACAAGAGGAGCAAAUCCCAUAUGAUAGUUCGCGCUUCUCCUCCACCGAAAAUGAAACUUGGUAUAAUUCUCGAAGGGAGUUAAGAUGUUGGAGGAGAAGAACGUCACUCAUGAUGUUGAGGAGGUCUACCAUCUCAAGGCCUACUCUGCUAAAUUGGGAUGGGAGAAUUUCUUCAACCUCCCAAACAUUUAUUAUGAAGAGCUUGUCCAUGAACUUUAUGUAAUUGUGAAGGGCAAGCAGUCUUUUCACUUUGACACGGAAGAAAUUACAAGUACAUUACAAGGAACCAGUAUCCGAAUCCAUAGAUCUCAUUUGCAAAGCCUUCUUCAAGUUUCUGAUGUUGGAUAUAAGGUUGAUUUGAAGAAAGCAUUUAAACCUCGCGAUUUGGACUCAUGGAACAUGCUAGAGGCACUUGUACGCUUGGGAGUUGAGUAUAAGACCACUCGUAAAAUUGGGUGAUAUUCCAUGAUGACUUCCUCAUUUUCGGAGUCUCAUCGUCUUCUCAUCUACUUGGUUGCCUCCAAUAUAAUUCCAAGAGCGAAUGGUGCCAAUGAAUCGCGCAUAAAUGACAUCUAUUUCUUGGACAAAAUAGAGCAUGCCUUAGGCAACAUCCAAGGUUUUCCAUUAGAAAGCAUUAUCAUCAACCACAUGUGGGUUGUAGUUCAUAAUAAUGAUGUCAAACAUGUUUUCCCAUAUGCUCGCUUUUUGACCUUGGUAUUUCAAAGGGUUGGAGUUGAUUUCUCUAAUACUACCCCUACGUACCUCAAGAAAAAGGACAUUUUUAUAUUGAAUUUUUGCAAAUUUCUUUUGAAGAUCAAAAACGCGGGUGGUGACAUUCGACAAGAGGAAGAAACUGAAAUUGCAUGUCUUGAAAAAGAUCAAGGUGUUGAGACAACUGCCCAACCGGUCUCAACCGAUCCCUCCUCUUUACGUCCUUCAUCAUCACCUCAAGACACUCGAUCUUUUCUCAAAAAGAUGAUGGAUAUGCUACUUUGCAUCGAGAUUGAAGUAAAGAGGAGUCGAAAAGAGUACAAACGGAACUCCGAGCGUCUUCAUCGCAUUGAGGCUAAACUUCGCAUUGAAACUCCACCGACUCCACCUUCCUCAUCUGACCAAGCGACUACUUGAGGGAACGUUCAUCACCAUCAACCUCGUUCAUUUUCCCAAAUUUGUAUGUUUGCUUUAUCAUUGCCGCUAGUUUUUUUUUUUUUUUUUUUAGUGGUUUUCCUUAGUGUUUUUUAUGUUUACUUUUUAGUGGUUUUCCUUAUUCCUUUUUGUAUAAGAACUCAUCCAAGUGAUCUUCACUUAUGUUGUGAUUUUAGUGCUCAGACUUCUUAAAAUUGAAAAUUCAUCACUUGACCAUAGAUUUGGAUAGCGCAAGUUCAAUAGGGGAGCACUAUUUUCUCUUACUUUCGUAAUUUUUCCUUUCUCACAUUGAGGACAAUGUGAAGUUUAAGUGUGGGGGAGGGAAAUAUGUGAACUCACAUCCUAGUGCUACGUGAUGAUAUUUUGUGGAUUUAAAUGCAUUAAAAAUGUUGAAAUUGUGUUUGGAAAUAUUACCAUGUUGAAGUUUUCUUGAAAUUAGGUUUGUUGGCGGGGAGUUUCGCCCAUUUAUAAGGGGAAACACUGUCAAAAUUUUUUAAAAAUCUUUUCAAUAUUUCACUAAGACCCAAAAAGUUUUGCAAUUUUUGUCUUUGUUUUAAAAAGGGCCAAUUUAUUCCAAUCUUAAGCAUUGUAAUUUUUCCACUUGUUGAAAUUUAUAUAUAUUUUGGAAGAUUUAAUUCUCAUUUGACUCGGAAAUGGUUAUUAUGCAAUUUAAAUUUUUAUAUUUUAAAAAGUGUAUCCUGUAAAAUAGGGAGAAUUAUGCCUAUUAUUUUACAUGUUUAAUGAGAUUUCUCCUCUUUACUUAAUUUUGCAAGUAAUUGAUAUAGUUAAGAAAAGCUAUACUCUUCUUUUGAUUAUUCUUAUAUAUUUGCUACAAGGGAAUAUCUAUUUAUUGUCUUUUAUUUAAAAAAAGAAUAAACAAGAAAAAAGAAAUAAAAAGAAGAAAGGAAAAAAAAGAGGGAAUAAGCGUUUUUGCUCUACUCCAAUAAUUAUUGUACUGAGUAAUCGGAGGUACAAAUGUCAACAUUCGUAUAAAAAGGUACUUGAAUUAAGAGUAUGCAUUGUAAUUUAAAUAAGUGAAAUGUUGAUUAACCGAAACUCUUCACCUAAAAGUGUCGAUCUUCACGUCAAAAGACAUUUUUACUAUUUGAGUAUAAAUUAGUAUGAAUAAGUCCCUCUUAGUUGUGAAAUUUGAGAAAAAGAUGAUUGAAGAAAAAGGAUAGCUAUGAAUUGACUAUGAUUUGCUUGUUUGUGAAAUUAGGUUAGAGUGAGAGAUUAAGUUUAAAUUGUUAAAAUUAGGAUAUAAUUAUGUUUCCUUUACUUGAUAUUAUGAGUAUUUAGUGUAAAUUGAACAAUUGUAUAAAGAUUGUUUGCCAAAUCAUGAGGAAUUAAAUUUGAAAAAAGUGCAUAUAUUGUUUCACUUCUUGAAUCAUUGUAAUUGAUUAUGUGUGGAUUGCUUGAGAAUAAGCAAUGAUUCAAGUGUGAGGUAGUUAAUACGUGACUAAUUUGAGCCAUAUUUGAAUGACAUUUUAUGUUAUUUUUAGCCACUUUUGCAAUGAUAUAAGAAGAAAAUGGAUUAUUUUGGAUAUAAUUAGUUUAAAAUGCUCUUAAGUGAUUAAAUGAGGUUUACGUCCUUUUUUACUUUCAUUUUGUCCAUAAUUUUUUACAUGAGUUGGAAUGGACUUUGUGAAGAUUCGAAAAUUCUAUUAUUUUAAAAUCCCUAAUUUUGGCUAAAUUAAUUAUUUAUUUGGAUUUUGCCACGAAUAAUAUUUUCUAGCCUUAUUAGACCUAAGUACAGGGUUUUAUAGUUUCGUUAUAUUUUUAAAGUGUCUCGUUUCAAAAAAAUUAUUUUUCUUAUAAGCUUGUUUAGUGAAAAGUGAAAACGUGUCUAAACACUUUAGCCAAUUGGGAGUACAAUAAGCUCAAAAAUUUGAGACAUAUACAAUGGUCCUAAAAUAGGCAAUUUUAGGUUUAAAAACUCAAGUGAUAGUUGGUAGUACGAUUGUUAUAAGAAUUUCUCGAAAGUUUCAUUUUAUCGCGCCUAAAUUGGAAAUACGUGUUUUCACGUGCGCGCUUAAUUGAGGGACCUUGGACCAUUAUUUUGGAACAAUUAAGAAUGAAUAAUAUUUAUAUGAAUGUAAGUGCCCUAGAGGUUUAAUGCACUAGUGCAACAAACUUAAGAGAAAUUGAGCACAAAACGCGCGCGUAGGCGCACUAGUUGCAAUUGAUUUUUACGCACUUAAAAUAUUAGACGGUCAGCGUUCCUUGUACGCAAUAGAAUCAGCAAAACAUAUCAUUUCUUCAAGCUCCAUGGACGGCUAGCAGUCAGCAAGGGAGCAACCGAAAAACUUCCAACAUUUCCUCUACAAAACUCACUCAAAUCACCACCAAAUCUUCUCAAAAUUUAGCACUACUUAGCCUAAGCCUUGGAGUUCACAUCUAGCUAAAAAGGGGAGGAUUUUCACGGCUCACUUAGGAGCAAGGAGGGACCGAAUCUCUGAUUGAGACAUCAACUAGAGUAAGUUUUAAUUUAGCCUUCUAACUUCAAUUUUUGGAAGUUCUAGUAUAUCUUUUAGCUCUUAAUUUCUUAUGGGUUGUUGUUGAUGUUGGAAAAUUGGAAAAGUGGGCUCUAUGAACUCCCACUCUUGAGUUAUUGCUGAUUUUGUGCUUGAUGAUGGUUAUAAUGUUGGAUUAGUGUUUAAAUUAGUGGUUUGUUGAUGGAAACUCACGUUGGGUGCAAAGGCCAAAUCUGACCAUUUUGCCCCUGCUUUGUUCGGCCACUUUAAUGUAGAAAUUUGAGGAUUUAAUGGCUUGAUUGUGUUGUUUACAUGUUGUAGUGGUUGUGUAAAAAUUUUCAUUGAAAAAUGUUGAGUUUUGGUUGGUCAAAUGAAUUUAUUCCCAAAGUUAGUAAUCUGGAAGCUGUUCACGUCAUGGCCAGACCAGUAUUCGUAUUUCAUCCAUAACUCCGUGUUCCGACAUCAAAAUCAAGUGCCAUCAGUGGCAUUUGAAACUAGACAUUCCCCUCUUUCCAACGGUAUAAAAUGCAUGUUUUGGUUCCAUGUGUGUGAACCGCACCACUCUUAUGAAAUCAGCUGUUCUGUUUCUCUGUUCUGCUGGAAUGGAAUGCAGAAGCUGUGACUUGAACCUCGAUUUCGAGCUAGUUGUGUACCGAAAUUCAAAAUGAUUUCUUCUGUGAAAUUAUAGCCCUAUGAAUCUAUUUUCCAAAACUAUCAACCAUUCCCAAUUCCGAACUAAAUUGAGUGAGUUAUGAUCAAAAUACGACAACUGCCUCGUUUUUGAAAACUCUUAGAUUUGGACAGAUUAGAUGUGAGAUUUGUUGUGGUCUUACUAAAUGAAUUUCUUGGUGCUAAACACCUACUAAAAGUACCAUGUAUGUUCCUUAGACCUUUCUUGCACAAAUGAACCAUGUUUGGAGGUUUUUCCUUAGCCGAAUGUUUGGAAACGGAGAGAAAGGGAGCUAAAGGCAGUUUUGCCUUACUAAUUUCAAAAAUUUGGUUGAUUGGUUAACUACCUUUCCGAAGGUAUUUUUCCACAAAAUUUGAUAGAGAGAUACCCUUCAUAUAGAAGUACUAUACUGCAAAAUUUGGUACCAAUCCAAGUCUGUUUCGACACUUAACUAAAGGUCUAAAGUCGGAAACCCAAAUCUGGAAAAUUGUUCAACGGUCUUGAAUUUUUCCCCAACUUUGAGCUACCAUAUCUUGGUGCUCGAAACUCCGAUUCUUGAGCCGCUUGUUCUGUCCUAAACCUUACUUGCACCUCUAAUUGAGUUAUAAGUUUCAAGGGCUGGUUUGCAACGAGUGAAUUCUGCCAAAUUUUCAAAGUUAGCGAAAAAUCAACCCCGGCUCAAUCCUGGUAAUCUAGAACAGCAACUUUAGGCUCAUUUUUGAAUACCUUCCACUUAGAUUCAUGGAACAGUGUCUUCUAAGGACUUUUAGUACUUUGGAAGAUAAUUCCAACGGUACCAAAUUUAUCAAGUUUCGACUAGUAGAAAAGAAGUUAUGAUUUUUCAAAGAUUUGACCAAAAAUCGAAAAUUCUGAAAUUUCAAAGGAAAUCCGCGCGGGAACUAUUCUACCAGAAUCCGGCCUUGAAUCCGGCCAGUUUCUGGCCGGAUUAUCGGCGAAAUUUGAAAAAAAGGGAGGUUAGCCACUGCCUCCAAUCCGGCCAGAAAUCCCGCCAGAAAUCCGGCCGGAUAUCUGGCCAGGUUCCGGCCGGAUUGUGACGUGGCCCACCCACUUUCGAUUUCGAUCGUUCGUUUUGCAAUCGUUUCGCUCGUACUCGUUUCCAACCAAUGAUUUUAAGGAUAAUAAUCCGAUUUUUACUUGAGUCCUGCACCCUUUUUGAGAAUCCAACUUCAAAGGCAAGCCCAAACGAAAUUUUCAAAAUAUUUUCGAACCCUACUCGUGUUCAAUCUUUCUCACCAUUUGGGGACCUAUAGUAAUUGUCUACUAUUCGAUGUUCAGGUACGCACGAGGACCUCCAAGAGGACCCUACCGUGGAAGUUUGAACCCUCCAUCCAACCUACUUGCUUGCAUAACUUGGUGAGUGUCAAGUGUAUGACUACUUGAACUCUAUAGACUUGAUUCAUGCUUGACUUACCUGAUUACAUGCUUAACCUAUUUGGUUUUGAAAAAAAAAAAAAUGGAGUCGAGCGUGUACUUAAUCGCACUCGUUCUCAGUUGAAACAAAUGACUCAUGCCUGACAUGCUUUGCCUGGUUUAUAUGACCUGAAAUACAUGUUUAAACCUGUCAAAUGCUUGAAUACAUGACAUAGUAUGCUAUGACUGCAUAUGUCGUUGGAGUGAAUCUCCUCGACACUUACAUGAUACAUGGGGGACGCCCAAACUCAUAGGCCGACCGUGGAACUCGAGCCGGCAUGGGUUUGGUCUGGAACCUCGGUGAACUAUGAGAUUCACAUGAUAAGCUUGAUCUAUUGAGAGAUCUCGCUUGGCAUACUCGUGAAGUAUCGCCUUAUAAAUGUUGUGCGGGCCCGAAGCGGUGUAUAGUGGACGGAUGAGAAGUAAGUGGUGAACUACGGAUAUGAAAAUAUCAACCCGGUUGACGGAGAGUCGUAUCGGGGAGAUAUACGAAUGACAUCGGUAAAAUGUGGAACUUAGCUCCUGAGAGCUUCCAUAUCCUUGAAUUGUUUCUGGUUACAUUUUUGUUGGCGUUAUUAAUUACUUGCAAGCUAUUACUUGAAUUGUUAUUUGGUCUUGUUACCUGAACUAUGUGUCUGCAUGUGUGUUCUUGGCCUCAUGAGCGUUUUUGCUCACCCUGUAGAUUUGUUUUUCUUAACAGGAUUGAACUUGGCGAGGUAUCGAAGAAACCUUCCUGCUACGCUUUUGUUUAGGGUUCUAUUACUUUUGACUAUAUCUUGGCUUUUGGGUUGUAUUUUCGAAAUCUGAAUAUAACUUUUGGGGCAUGAUGUAUAUUUGGGAUUUAUGAUGGUUGUUGAACACCCGAUGUGCGGGUUGGAUAAUGGAUGAUUUUUAUUAAACUUGAACGCUUCCGCAUUUAUUGUAUCUAAGUUAUUGACUCGUUUUGUGUGGUCCAGUAAUAAGGCUGAAUGGAAUUGCUUGAGUCCUGGCGAGAGCUAAGCAGGCGUCCCGCGGAUACCCUUUGGUUCGCCUUAGGGAGAAGUGGGGGCGUCACAGACUUCAUUUGGAUGAAAAAUGAAAGUUGAUAGCUUUGAUACAUUUUCAUAUUUCGGCUAUAACUUGAGUUAUAAUGAUCGGAUGGAGAUGAUUCUAGAACCAUUUUGAAGAUAAGAGAUGGAUCUACAAUUCUUGUGAAGACAUCAAAAUUCAGUUUAAAGGUUCUAGGUCAAAAAGUCAAAUUACAGUAGCCAAUUUUGUAUGUUCGAAGCUGAAGCAAAGCAUUGAGUAGUCAAGGGUAAUUCAGUCAUUUCACAGUCUACACAAAUCCAAAUGACAUGAUUGUUGAAGCAUUGGAAAUCUAACUCAAAGGGCAACAAGUUUUAUGUAUUGGAUAAGAGUUAAUUCAACUUCUAUCAUUGAGAAAAUUUCAGUUGAAAUUGAUACGAAAUUGGAAUGACCUUGAAAGAAAUUCAGAAGCAAAGUAGGGGAGAAAUCCGGCCGGAUUUUGGCUUGAUUUGGGUCAAAAAUAGCUGCUCUCUACUGACACAACUUGUUUUCUCCUCCAAUAAUUCACAGUUACUAAUGUACAUGUGACAACCAUUUUGUAGCUGUAAAAGUGAUAUUUGAAGCCUCAUUUCUUGACUAAUUUUAUCUAUAAAUAGCCAUGGAGUUGCAAGAAUCAAGAGAGUUUGGAGAGUGUAAAAUAUACCACAAAAAUGUAGUUCUUACAUUUUCUUAAUAUUAGGUUAGUGUAGUAUAGGAGAGUUUAGCUAGUUAGUUCAUCCUUCUUGUUUAUUAGCUAGGCAAAGAUAAAGAAAGAGAUAAACUCAUGUGAUAAGGGUUACAUUUCAUUCCAAACUCUGUCUUUUAUACUUGAUUCUAUUGUUUAGUUAAUAUACAAGUUUGGAUUCUAUGUUUAUUAUGUGUUUCAACAGUUUGUGCCUUGGGUUUGGUUGAACUUUCUAUGAUUGUUAGAGUUUAUUAUUUGGCCAUUUGAUGCUAUUAUUUUGAGCAAGUUAUUUAUCACUUUAACUCUUUAAAUCAUGAUUAACUUGGUACCAUUAAUUGUGAUUAUCUAAAGGUGUUGUUUUUUCAGUGAAAAUUGAGAUUUAAUACUAGUUCAAGAAGUGUUAAACCUAGGGAGUACGCUCACGAGAGUAGAGGUGCACCUUUGUGGCUUUAGUGAUUCAUUUCAUGCAAUUUCAUAGAAGAAAUGAACUUGUAGCUAAUUUCAUAACCAUGAGAGUAGGUAUGGAUUAGUUAUAAGUAUAGUUGAUUCACUAUGAGAAUAGGUUUUACAUGCAUAAGGAAAUUACACCAUAACUAACUUAGGUAGUAGUACUCAAUGAUCCAAAAAUAACAUUUGCAUGAGUACGUAGUUAGGAAUACUAUAACCUAAGGAUCUUUCAUUUGUUAUUUUCUUGCAUAAAUUUAGCAUAAUUUUAUUUCUUUCAAUUCAUUGAUCGUCUAAAUAAUAGAGAAGAUUUAUUAAUGCCCAUAAUUGUCCAAUUUUUCUCAUGGGAUCAACCCGAUAUAUGCCCUAAACUACUAAUUUGACCUAUAUACUUGCAGUCAAAAACGGGUGUAAAUUGGAUUUAAAUUUGUACAUAUAUCAAAAACCCAUCACAAAGGCUUUAGUGACAGCCUUUGUGACCUGUAUAGUUUGCCCUACCAAUUAAUGAAAGGCUCUCUAACAACCCCCUUUUUUUUUGUUUUUUCGAAUUUCCAGAAUUGAGCAAUGGAAUUUUGGUAACUCUAAUAAUUUAGAAAUCUCUAUUUUAUUCACAAUAAAACAUAGUUAUAGUUGCCAAAUUAUAUAGAAGAACCAAACUAACUAAACAAUAUUAGGAACCUUUAUUCCUUAGGAAAUCAUAUUUCUUAAGAAAUCCUUAUUGGUUUCCAAUUUUAUUUUAAUUUCUUUUGCCAUCAAAUUUCCAAAAAAAAAAACUAUUUGAUUUCUAAAUAACACUUUUCAUCAUCUAAUGAUAAAAUUUUUGGAUCAAAAUCAUGGUCGAAUUCUGACAAGAAUCAUGCUAAAACUUUUGUUCAUUAAAGAACACAUGGACACAUGCUCUUCCAACAAAAAUUUUCAGCAAUAUCAAUCCACAAAAACCAGCCUUAAUCAUUAUUCAAAAUUCAAGAUUCAAAAUUUCAUCCAAAUAAAUUAUCUCAUAAUUAACCAUAAUAGCCAAAUUGAUAAUUUCAUGAAAUCAAAAAUAUGAUCCAAUGAAAAAUCUAAUUUUCAUCAAAUUUCCAACCACAAAAGUUGUUCAAUUUUUUUUAAAAUUUAGACAACGUUAAAAAACUUAUUUUUUAUGAUAAAACUAGUCCGGCAAAUUUGGAUUGUGAUUUUUUACAGAAAAAUUUUUAUAUUUCUAUUAACAUAUUUUACAAUUAUCUUUUUCUCUCACAUUCAUCAAAUUACUACAGUACAUUUUUCUACAAAACUCCUAAAAAUAGCAAUCCAAAUGGGUUACUUUUUUUUUACAAAAAUUAUCCAAAAUUUUUUUUUCAAAAUCUAAAACCUUUUCAAAAUUUUAUUUUUUCAUUUGAGCAAUAGUUUUUAAACACCUCUUGAAUUGAAUAUAAUUAAAUCUAAUUUAACAUAUAUGACAACUGAAUAAACAAGUCACAUGUCACUACAACAAAAAUGACUUUUCGUGACAUGUCUAUAAGGACACUUGCUGGUUUGUGUCAUUAUAACACAUCUAUUAUGACACUUGUUAUCAACUCAAUAAUAUACACUCUAAUUUUUUUUUAUUUUAUCUGAUAUAAAAAUAAUAAUGUGCCUUUAGAUUACCUAUCAUUACACUUGAGAAAAUGUGAGAUAUACUAAAAAAAAGGAAAGGCACAAAACAACAUCAUAGUGAAUUGGCGGAAGAUUCAUUUGCUGUGAAAUAUUCAAAACUUUCAAUUUGCCGGCCAAAACACUUGGUCAAAUUUUGCUUCUUCUGAUCUCUCUCACAGAAAACACUCUCUCCGCAAACUAACUCUUGGCAAAUUAUCUCUCAGCCAAGUAGGGGCGUUAAGACCGGAGUUUUUUGUAGAUGGCGCAAGACGAUUGCAGAUGGGUAAAGGAAACCUGGAAAAUAAUAGACCACCGAAGUACUAAAUGAAACUUUCUUCCACUUUCUUUCCUUUCGCUCUUUCUGGCUCCCAUGACCAAUUAAAGUAAGGAAGAAUCAGCCAUGGGAUUGAUCGUCUCCGCUUUCAGUUCAUUCCAUUCCUCAAGCUCACCGCCGUCUUUCUCCCCUCAACCGCCACCACCACCGCUGCCGGAAUGUUAUUUCUCUUUUCCCUAGCUACCCUCCUUCUACAAUCACCAGCAGCUGUACCAGUACCAGCACCAGCACUAGCUGUUCUUCCUCUUCUUCUUCUUCCUCCUAUUUUGGGAUUUCGAUUUCUGACAAAACUAUGAUUUCUGUUGCGUCUGGAAAAGCUAAGUCAAACCGAUCGUUGUAUAUUGUAGCUGAGGUGUUUGAGAAAUUUACUGAGAGAGCAAUUAAAGUGGCUAUGUUUUCCCAGAGGGAGGCAAAUGCUUUGGAGGUAGAAAUGGUGUAUACCCAGCAUCUUUUGCUAGGACUUAUCGCAGAAGAUAGUGCUUCCGGUGGGUUUUUAGGCUCUGGAAUCACAAUCGAGAUGGCUCACCAAGCCGUUAAGAGCAUUUGGCAUACCAAUUCUGAUGAUAAGGAGGAGAAUGGUAAGGGUAAUGGGAGUGGUCUUGGUCCUGAGGGGGCAGAGGUCUCGACCAUGGAUGUGCCAUUUUCGCUGAGCACUAAGCGGGUUUUUGAGGCUGCCGUGGAGUAUUCGAGGACUAUGGUGUAUAAUUAUAUUGCGCCGGAACAUAUUGCUGUUGGGUUGUUCACUGUCAAUGAUGGAAGUGCUGGCCGUGUACUUUAGAGGUUGUACAUUUUAAAUUAGCAUAAUUUUAUCUAUGAAUGCUUUACUCGCUGAGAAUUGCAAUUUUUUUAGUGCUUUAUAUUGGUCUUAUAUGGACUGCUGAAACUAUUGUUGCAACUUGUGAUCGAAGACAAAACUAGGAAGGGGUGGCAAAACAAGUCAACUGGGAGGUAAAAAGAAUCACCCAACUCUGACUGUACAUCCUGCCCCUGGGGCUUCGUUUGGCAUAUCUUCUGCCUGCUCUUCCCCAAGAUCACCUGAGAGCUGCAAGCCUGCAACACCGAUGGAAAUGCCCAUGAACCCAUGCUCCAGAACAGCUAUCACAGCACCCGAAUGCAUAUGCACAGGGUCCAGAGCUCACCUACUGUCUGCAAUCUUAUAGGUCUUCAGCAGUAGAACAGUGCUUCUAGUCUUCAGCUGUAUCCUCAGAAUUACUACCAAACCAUCAGUCUUUUUGGUGCGCAAGAAACUUCAACUUGUUGGAGUGACAGCAAUGCUUCUGGCUUGCAAGUAUGAAGAAGUUUCUGUUCCUGUCGUUGAAGACCUCAUAUUGAUUUCUGACAGGGCUUACUCCAGAAAUGAUGUGCUUGAGAUGGUAGGUUUGUUAUGGCAUCUAUUGUCUAUGAGUUGAUCUUUGAUAUAUGAAGCUUUCCUUUGUCAUAUAACUAAAAUUGAAUUGUGGCUCGCUGCAGGAGAGCUUAAUGAUCAAUAUCUUGCAGUUUAAUCUUUCAGUGCCUACUCCUUAUGUCUUCAUGAGGCGCUUUCUUAAAGCUGCUCGAUCUAAUAAAAAGGUAUUGUUUCGUAUUUAGUGUAUGUGAAUUUUUUGCACUAUCUUGAUCUGCCUAAUAACUGGCAAUAAUCUUCUGGUGACUAGUUGGAGCUUCUGUCCUUCUUUAUCGUUGAGCUGUGCCUCGUCGAGUAUGAAAUGCUUAGGUUCCCCCGUCUCUCUUAGCAGCAGCAGCUUCUUUAUUUCAAAUUUUUUGUUUGAGUUACCAUGCUCAGUUUAUGACAUUUUAUUCCUUGCCACAUUCAUUUUUUAUACAGAAUAGAACCACUCGUAUGUAAAGAAUAUGUAGAUAAACGCCCCGUGAUUAUCCCUUACCACAUAGGCGAAAAGCGGUUGUACGUUAGAUUUCAGGUGAGACCCUUUUGAGUUUCCAUACUGUGAGUGUUAAACAUCUUAUUCUCUUUUUGCUACUGAUGAUAUGGUCUGCAAGAGUUUAGAGAAGGCUUGGCUUCACAUUCUCAGGCCCUGAUGGAUCAAAUGACUGCUAUUAGGGUAAUUUUGAUCAUCCCUAGCUCCUGCUUACUUCCUUUUUCUCUUUUAAUUUGGUGUGUAUGGAGAGAGGGAGCUUAUGUGCACGAGAAUUCCAAUUCUAUUCUCUAGAAUUAUAACAGCAGAAGCUAAGCUUUUGUGCCCUUAACAUAACGGAAAAGGGAAAUGUGAGACGAUUACUGAUCACUUGUUGUUGGCAAUGAUUACAUGACUAUGGAUAGAGGCUUGGACCACUUGCACUAUUGGCAAUGAUUACAUGGCUACUGAAUAGGGUAGAUUGCAAGUACCUUGUAUUCUGCUUGAAUGAGGAAAUAAAUAGUCAACCUUUCCAUUCUGAAAUACAUGGUGCAGUUUUUUGUCGGUGCAUUGCUUUCAAGAUAUGGACCUAUUAGUUUCAUCCACAGGUUGUUGUCUUGCCCUUUCCUAUUCAAAACUCUGAUUACUUCUCUUUGUUUAAUGUUCCUGUCAAAUGCUUCGCUUGGGGUCAUACCUGGUUGUGAUGCAAAUUUCGAUAGGCAUUUAUACUACUCUGAUCAGAGAUGUUUUCAUCUUUAAUUUUUGUAUUUAUUUAUUUUUUUUGUUUUAUUAUGUAAAUUGGAUUAACUGAUUGUGAGCAGAGAAUGUCUGGUGCUUUAAUGGUCCCACAAUUAGGAUUUAGAAUUGGACCUAGAGAUGGUACAGGACAAGUGUAUUAUGCAAAGCAGUUAGUAGGUAGCAAGCGUGUUCAUUUUGGUUUUGGCUCCCGAGCAAGAAUUUGCUUGAAUAAUGUGUGUUAUGGAAGUUAAUAACUGAGUGUAGUGGUCUAGAUGUUGAAAAUGAAGAAAUGUCAGACAUGUAACUCCUUGGCAUAUAUUGUUGAUUGGACGUGUUUAUUUGAUUACCAUACAGAAACAGAUUAAUGUCUUAACAACUUGGCUGAAUCUUUUCUUUUUGAACAGGUUAAAGUGCUUACCAUCUGCGAAUCGAGAAACAAGGAUAAACUGGAUGGUAAUCCUAAGAUGAUUUUGCUUCUUUUGUUUUUUUUUAUUUCAAAUUUUUUGUUUGAGUUACCAUGUUUGGUCCCUUCAAAUUUACUGUGCAAUGCUCUGUCAAUGGGUUCAAGAAGUGGACUAAGACAUGCGAGAGGCACACAAACUACACUGAAGAUCAGCUUUUGUAAGUGGUUCCUUAUGCUUUUCACACAUUAAUGAAUUUUAUUGCUAGCUAUGAUGAUCUAAUGAUCCCAACAAACUUUGUGCACAGGUGGAACCAGCUGAAGAUUGAUGGGGUGUUCGUGGCUAUGAUUGAAGGGUCUAAUUUCAUUGGAAAGUUUGGCAGCUACUGCAAGUUCUUUCUACUUGUUAGGGAAGAGAAUCUUUUAGUUUGUGCACAUGAGGAUCUUUUAGUUUGUCCACAAGAGAAUCUUUCAAGUUUGUACUUGUUAGGAAUUUGCUAUGUUAGUACUUGUUACUGACUUUUAGUUCAAUAAAUUAUAUUUGAGCAUUGAUUUUUGCUUUUAGAUUACUAUAUGCAUUCUGUUCUUUGGGAUAAUUUUACAAGUCCUUUGGGUUUCUGAUUGACGGAAUGUAUAGCAGGGAGCACUACCUGCAGGUUGCUUCUAUAUCAAAAAAAAGAAAAAAAAAUCCUGACAAUUAAAAGUGUCAGCAUAGAAUUUGAUAUUGUAAUGUUGUACUAUAGCUAUCCUGACACUUUCGAUUAUCAAGAAAAGGAAUUUUCGUUGGCAGAUGAGAUGUUAUAACAACACAGUUUUCCUGACACAUUUGAAUAUUACAUACCUAUCCCUACAUUGGAAGGGACGACACUCGUCCUAGGUGUGAGGAAAAGUAAAGUGUCAGGUUAAAUUAUCUAUACUGACACCUUUAAAUGCCGUUAAAGGGCAUUUUUGUUGUAGUGUGUUUUUAUCAAGGUUGGCUCUGAUAUCACUAUAUGGAAUCAUGGAGAUAAAGGCAAUAGAAAUUUAAAAUUUUCUAUUUCUCAGAAUGCUAAAUUAAAUCACAUGCAACUAAAAAAGGGUGUUUAAAUAUGUUAUUUCAAUCAAUGAAGAAACACACAAACAUUUGGAGUGUUUAUUACAAAGGAAGGCAAGAGAUUCACAAAGCUGCUCAAAUGUUUGACCUCUAAUGGUGAUCGACAUGAACCCUUAGCUAGAACCUCCGAGACUGAAUUAGCUCUUACUAAAUUUAGUGUUAGCUAAUUCUAAAAUGAUCACACAUAAAAGGUGGGAGAGAAAAGUUGCCCUAAUACACGAUUAGGGUUUGUGCCAAGAGAGAGACAACAAUGAAUUUUUCCUUUUCUUUCUUGCUGAGGUAAAGUCCCAUUUCUUUCUUAUUUUUCCAGCAAAAAUCUCACCUAAAUUGUGUAUCAAAAAAUGUCUUGCAAACAAAGCUUAAAAGGGUAUAUAUAGGCAAAGAGAUUGGCCCAAUCCUAAUGGAAACCAAAAAUUAGUUUCCUUAAGAACUGGUUUCAUUAUCCCAAUACAACUCCUCAUAUUGAAAGAUUCAACCAUAUUUGCACCAUUAGUCCCUCAAGUUUAAUUUGUCUCACACAAUAAACUAUAAGUUAUAAAAUUUAUGUUUCAAGUAUCUACAUGAAAUUCAUUUAAUCCAGCUAAAGGACUUUUUAAUGUGUGUAACUCAUUAGGUUUUCAAAUAUGUUGGCAAUAAGAAUGAGUUAUAGUUCUUAAUCAAUAAAAACUAGAUAAAUUAAAACUCCUUUUAAUUUAUUAUUGAUUUAACUAAUCAAUCAACUCAUUCUUAUAGACCAAAAUUGGCAUCUAACAAUGCAUUAUAACCACCCAAAUAAUGAAAAAAGUCAAGUGGAUUAAUAUCCUACCACACUUAUAUCACAUUAAUCAUGGAAUGAGUUGUGUCAAUUUCAUUAUGCAAUUAUUGUUCUUUUCUUGUACCAAACUAUAAUUUCAGAAUAAAAGUACUUAGAAACAUCGUUCUAAGACUCACUUACUUAGUUCUAAGAUUUCUUGAGUUAUAUUUCUAGAAGGGGCCAUUGAUGAGAUAAUUCUUUUUUCAUAAGAGGUGGUAAGUGCUUAAAGAUUAUUCAUUACCUUUCUAUGCUUCAAGUAUAUAUUCAUAUGCUAAUGAUGUUUUAUGGAGGAAAUCAUACAACAAAUAAAAUACAAAUAUUCAUACUCAAGGCACCAUAAUAACUUUAAAUCCAAGGAUCACUUACAUAAAACGUAAUUUAGAGACUAAUUCUUUUGGCACAAAAGAAAUCUUUAUGUGAAUUAAUCUAGUAAAUUUGACCAUACUGUCAAAUACCCAGAUACUAGUUUAGAUGUCUCGCACCAUAGUAGAUGAGGUCAACUACUUUCCUAAUAGAAGCAAUAUAGUAUAUACUAGUCUAACCAUAUUGACAAUGUCCAAUUCUUGUUCAUGCUUAAACUAGAGAUAUUCAGGAAUAAAUUUUACACUUAAUCAAAUGAAGCUCACCAUCAUAACACUUGUGAUUUCAUUGAUUAAGUUUAUUCUAGGACUUUAUCAUACAAGUAUAAACAUACAAGCAAUCAGUAUGAUAAAGAUGUCAUUUAUGAAUGCAUAAAUAGUUUAAGUACAUAUAAAAUCUCUAAGAGUGACUGUCGUUAGGGCAUACAUACUUACAUUUUCUCAUAAGGAUGUGUUUGCUCAUAUUUCAUCCUUAACUUUCUCACUAAGUUUUGACAAUUCUUUUGUAGAGAUGUUUUCAUAAUGAUUUUUAGAGGGUUUAUGUUGUGUGCAAUUUUUAGUUGCGAGUGGACUCAAAACCUGAUCCUCCCAAAACAAGUCUCAAAUCCUUACCAAUUGAGUCACAUGAAUAUAUGAAUAUUAUCUUAAUAAUCAAAACUCAUUUAAAACUUUCUUACUUAUCACUAAAAAAUGUGGAUGCCUCCCCGUUUUAGUUUUUCCAGUCAUCUGCAAGAUAGAUAUGUCCAAUGUAAAUAUUUCUAACCAUUCAAUGCCUAUCUCACAACUAGGGAAAGUUGCUGAAAUAUACGAUAAGCAUAGGAUGUCAAUGUUACUAGCCAGUUAGGUAGUUAGAAUAAAAUCAAAGUUUAGGAGAUUCUAUAACUUUCAAAUUUAUAGCAUCUGUAAUCUUGGUAUUUUCCAUUAGAAGAUAUUUUGAUUGCAGUUCUAUAUUCUAGGAUUUUUCACAUAUAUAGGUAUGCAUAGUUUUUUUUAAACUUUUUCUGAUUACAGUUAUGUAGGGGUAAAAUUUUCCUUCAAGACUGAUUUGAUGAUAUCGCAUUAUAUCCAUAGCAUUUUUAGUUAAAUAAGAAAUGGAUAUAUUGCAGGAUAUUAUAUGUAGGCAUAUUUUACAAUUUUUUAUGAAAGUAUGACAGAAGGUUCGUCACAAAAAUACAAGCUUGGAAAAAUUAAGCAUAUGAGUUUAUAUGUGAAUACUUUGAGUACAUUUAAAAGUUAUGAAACUAAAAAUAUAGAUAAAAUUACUAAAAUUUCUGUGAUUACAUUACAUUCAUAAUAAUUUUAACUCUUAUUUUUGCAUAUGAGAUAUUAAAUUUAUAACCUUAUUGAUUUUAUAUGUGUGUGUAAAUUUAUAAAAAUUAUGAUAUAUGUCUUUGCUAUUGUGUAUAUAAUUUGGAAAUAUAUGUCACUUCUCUUACUCAAAUUUUAAAAUUUUUCAAAAUUUGAAGUAUAAUAAGUCAAACAUUUGUUAUGCGUUUAAUAUUGUUAUUUGAAACAAGAAUAUUUAUGCUUAAAAGAGUUUACCCUUUCACAAUGCAAUUGUUUCCGUUUACAUUGAUAAGUAACAAAAUUAACUUGUUAAAGACAAGUUGAUAAGACACUUUACCUGUAAUUAACAAGUCAUGAUUCCAGUCGUCAAGGAAUAAGUGGGGAAUCAUGUUGAUCCUCUUUAAAAAAAAAAAAAGAAAAGAAAAAGACAAGUUGGCCGCUAGAAGGGAUUUGAAACUCCUCUUUGAGCUGCACGCUAAGGAUUUAGACCCAUGCUCAAUAGCUAUUCCUUUAUUGGAUUCAAGAGCCCACAAUCAAAUGAAAGGUAUUGAAGAGUGAAGAGCACUAAUAAUUUCCAUGAUUUUGGAUUCUAGUUUGAGUUGUAAGCAAGGCAUCUUCUUUUAAAACCAAGUCAUCGUCUAGCUUCUUCUUUUAAAUAUUCCAUUCUUUUGCUUUAGUUUGUUCUUUCCUUAACGACGAUUAAUUUUCCUGCAAUUUCUCUCUUAUGAGUACAAUAUUUCCUCCUAUUUCAUCCUUAUUUUUCUCACAAGGCCUUGACAAUUCUUCUGAAUAGAUAUUUUUGUAAUGAUUUUUACUAGGCAUAUGCCAUCAACAACUAUGUAAUUUACAAGAAAUUUAACAAAUAGUCUACCAACAACACUAUAGUUAGCAGUGAACUUAAAACCUAAUGCAUCCAACACAUGUCCCAAAUCUUUACCAAUUUAGUCACAUGAGUAUAUUAUUUGUGAAUAUUAUCUUUCUCACAAAUGAGUGGCUUAAAUGAUGCCAUGUGUAGGUUUUAACCUGCUAUUACAGGUUUUAUUGGGUACAUAAUUGCAGCGGUAAUUUUUUGCAAAUAAUAGUAAGUUUGUUUUCUUGUGUAAGUCAAGUAUGUUUUGCGAUUCAUGUAAAUUACUUUUAAAUAACAAAAGUUACUAAAAUUUUAACAUAACACUUUUUCUCCAAAACUUACCAUUUCCUAUAUAAAACUUACUACUUUAUUCAAUCGAAGCUUAUGAAUAUUUUCAAAACCUUACCACUUUUAUACUAAACUCACUACAUUAUUAAUCAAUCUUACGAACUUUCAGGCAAAACUAACACUUUAUUUUAUACAAAAUUUACUAUUUUUGUCAAGCACAACUUAUGAUUUCAUUAAAAAAUCUUACUAUUUUUUGGUAAUUAAGUUUCUAACUAAACCUUACAACUUUUUGUUCAAAAUUUACUGAUUUCAUAAUUUUUGUAAUUUACAUUUUAAAUAACAAUCUAAGUUUUUAAUUAAAACUUACUACUUUUUCUCCAAAACCUACUAUUUUACUAAAUGAUAUAAAUGGCCAUUGGUAUAACUUACCAUAUUUUAGUAAAACUUACUAUAUUGUUAACAAAACUCACUACUAUUUUUUAACAAAACUAAGCUCAAGCAACUUUGCACAAAAGUCAAUACUAUUUUAAGCAAAAACUUGUAACUUCAUUAAAAAAUCUUACUACAUUUUCUUUUGUAAAAAUUGUUGUUUCAUUGAUAUGACGUACUGCUGAAGCUUGUCAUAUGUGGUUAUCAGCUUGGUGCUUUUCUGUAACCACCUGUUGUGACCAAUCAUCAAAGUGAAUCUAUUAGUUUUGUAAGUUUACCAUCAAAAUUAGUUAGUUUUACUCUUGAAUCGAUAAAGUUCAGUAAUUAUAAAAGUUACCACAAGUUAAAAAAGAAAGCAUACCAAAUAAAAUGUACCAGUUCUUAAGUAAUUUAAUUCUUUUAGUCAAACUUACAACUUCUUCAACGACUUUUAGUACUUUUUGACAAAUAAAGUUUUGAGUAAAAUGUACUAUUAUGUUAAUCAGUGACAUUCAAAUUUCCUUAAGCAGUUUUAGUACUUUUUUAAACAUAAUCUUACCUGGCAGAAACAUAUAUAUACGACUAGCAAAAAUUGUUUUUUUAUUCCAAAAAAGAUUUUUCAUCAUCAGCUUAGUUAGUGCACUAACUUUUCCAUCCGUGGGUUAUAUAUUCACAUUCAUUAUCUCUUUACAUUUGAAUACUUUUUUUAAAAAAUAAAUCUUCAUUUUCACAAACUACUAACUAUUCAUCUCUACUUAACCAAUGCCUUGAGUGUUCUCAUUAAACUAGCCCUUAGGUAUAUCAUUUUUCUCUAAAAAUUAUUAUUUUUAUUGCAAAGUCUUUUUCUAUUACAAAAUAUACCAUUUUCUUAGUAAAUUUACAUCUACACCAGUAAAUUUAUAACUAAUGAAGAUUUAACAAUUUUCUUUGAACGAAGCAAGUUUUGCUUGGAAUGCGGUGAUUUUUCAAUGAAAUAGAUAAGUUUUGCUUAAAAAGGGUUAACAUCAAAAAAAAUUCCCCUGAAAUUUUCUUUAACGUCACUUAGCAUCUAUUCUUUAUCUUUAAGUUUUUCAGCUCCAUUUGUUUGAUAUGGGAAUUAAGUCUCAAGUGAGGCUUAAUAUAUUCAUUUUGAUAUUAUGGAAAACUGCAAGGGAAGUUACUAAUAUUAUUCCUAAAAAAAUGUUAUAUGUUUUUCUGUAAUUUAACAAAACUUUUAAAUCAAGUAUCAUUUUGUGUUGUAAAAUUAAAGUUGCAUAUUUCAUAAGAAACUUAAUAAACUUUUUGUGUUCUCUUAAGUUUUGCCACAAAAUUAGUAAAAUAUUUCAAUAAACUAAUUUUGCUAAAUAUGUGGUUAGAUUUCUUAAUGAAAUCAUAAGUUCACUUGUAAUAGAAGUGAGUUUUGUGUAAAAAAAAAUGGGUAAGUUACGCUUGAAAAUUAGUAAGGUUCAUUAAUAAUGCAGUAAGUUUAGUACUAAAAAAUUGUAAAAUUAGUUAGAAACAUACUAAAAAUUUUGCUAAAAAUGGAGUAAAGUUUGUUAAUUAAGUCAUAAGUUUUGCUUGAAGAAAUUAGUAAGUUAUGUAUAAAAAUAGUAAGUUUUGCUUGAAAGUUAGUAAGGUUUGAUGAUGAUGUCGUAAGUUUUACCAAAAAAGUAGAAAGAUUAGUCAAAUGAAGUCAAAAGUUUUGCUUUAAAAUAGUAAGUUUUGUAACAAGGAUAUUUUUAUCACUAGUUGAAUUCUUGCCUUGGUUUGCAAAGAUGCCUUAUAUUUGGUAAUUGUGGAACUUGGAAUGGAUUCAAUAAAAGUUUCAAAAAUAAUAAUUUCAAGGUCUGCAGGGAACAUGGUUGAAUUGAUUCCUGUUUCUUGUAAAGCAUUAAAAAAAAAUGAAAGAACAGAUUAAUUGUGUAUCACUCUUGUGCUUUAUUGCUUCUUUAGGACAAAACGAAAGCCAUCACUAGCUUUUAUUUCAUUAAAGGGCUAAAACAGUUUUCGCUUAUAGUACAUCAUUUUCUUGCCACCUCUAUUUGUGCAAAAGAUGGAAAAUAUCAGUUUAAAAUUCAAAAAGACUCUUAUAUUACGUAUUAUUAACAAAUAUAUUGAAAUUUAUGACAAAUUUUCAUAAUUUGUAUUCAGAUAAACAUGUAACUUGUGAGUUAUGCAAAAAAAAUAACAAAGUCUUAUAUCAUUUUUUUUUUCAAAUAAUGAACAUAAUAUCAACAAUUUGAUAAAAUGACUAUCUUGUAGCAAAAGAUACAACUCACUUUUUGUAUCAUACAAGCAUAACCUAAUGUUAGAAAAAAUUAUUUUUUUUUGAAAUUCUAGUAAGGGAGAAGUGGAAAGGGGGGAAGGAAGAUUGAAAUUCAGGACUUCUAAUUCCUAGAGUCCUGAAUUUUGUAUUAUUCAUGGAUAACUUUUUAUGUGUAACAUUGUAAAACUUGAAUGUUUCAACUGAAUUUUGUAGUGUACAUUUUGAAGAGUAAGUUCUGUACGUAAAACGUUUUGUAUUAUUCUCAUACCUUAUCUUAGUAAUGUUUUUUUUUUAAGAAAAUCUUUUGGAAGUUUUCUUUCUGCAAUGAAUCAUGAAAAGUUGAUAGAGUUAUAAUUCAUGACAUUGUCUUGGUUCAGAAACUUGAAAUGAGAAACAAAAAAGAAAAAUUAACAGUCCGUGAAAAGAAAAUGAGAAGUGCAAUAGGGACACUAAUUUUAGUUUGGUGGGUGGUGGGCCAACGGGUGAAGUUUUUUUUUUUUUUUUUUUUUUUUGUCAAACAACGGGUGAAGUUAGUUUUUUUUUUUUUUGUCAGACUUUUUCAAGUAAGGUGAAGUUAGUUUUGAGUUAUGCGGAUAUCAUUUAUGAAUAUUAUAUUUGUUCAUCACUUAGAAAACAUGUUGGGGGCCUUCCCAUUUUUUGUUUUUCCAACAUCAACGGAAACAUAGGUUUGUGAUUUUCAAAACGAAGGGGAUUAUGACACUACCUAAAAUUCUUUUCUAUUUUAGAAAAGGAUCAUAAGUAGUAUCAUAAUCCCUUUAGUUCUGAAAAGCACAAUCACAAAUGUGAAUUCGAUUUUUUAUUCUCCAAGACCGUAACACUUGAGAUCUUUUUUUUGUUUAAGCAUAAACUUGAGAUCUUAAAGAAGCACACAAAUGUCUUAUAAAAUCAAAAUUCCUAAAGUUUAGGAUAAUCAUACAAUGAUAAUGUUAGAAUACUUCAGAAUUCCACUAUACUAUCUUUUUCGUAUCGAUUAACCCACUAAACUUUUAAAACUAAUUAAUUGAACCAUUCCGUCUAGUUACUGAUUAAAAAAUAUGGAACUUUCGGAAUUAGUGGGGAAUUUUCGUCACUUUGUUAAUGAAAAAUAGUAUGGCGGAUUAAAUGGAAGUUUAGUAAAAUUAAGUGAAUCUUGAUACAAUUUGUUGGAAAACUUCUUGGAAACUAAAGAAGAAUGGAAAAAAGAAAUGUUGUAGAAAAUGUUUAACACAACUAAUGCUCACAUACUCAAAUCUUUUGAACUAGUAUCAGAAAUACUUUACUGAGAUGACCAUAAGAUCUGACGUUCGACUAUCAAGUCCUUCAUUUUUUUUUCUUUCCCAUAGUAAGGCUGAAGUCUCCCGUUCAAAGGAAAAAUAAAACAGAGUAACUUUUAAGGUUUCUUUAGUUGACAUGAUGUAUUGUUAUAAAAUAGUAACCCAAAAUUUCAGUAGCUAAAAAUAACCACUCAAUCACACACACAAGGCAUGUAAAAAAUCUUCAGUUCUUCGUUUAUUUAUUUACUUUUGCAAGAUGGCGCAGUAGCUAUUCGUUUAUCGUGUUGAAGUGCCUACAAUCAAUUGGAAGUUGCUGAAAAGUGAUAAAAUCUUCCUAAUAUAUAAUUUCCAUGAUUUUGCAUUUUAGCUUCAGUCGUAGCCUAGGCAUCUUCUUUCAAAAUAAGUCAUCGUUUGGCUUUCUCUUUAUAGGAUUCCAUCCUUUUGCUUUAGUUUGCUCUCUUUUUUUAAAGAUUAUGACCCCAUAUGUCAUCAAAAAGGAACCUAGAUCCAAAGUGAACUAGGACCUUGCUAGGAAGUCAUGGUUUUGCUCUGUCGAUAAAAAAUUUUGCACCACAUACGAGUUGAGCAAAAACUGAUAGUGCGUUAGCUGACGGGGACUCGAAGCCAAGUAAAAUUGUAUUUCAUAAAAGGAUCAUAAUUGUAUAAUAACCCUUACCCUUGUAAAUAGAGGUGGCAAAACGGGCAAGAUGGACGAGAUUUACUUAGAUUUGAGAUAGAACAGAGUUAUAUGAGUUUGGGUUCAACCUUAUCCAUAUGUGUUUUGAGACUAACUUGAGCGGGAUCACUUUGGAAUGAGUUUAGAUUGAUCCCGUCCAAUACCCAAAUCUAUUUUCUACACAUUUUUUUUCCGUUAAUUCAUUUUUUAUUUUUUUUAAAUAACUUUAAUAUUUUUUAUUUAUUAAAUUUCUUUUAGUCUUAUUGUAAAUUUAUAUUUUCAUGAAUUCAUUUUACACUCUAGAACGAUCAACAGUUACUUGCCGUACAAGUUGGGCAAUGACUAAGUAGCAAUGCAGAUAAGUUCUAAUUAUCAACUAUAGUCUCGUCAAAGGAAAAAAGGAAGAAAAAGAAAAAGGAAAAUCACUUGUUUUGCCCCUCCAAAAACCAGACCUGCAGAGAGCAAGAAAAGACAGAGAAACAACCUUUAAGACUCAAAAACAAGAAUCCAGGCCUUUUUUCUCCAGAAAGCAACCGUACGUAGCUUGAUCCUCAAAAUUCUUUCUUUGUAUCCCCAGUCCAAAAAAUCUUGCCCAAAACGAAAAUAAAGAAUAAAGAAAAGAACCCAGGAAUGCUCAACCUUCAAAACCCAAAUCCCUUUUUCCCAAACGUUUUUGGGAAGAUAUUUGGGCUCAAUGGGUACCCAAGUAUUUCCCAACAUUUUUCAUCAAUUAAUGGGUAUAAUUGGGAUAUGUCCCAUUUUAAAUCUAGUAUCAAAUUGCAAUACCCAUUCCGCCUAAAGUUCAUUUGGGCAUGGAUAGUCCAUUGGGAUUUGAGACAAAUUGCCACCUCUACUUGUAAAUUUGAAAAUCAAAUACACAGCACAAAUUCAAAUGGGAUAAUUUCAAAAACCUCCCUUGUGGUUUCUCACAUUCUCACUCCUCUCUUUUGAGAUUUUCGAAAUAUCAAAAGCCUAUUACAAAAAUAAGUAGCUAGUAUCAAAUCAAAUCCAAUCCAAUUCAAAAAGACAAAUAAUAAAAAUUGGGAGCUGGAGAGAGAAAAUGACCUGAUGCUACAAAUGCCCUCAAGCCUGGCACCAGUAAGAUAAUUUCAUAUGAACAGUACCUAGAUAAUUUAACAAAGAUAGUAGUCUUUGCAUGGAUAGAAAAUAUUCAGGAAAAGUUAAUAAAAGAAUUCCUUUUAUUUUUUUAGUUGGGAUUGCAUGGAUAGAAUGGAUAGAAUAUUACUUAGAAAAACUUUUGUAUAAUUCACUGUAGCAUGUUUUGUAGUGUAAUGUAUUUAAGAUAAAUAAGUAGGGUAAAAAACAAAAAAGUUCCCUGUAAUAAGUUUAAUAUACAGAAAAGUCUCUUAUAGUUUCAAAAUAUACAAUACGAUACCUCAUGUUUUAAACUAAAUUGUAAAUGUGACGGAAUUCGUUAAAUUUAAUGGAAAUGACUUAUUGGAACCUAAAAAAAAAAAUUAUACCUAAUUUUUAUCAAAUAUACCUAUUCUACCCCUUAACCCUCAAUUCUCUCUAUUUAGAGAAUAAAACAAAUGAUUUUUUUGAGUUAUCUUUUACUUAAUUAUAUCAGCAUUUUGGUCAUUUCAUCCAUUUCUAUUAAGUUUAACAGAUUCUGUCACAUUUACAAUUUAGUUCAAAGUAUAAGGGGUCGUGUUAUAUAUUUUAAAACUAUGAAGGGCUUUUCUGUAUAAUAAGUUUAUGAGAUUUUUUUGUUUUUUACCCAAAUAAGUAAUUGUAAAACAUGUUUAAGAGCAAUUAAAAAAUAUAUAUAUAUAUUGUAAUGAUAUGUAACACAAGUGUCCCACAAAUUAGCUAUCAUUGCACAAGUAAAUCAGUAAGGGCAGAUUCACAUGUGAAUAUGUCUGGAAGUCUUCGCAGAAUCAAGACCUAUAUUAGCAGAUCUGAACGCGGUCUUGAUUUGUUGACCAAUAGUUCUGAACCACACAUUAUUAAAGUUCAUCAUACUGCGAACCGAGGACCAACUCUAAUUUCUUCCUUCUGUGUACAGGGUCAAGGAGCCUCUCUUCCUUACCUGAUAUUCUCAAGUUAAAGAAAAAGACUGAAAAUGGCAGAAACAGUUCUCUCUUUUGUGUUAGAUCAGCUCUCAAUUUUUCUGCGUGAAGAGGGCAGAUUAUUGGGAGGGCUUCGCCAAGAGGUUCAACUCAUCAGCGAUGAGUUGGGGCACAUGAGAGCUUUCGUGGGAGUGGCAGAAGCAAAAGAAGAAGGUGCUGAUCCCAGGCUCCAAGAAUGGAUCAAGCAAGUACGAUAAGCCGCUUAUGACACUGAAGAUGUUCUUGAUGAAUUCGUAGCUCGCUUUGCUCACCAUCAUGCAACAGGGUUCUAUGGCUCUUUUAGGAAAAUUUUCAACUCCGUGAAGACUUUGCGAGCUCGUCGUAAGGUUGCUGAGCAAAUACAGAGCAUCAAGGCCAGAGUAAAGAAUAUAUCUGAAGGGCGUCAGAGAUACCAAUCAGAAUUCGGCGGUACUUCCCAAGCGGCCGGGUCUCUUGCUGCUGUCAACAACACAUGGGUCUAUAGCAGGGAUGAUGCACUUCUCGUGGAAGAAGCUGAACUAGUUGGCAUUGACAACCCCAAACAACAGCUAAUUUCUCAACUACUCGAGGGGGAUGAUUCCCAACUCAAAGUUGUUUCUGUGGUUGGCAUGGGAGGACUCGGAAAAACUACCUUAGUCAAAAAAGUCCACGAAGAUUUAGAUAUUAGAAGGCAUUUCCCAGUUCGUGCCUUUGUAACUGUCUCUCAACCAUGCAACUUCCAGGAGCUCCUGAAAGACUUGACUCGGCAGUUACACAAUGAUUUGAAGAAACCAGUUCCGGAAUCGAUUGAGGCAAUGACUGCAUAUCAGCUGAAACUAUGUGUUAAAGAUUUUCUUCAACAAGCUGGAAGGUAUGCAAUUGUGUUCGAUGAUGUAUGGGACGUGGAAUUCUGGAAUGCGAUUAGAUUUGCACUGCCCGAAAAUGGCUAUGGCAAUCGCGUCAUGCUAACAACACGAAAGGCCGAUGUAGCCUCUGCUUCUUGUAACAAAUCUCAAGAUUAUGUCUACAAAAUGGUGGCACUAUCUUUCGAAGAUUCAUGGACCCUAUUUUGCAACAAAAUUUUCAAAGGAAAUGGUUGUCCUGCCCAUCUAACAGAUGUUGCAAAAGGUAUAUUGGGGAAAUGUGAGGGAUUGCCCCUUGCGGUUCUUGCAAUCAGUGGGCUUUUGGCUUUGAAAAAUUUGAAUAUUGCAGAGGAAUGGGAGAUGGUUCGACGCAGCCUAGUGGGUGAAUUAGAAGGCUCUGGUAUGCUGGACAGGGUCAAAAAGAUACUUUCUCUCAGUUACAAUGAUCUGCCCUGCCAUCUUAAGACCUGUUUGUUGUAUUUAAGCAUUUACCCAGAGGAUUUUGAGAUACGUUGUCAUAGACUUGUUCAAUUAUGGUCAGCUGAAAGAUUUGUAGGUGAGAGAGAAGGAAUGACAAUGACAGAUGUAGGCUACAAUUACCUCAGAGAACUUGUCAAUAGGAGCCUAAUUCAAGUGAUUGAAGGUUUUUAUGAAGGAAUCCCCUACACUUGUCGAAUCCAUGACCUAGUGCGAGAAGUUGUUCUUUCCAAGGCAAGGGAACAAAAUAUGAUCGCAAUUACUACUGGACAAUACACAAAGUGG
rnacentral:lncRNA from 1 species